rnacentral:lncRNA from 1 species
UUUUUUUUUUAUUUUUUUUUUUGUUGGUUUUUAAGGUAGGAGGAAAGAACAUGAUAAGAAUGUGGCCAUCACCGAAGGUGGGCAGUGGACAUGUUUCAUGUUUGAAUGUUGAAUUCUUUUGUAGUAGUUGGUUGUGUUUUAUAUGCAUGUUUUAGUGUCAUUCAUUCCUUUCUAGAGUUUCUAAUUGAAUUUUUGGCUUUUUCUUCUUUGCCAUUUUCUUCCAUCCUUUGACCGUCUUGGAUAGUUCUGCUGAAUGGAAGCCUGUCUUCCCAGCUUGGCUGCUUGAUUUACUGCAAGCAGAUUGUAGGGGCAGUUGCCCCAAUAUUUGUAAUCUGGUCUGAUAUAAAUCAAAGUGUUGCCGUUUUGAUAAAAAAAAAAAGAAAAAAAGAGUACAGUUGAAGAGGGAGAGAGGCAAAGUAAACAACGUGUAAUGAAUGAGUACAAUUUGCUUUUGAUUCUCCUUCUGGACCUAGCUAGAAGUACUCCUAAUCCGAGAACUCUAAUUAGGACUUUUGUUCAAAAAUUUUUGGAAAAUUGAUAGUAAAUUGCUUCCCUCCUCCUCCACCUAGGAGUGUAAACGAGUCGAGUCGAGUUGAAUUUUAAUCUAAUCGAAUCGAGUCUCAAAUUAAUUUUACGAAACUCGAACUCGAACUCGAGUUCGAUGAGUUCAAAAUGUUAAGUUCGAGCUUAAAAAAAUAAAAAAAUAUUUAAUUUUUAAAAAUAAAAAAUUUAUUUUAUUUUUAAAAUGAAUAAAAUAAUAUUUUUUAAUAAAUAAUAAAAUAUUAGAGAUAUAUAUAUACAUAUGUAAUUUUACUAUUAAAAAAAUAAAAAAUAUAUAUAAUCAAACUCGCGAGCCACUCGCGAGCUAACUAGCUUGGUAAUUUUGAGUUCGAGUUCAAGUUCGAGCUCGAGUUCAACUUGAUUAACUUGAACUCGACUCGAGCUCGUAUUCAAGAAUCUAUGCUUGGCUGGUAAUUAACUAACAAGCCAUAUUUAAAUAAUUGUUAUUACAAAGCAGGAUUAAUUGACUAAUCUGCACAACUACAAGGUCAAACGUAAAUAUUUUAAAUUAAAGCUUAAAAAAUUCUCAAAUGAAAGCUUUAAGGCUGUGAAAGACGGCUAGGUCAGGUUAGGGUGGGAUGAUGGACAUUAGAUAACGACUAAUCAAGGUUUGGAGAGGUCAAUACCUUCAAUUGAUUUAACUAUAAUUAAAGCUUUUUAAAGCCUAUUAUUAUUAGGGAUAAUUUUAGAAACCUCCCUUGAGGUUUCUGACAAUUGCACUCGGCUCCCCUCGGGAUUAAAAAAUUACACUUACCUCCCUUGAUAUAGUAAAAUACAUUUAAUGCUCUCUACUUAGUAGACAAUUUUAAAUUUAAGGCAACAAAUUUACAAAACCUAAAAAAAAAAUCUAUUUUUCUGUCUCUUAUCUAUAUUCUAGUUAAUAUAACUUCUUUUUAUUAUCUUCAAUUUUGUGGAUAUUAGCAUAUUGAAUUACAAAAUAUACAAAGGGGGUAUAUUAUGUGUCAAAAUAGAAGAAAAUGAAGAGAUUUCGCAGUGAUAGAGAAAUAAAUAAUCAAAUUGAUGAUUGAAAUAGGAAAAAGAACUAAAGAUAUGGAAUUUGUCAUAUUUUGUUUAUUAUUAAGGAAAAUUUUUAUAAAAUAUCAAUAAUUACAUAAUGAUUUCUUUCAUUGGAUUAGAAAUUUUUUAUUGUGAUUUUAUUGUGGAGGUAGAAUUUAUUCUCAACUUUUCAGAUAUUAAUAUUUUUAAAGCCAUAGGAGAAUUGUAAUGGUGGUUCUUGGUCAAAUUAGCUUAUAUGGAAAAGAUAUUUAAGCAUUGAUAUUUAAUAUGGGGGUAUAAAAUUGGUUGUCAAUAGGGUUUUGUAUGUUUUUUUAUCGUGGAAAGUAUUGAUAUUAUAUAUGCAAUUUAGGAUCUUUUGGAUAGUUACUUGCUUUUAGAACUUAUGCUUGAAUGGUUGUUAGGGAUUUAAUUUGUUGAUUUAUGCAAAGUAUGGAAAAAAAAUGAUUGAGUAUACUAUAUUUUUCUUUCUCAGUUUUGUGCAAAAGGACAAUUUAGGAUUUUUGAAAGAAAAUAUAAGUUCUUGGACCUACAUUUUUAAAACCUAAGGGGAGCUCUUUAAAAUUGUGAGAAACCUGAGGGGAGGUUUGUCAAAUUAUCCCUUAUUAUUAUGGCCAUUGAAGCCAUUAACACCUUGCAAUGGACCAUGGAUUCGUACUAAGUACUUGUACCUUGUACCCUACCGACCUACAUGGGUCCGACUUGCGGACUGAAAAGCAAUAUCCAUCUUUCGUUUUCUUUUUUUUUUUUUUUUUUGCUUAGAAAUGGUGAUAUUUCUAGUCACAGGUAUCAAAUUUCUAGUUUUCCAGCCCUCUAUAAUGUUUACUAGAAAAUAUUAUGGAUAAAUACUAGACUAGAUGAAAUCAUAGAUGCUAAAGAGUUGACCUAUCUAUUAAGUCUAUCGUAUGCUCCCAGUGUUUCAAUGUUAUUGAAUCUUAAUUUGAUGGCCACAAUAAAAUUAGCCCCUGGAAUUUGACAAGGCGUAUUAUUAAGUAUGAAAUGUAGACCUCUUUCGAGGAUAUGACAGUACAAUUGCAUUCUUGCUUAUCUUCAAACCAAGUGUCUAUUUUUGAAAGGGAAGAAAGGAUAGAUAACCACAAGUAAACGGAGCUUAUCCAGACCUCUUUCAAAGCAAGUGUCUAUGAAAUUUCAAAUUUUCAAGUAUCUUUGAGUGAUAUUCUUGAUACUACAGUCGACUUUCUUUCAAUGGUUUGGCCUCCAUGUUGUGCUGCAUUCAAUUCAUAGGACCCAUUUUUGAGACGAACCUGUACUUGACUUCAAGAAUGGGGUUCUCUGAUUAAGAAUUCGUGAAGGGGGCCAUUUAGCAUAUUCUAAGCAUAUGCGUGUUUGUUCCUUGAUUAACAAAAGAACAAAGACAAGGGGGAAAAAAAAAGGCAAUAGGAGAUGUAGAUAGGCGAGGCUUCGUAUAUGAUACCUUAUGGUAGGUGGUAGGUGAAGUCAAGUUUGUUAAACCUAAACCAGGGUGAUAUAUUAGACAUUGUGGUAGCUUAUGUUCUUUAUUUAUUCUAACCUUAAAUAUGAAUAUGUUUGUCUCUAUUGUAGCAGAAAUAAAGAAACAAAAAAAGCUCUCCAAUAUGAUUGUCCUAUUGUAGAUUAAAUAUUAAUUUGUCAUUUUAGCAUACCAAAAUGUUGAUGCAGCCCUAUUUUUUUUUUUUUUUUUUCAAGGUAGGAGGAAAGAACAUGAUAAGAAUGUGGCCAUCAUCGAAGGUGGGCAGUGGACAUGUUUCAUGUUUGAAUGUUGAAUUCUUUUGUAGUAGUUGGUUGUGUUUUACAUGCAUGUUUUAGUGUCAUUCAUUCCUUUCUAGAGUUUCUAAUUGAAUUUUUGGCUUUUUCUUCUCUGCCAUUUUCUUCCAUCCUUUGACUGGCUUGUCCCAAUAAUUUUUUCAGAAGUGAAUACAGUGGAAGAGGGAGAGAGGCAAAGUAAACAACGUGUAAUGAAUGUGUACAAUUUGCUUUUGAUUCUCCUUGUGGACCUAGCUAGAAGUACUCCAAAUCCGAGAACUCCAAUUAGGACUUUUGUUCAAAUAUUUUUAGAAAAUUGAUAGUAAAUCACUUCCCCCCCUCCACCUAGGGGUGUAAAGGAGUCGAGUCGAGUCGAGUUUUAGCCUAAUCGAAUCGAGUCUCAUAUUAAUUUUAUGAAACUCGAACUCGAGUUCGAACUCGAUGAGUUCAAAAUGUUAAGCUUGAGCUUGAGCUCGAAUUUAAAAAAAUAAAAAAAUAAUUAUUUUAUUUUUUAAAUGAAUAAAAUAAUAUUUUUUAACAAAUAAUAAAAUAUGAGAUAUAUAUAUAUGUAAUUUUACUAUUAAUAUAUAUAUAUAUAUAUAUAUAUAUAUAUAUAUAUAUAUAUAUAUAUAUAUAUAUAUAUAUCAAACUCGCGAGCGGCUCGCGAGCUAACAAGCUUGGUAAUUUUGAGUUCGAAUUCGAGCUCGAGUUCGACUUGAUUAAUUCGAACUCGACUCGAGCUCGUAUUCGAGCCUCUCACGAUCGGCUCACAAGUGAUUCGAUUCGUUUACAGUCCUACCUCCACCCACCCCUUCUCAUAUUCAACUGUGUGUGGUACAAGAUUCAAAACCCUGAAUUUGAUAGCAAAAAAAAUUCUAAAAACUCUCCCUAAUCACUGGAUUGAUAUCUAAAGUCUUUUUUUUUUUUUUAAUCAAAACGGCAUCAAUUUAUUAAUUGGACUCCAACAGUUACGUAACAGAUGGGCAACUGCCCUUACAAUCAGCAUGAGCAAGCUCAAGCAACCAGCCUGGGAAGCUAACCUUCCAUUCGGCAGAACAUUCCAAUUGUAAUGCUUUCUUAGCUAAAGAAUGACUAACAAAGUUGUUUGCCCUUCUAGUAUAAGCAAAACAACAUUCAUCAAAAUUUAGUAUGAGUUUCUUCAAGUGAGCUAUCACUGUGCACCUAAUAACCUCUUCAUUUACACUAUUAAGUUCUCUAACUACCUGCAAACAAUCUGAUUCGAACUCUACUCGUCUCUAUCCAUUCUGGUUUGCCACCAACAUGGCAAACCUGAGUGCAAGCGCCUCCUCUAACUUUGCAUGCGUACAUAAUGGCCUUGGCACUGCCCAAGCUCCCAUCACCUUUCCUUGCCAAUUCCUCGCAAUGAUCCCCCAUCCUGCCUUAUCCGCUUCUGGACGCAAAGCUGCAUCUGAGUUCACUUUAAUCCAACCUUCCUUUGGUCUCCCCCAGCCAGAUGUUCCUUCGCUCUCCGUCACGCCGCCACCUACUCUCUCCAUCUCCGCCUGCUGAAUGUCAUGGAAUUCUCUCCACUCCAUUACAGCUUUAUGGACUGCUAGUAUUGGAUCUCUUCUUUUGUUAUUAAACUGCACCCCAUUUCUUGACUUCCAAAUUUGCCACAACAAAUUCACCGUAAGCUCAACACGUUCCAUCCCUCUCUCCUGUUUCGCUGCAUCUUUCAACUUCUCCCACCAUAACCAGAAUUUGCUCCUAAAGCUUUCCAGACCAUCCCAACUUAAAGGAGCAGCCUCCCAGAUAGCCUUGGCAGUGCUGCAAAAGAAAAACAUAAGCUCCAUUGUUUCUGGACUUUCCCCACAGCACCGGCACAAGUAGUUUCCACUGGAGCAUCUGUCUCUAAUUAGUACGUUUACAGGCAAAAUUUCAGUCAAACAUUUCCAAAUGAAAUGUUUUAACUUCUGCUGCACCCUCAUCGCCCAGAGAAACUUCCAACUAUGAGCUGAGUAGUUUUUGCUGCAACUGGCCAUUUCCUUUUUCCCCCUCUCGUCCUCCCUUCUCGUCCUACACUUUGCUAGCUUGUAGCCCGACUUUGCUGUAUAUACCCCUGUGGUCGACAGUGCCCAGUAGAUUUUAUCUUUCCCAGGUCGCACACUAAGGGGAAUUCGAAGCACUUUCUUUGCAUCCUCUCCAUUAAAGAUCCUAUUAACCAGCUCCAUGUCCCACCUCCCAUCUUGUAUAAGCUCACUAACCCUCUGAACCUGAACACCUUCUCCCUCCCUAGCUUUUACCCUUCCAUCCCCCACAUAUGGCAACCACCUAUCUGCCCAUAUAUCAAUAGUCCUCCCAUUUCUCACCAGCUUCCUCAUCCCUUCCUCUAACAGCCCCUUUGCUUUCAGCAAACUUUUCCAGCACCAUGAAUCUGCAUUAGAGCUUUCAGUAGUCCAAAUCGAAGACCCUUUGAAGUAUCUCACUUUUAGUAUCUUGCUUACUAACAGAUUUGGCUUUGUCAAGAUUCUCCAAAGCUGCUUUGCUAACAAAGCUAGAUUAAAUUCAUGCAAAUCCCUAUAGCCCAAUCUCUCUUCCGUCUUUACUUCUGUCAAUCUUCCCUACCGCAACUAGUGUAUUUUUUGCUCUUGUUCCUUUUGACCCCACCAGAAAUUAGCCAUCUCUGAGCAAAUCUCAUCACAUAGGCCCUUUGGCAACAGACAACAAGACAUCACAUACAUUGGUAAGGCCAUUAUAACUGAUUUCCGCAAGACCUCUUUCCCAGCUUGAUCAAUAAUCUCUCCUUCCAUCCCUUUAGUCGCACUAUUAUUUUUUGUCUUAUAAAAUCAAACACUUGUUUCUUAGACCUUCCAAUAACAAGGGGCAGUCCCAAAUGCCUACCUUGCAUUGCCUGUUUCAUAUCUUGUAGUUCGCCCAUCACUUCCGUCCUUUGCCACUCAGCCACAUUCCUACCAAAAAACAGUGAUGACUUCUCAACAUUGAUCACCUAGCCUGAUGCUCGUUGGUACACCUCCAAUAUUCUCUUCAGUUCUCCUGCCUCCCUUCCUUUGGCUUGACAGAAAAUUAGUGAGUCGUCUGCAAAAAACAAAUGAGACAACCUAGGAGCCCCUCUAGCUAUCCUCAUCCCAGUUAGUUUCCCAGAGUCAUUCGACUGCUUAAUCGAAGAAGUAAACCCUUCAGCGCGGAUUAAAAACAAAUAUGGGGAAAGGGGAUCCCCUUGUCUCAACCCCCUAGUGGGCCUAAUAAAACCAGUUUUCUCACCAUUAAAAUUGACAGCAUAUGUAACAGUAGUCACACACUCCAUGAUCCACUGGAUCAAUGUAGCGCAGAAAUCCAUUUUCCCCGUUACUUUAGCUAGAAAGAUCCAUUCAACUCUAUCAUAUGCCUUUGACAUAUCUAGUUUGAUUGCCAUAUAGCCAUUUCGACCAACCCUCUUGUUUUUUAAGGAAGUGGACACUUUCGUGGGCAAUCAAGACAUUAUCUAAAAUCUGUCUCCCAGGAACAAAAGCAGAUUAGGAGUGACAUAUACAAUGGCGCAAAACACUCUUAAAUAUGUUUACAAUUACUUUAGAGAUGACCUUAUAAAUGACAUUACAAAGAUUAAUAGGUCUAAAAUCAGUGAUUGUGGAAGGGGAAUCAGUUUUGGGUACAAGGCUAAUAAGAGUCUCAUUUAUUGAUUUAAGAAGAUAGCUAGAGUGAAAGAAACUUUGAACAUCAUGAACUACAUCAGUCUUAACAAUGGGCCAGAAUUUUUGAAAAAAAAAGUGAGGACAUACCAUCUGGUCCAGGGGACUUGUUCGGAUGCAUUGAGAAGACUGCCUAACCAAUUUCCUGUUCUGUUACUUUCCUGAUCAGCUUAAUAUUCAUCUAUUCUGUUAUGGCCAGAGGGAUGCCUUGCAGGAUUUCCGUGAACUCCAGUGGACUCUCUGUUGUAAAAAUCUGUUGAAAGUAAUCUAAGAUCUCCUGCUUGGUUUCCUCCUCAUUCCUACACCAUUUCUCACCCCUAUCCCUCAGAACACUAAUCUUGUUCAUUUUCCUUCUCCCCAUCACUCUUGCAUGGAAAAAACUAGUAUUCUUAUCUCCUUCCUUCAACCAGCUCACCCUUGCUUUCUGGCUCCAGUACAGCUCCUCCCUCCUGUAGGCAUCAACUAACUCCCUUUUCAGACGAGCCAGCUUAAUCUUAUAGCCACUCGGUUUACCUUCCUUCAUCUUCCUAAUCUCCUCCCUCACCUGUUCUAUGUGUUUCCUAGCAUUGCAACAACUCCCCUUACUCCAUCUAAGCAGAUUCAUUCUGACAUUUUUAAUUUUGCACUUCACUCUGAUGCUUGCUCCUCUUGCCACAUCUCCCCAAUUACCUUACCUAUAUCCUCAUUCAACAUCCAUCUCCUAUCAAACACAAACAUUCUCUUCCACCUCCUCCCCCCUGGUUGUGUAUCUAAUACCAGCAUACAGUGAUCAGAGGCUUCGAUUUCCACACGCAAACACGUUGCCUUGGCAAACUUCUCUCCCCAGUUUUGAGUUCCCAAAAUCCUUUCUAUCCUCUCUUUUACCUCUCCCCAUUUCCCCAAUUAUUACACCAUGUCCAUGGGACUCCAUCAUAUCCAAUAUCAGUCAGAGCAUUACUAUUGAUGAAAGAGUUAAAAGCCUGGAAACUGACCUCAGCUCUUGGUUUACCCUUCCCAUUUCUCCAUAUUUGAAGUAAUGUCAUUCAGGUCCUUCAUAAUAGCCCAAUAUUUACCCCAUAGUGAGCUUCACCUCCUUACAAUCUCCUACUGUGCCUUUCUCACACCUGCAUCUGAGCUCGAAUAAGCACAGAUGCACCACCAGUCUAUCCUAGUUUACUAUCCUCUAUCAAUAGUUCAAUGGUAAAGCUGGUAAACAAUACCUUCUUUACGUUCAGCUUCUUCUUCCAUAUUGCUGCCAGGCCCCCAGCUCUACUAACCGGAUCAACUACAAAAACACUAUCAAACCUCAGCCAUUGCUUCAUAUUAUUCAAAUAGCUUGUUUUCUUUUUUGUUUCAGACAAAAAAACUAACACAGGAGAGUGAAGUCUAGUGACCUCUCUCAGCUGGGGAACUGUCAAGGGGCUCUCCACAUCUCGGCAGUUCCACACCACAGCCUUUAUUCAGACCUUGGAGCCCCAUUUAGGGUGGGCUCCACUCCCUCAGCUAACACCAUCCAGUCACCACCUCCCUCUAUAAUCCUGCUUCUCUUCCAGUUUUCACCCCUAUCAUGCUCUUCUCCCUCCCUCCCACAUAUUGUCUCCAACUUCCUUUUCCCCUUCCUAGUUCCUGUUUCUUCCGUAUUAACCUCGGUUAAAGGUUGCCUCCUACUCACCUCCAGCACCAACCUUUUAUAUGUCUUAUUACUCCCCUGACUUCCUUUUGGUCUGCCCCUUGGCCUCCCUGCCUUCCUUACCCUCUUCUCUCCCUCAGAAAUUAAACUGUUUCCUUCACAUUCGACUUUCCUGUCACCCUCUAAACCUGUUUAGUCCUCUCCUGCACUCCAUCAAUCCACAUCAGGUCAUACAUUUCUUCCUUACCGCCUUCCUUAUUCCCCGUUCCUCCUGCUCCCUCAAAGUUCCACCUAUCUCACUCCCUCUUUCCCCAACUGUCACCCCUUUGCCAUCCAUCCCUCUCUCCAUCCCCUCCAGCUUCCCUUUUCUCUGCUUAGUCUCCUUACUUUCCGCCCUUAUCUCUUCCACUUCACCCCUUCCUCCCUCACUCAACCCCUCUGGCCGCACUUUCCCCAGGCCAUCCCCAGUCAGCACUCCAUCCUUCCCCUUGUGAAACUCGUCCGUGUAUGUUAACAAUAACUUAUGUCCACCACUCCUGUCUUUCCUCCUGCUAUUGGAGUGGAACCUCACCUCCUCCCCGCCUCCAGAAUCACCCCCAUUCCUACUUCUCCUACUAGGACUCCUAGGGUAGCUGGCUCGCAACCAAUUCCCAUAUUGAGAGUCCAUGCCUGAGCUCAUACCCCUCCUACUACAAUUUCUUUCAUAAUGUCCUAUCCUUCCAUACCCAAAACAGAAGUCAGGGCAUUUUUCAUAUUUAAACUCAAUCCACCUCCUCGCCCCAGAGCUAUUAACCAUCACACCCCUAGGCAGCGCUGCAGUAAGAUCAACCUCAACCAGCAAUGUCAGAUGCUUACCGUCCUUUCCCCCACUCUGCGGUACUAACACCUCACUCACCUUUGGAAAAAUACUCCCAAUCUUCCUCCCUGCCUCCUUGGUAACCCAAUGCAGAGGUAAAUUCCAGAUAUCAGAGUUUUACUUAGAAUUUCUUCGUCCUCCUCCAUACCAGCUUUUCACGGCACUAGGAUGAGUGGCUGGCCAUCAUAGAUCCAUGGCCGCUUAGACAUUACUAUCUCAAUAACCGUCUCUUUUUCGAAAAUAAAUUGGAACAAAUUCCCACCAAUUUCUACCACCCUCAGAUUCCUCACCCGUGACCACAUGCUGUUUGCAAAGCUCUUAAUUCCCCCAAUAUGUGCCUGGUUUUCCCCCCAAACCUUCCCAACUAAACUUCGCUUGCAUUCCAGCACCCCCUGCUACCUCUUUCUCCUCCAAAUUCACACCUCCACUCUUUUUCGCUGAUAAUUUGAACCUUCGCAUCACUUCCUCAAUGUUUUCCAUAAUCCUCCCCUUACCUUUUCCGCUAAAACAGAUCACGAUCAGUCAAGCACAGAUCAGGUAUUAGUCCGAGCCCUAACGAUGCUUCCCGAUUAGUCCCCCAGUCCAGAUGCUCCACUGCAAUCAGAAUCAGACCGCGAUUAGAAGCAAAAAUAAAAGAAAACAGAACGCUACAAACCUAUGGUUCGAUUGAGAACGUCCACUCCCAGACCGCAAAGGCUAGAAGAAACAGUAAUGGCUAUCAGUAGUAGAUGUCCGCACUAUGCCAGAGAUGGAGUACCGAUAUCGGUAAGUUUCCUCCUAUAGAAGGAUUUUAUGGUUAGCGCCAGAAUUGGCAGUUCAAUUUUGGAUAUUUUGGGAAAGAAAAAACACCCACAAAAGGGGAUUUUCUCUCUCUAGAACAGAGAGAAGCCCUCUCUCAUGAUGAGAGACUACUCCAUACAAAUAUGAUGCGAAGUCAGUAGACUUCUUUCUAUUUUUUUUCUCUCUCUCUCUCUCUCCCUCUUUAACAAAGUUUAUGCAGUCUAAAGAGGCCAAAUGCAGACCUAAAAGACCAGGAUGGUCAAUGGGCUAUGAGAUGCUCGUGUACUGGACUGAAUGAAGAAGGUUUACGGUUGAGCUGACACAGAUUAGGCUUAUAUUCCAGGGGAUUGAUUAUAGGGCCCAUUGCUUCCUCAUUAAUUUUAUUCCAUUCGAAUUGCAUCGUGAAAUACUUGUUGUUAACAUAAAUGACUCAUUUUAAUUGGCAGUGGAUAUUAAUUAGGUAUUGGACUCUCAAUUAUAGGAGAAUAUCUUAAAUACUCUUCUUCUUACUUGAGCAAAAAAUGUAUAGGACUAACGCAACUUUUAAUUGCUUUUUAGCAUAUUCCACUGCAUUGGCUAUAUGUUCCUCAAACCAUUGAUCACAAAUGCUAAAAAUUUCAACAUUAACACUUCAACUUCGCCCUUAAGCAAUGCUCAUGGAAUAGUCCUUAGAUUAGACAACCUACAUAAUUAAACAUGGGUCUUAUUACUUUUUUUCCCCUAACAAGAAAGAGGUGAAAUUGAAGAAAUAGGGAGAGAAAAAGGGAAUUUGAAUCCAAAAACGAAUCUUCAGUAGCUCUCAUAAUUUACUGAAAGUUGAUACACAUAUACUAGUAUGAAUAACAAAUGAGGCCAAGCAUAAGGUGUAAAAUUUGAAGGGCGUGCACUAUUGCAUUCUUUUAAUUUAAGUGAGGGAACUAUUCCCUCUAGCUCCCGACAUAAUUGAGUUCUCUUCUAAGUAGGCUGGAGUAGAAAUAGUAAAAGAGUUGAUGAUUGAAAAAAAAAGAAGAGAAUAACAAACUAAUGGAAUAAUAUUCUUGUAUAUUUACUUGUUUUAUUUAUUGAAAAAAUGUUAAGUAUCAAUGUCACACAAAACAUAAGAUGGAACUCCAUUUUCGAUUUCAUCCAUGGUGGAAAGCUAAUUCAUCUGUGCAUGGUAGGAAGAGUGAAGCAAAGUUGGCCAAGACAUCAUUGUGGAGCCGGGCAGGAUGCAGCUAUUAAAUGAACUACUAGAUACCGGGUAGAAGGGGUUGAUUAUGGGUCCCAUUGUAUUUCUUGGAGAAAUAAAAUGCAAGUCUCUCAACAACUUAUGGGCACUUGUUUGCACCCAAAACUUGGCAUCAAUUGGGGAGUAGCUCCCCAAAUUGGUCAAUUGCAAUAAUCCUUGGAGAUAUGUGGAAAUGAAGCCAUGUGCACUCCAAUCUUAAACUAUAAAUGCUUACUUGAUAAAAGAGUUAUGACUAUUUAAAUUUAAUUAUCAGUUGACGUAGAUGAGUAAUUAUAUGCAAAAAUAAUUAAAAGGAAUUAAUUUUAUAUACAUUUUAUUUUUUACAAAAAUACAUUUAUUAUAAAUUUAUUGAAGAAUCUUGGUUUAUAAGGUUAUAGUAAUUUGGUAAUUGCAAUACUUAGGGUAGUUAUAUUGGCAAAACGUGAUUAAGUAAUUAGAGCAAAAAUUAAAAGUUUUUCCUAAGGAUAAAAUUGAACGUUUAGAAAAUGACAUUAAAAAACUUAUACUAACUGCGACUCCUCUAACUUUUUAUAUUGCAUAGAUAGUGGCUUUUUAACUAGAAUCAAAAUUAUAGAUGAACAAUUAGAAACAUGAUUAGCAUAGUAUUACAAAAAAACCAGAAUUGGGACAUAAUUGACGUGAUAUAUUUUAAUUUAAAUUUAAAAAUUAGAUAAGUAAUUUUAUACGCAACAUGGUGACUUUCAAAUCGAUAUCAAAUUUGUAGAUGAGUAAUUAUAAAUAUAAUUAGCGUAGUAUACGAAGAAACUAGAAUUGAGAUUAUAGAUAAAAUAAUCAUAAACAUAAAUCACAUAAUACAAAAGUUUCAGAGAUCGAACGUUUGAACUAUUGAAAUAACUAGAUAGUUACCAACUUAAGUUCUAACUCCGCAACUAGUUGUACUGGACAUGACAGACUAUAAAUCACAAAUUUGAUUAGUAAAAUAGUGUCAAAAUUUGAGAAUUUUUAAAUAUUAACAUUAUCUAAUGAUAAGGAUAACCAAUUAUAGUAAAAAUCAAAAUUUACUCUUAAAAGUAAGUGCUAAAUUAAAAGAUUUUGUUGUGAUAUGGAUUAUCUAAUGAUAGCAAAUCCAUUGAAAUGAGCAAGCAACGAUAUCUAGACAAAUGUCAAUUACAAUCUCGUGUUCAAAUUAAUUUACAUAUCCAAACAAAUGUAUUUGAGGAUAAAGUAAAGAGGUGAGACCCAACACAUUAUUUAAAACACAAACACUGUUUAGAGUAGUUACAGUAGUUAUAUUGGCAAAACGUGAUUAAGUAGUCAGAUCAAAAAUUAAUUUUUCUUUAAGGAUAAAAUAGAAAUUUUGAAAAAUGACAUAAAAAAGUUUACACUAACUGCGAUCUCUCUAACUUUAUAUGUUGAAUAGAUAGUAGUUUUUUAAUUAGAAUCAAAAUUAUAGAUGAUUUAUUAGAAACAUAAUUAACACAGUACUUCAAGAAACCAGAAUCGUGACAUAAUUGACCUAGUAGAUUUUAAUUUAAAUUUAGAAAUUAGAUAAGUAAUCUUAUAUGUAACAUGGUGACUUUCAAAUUAAUAUCGAAUUUGUAGAUGAGUAAUCAUAAACUUAAUUAACAUAAUACUUCAAGAAACUAGAAUUGAGAUUGUAGAUAAAAUAAUCAUAAAUUUUAGAAGAAAAUACUCUCUUCUUUGAAUAAUAAAAAAUUUAGAGUGGCAAGUAUUAAUCUCUUUUUCCUUGGUAAUCUUAUUAAUAUUGAAAAAUAUAUAUGAGGAGGAGGAGGAGGAGGAGAGAGAGAGAGAGAGAGAGAGAGAGAGAGAGAUUUUUCAAAAAAUAAAAAUACGAAAGAAUUAAAUAUUUUUAUUAUUUUAAAAUUAUUUUACUUUUGUGUUUAUCACUCAAUUCCAACCCUAAUACUAACAACUUUAAAGUAAUACAAUAAUGUUAGAAUCUUCUUUAUUUUCUUUCUUUGCAAAAUCUAAUUUUCUAUUUUCUUCUUUCCUAUCUCUUUUUCUUUUCGUACUAUUAAUAAGUGUGAAAAAAUAAAUUUGAAAAAAAUCCUUUUAGUUUUAUGUUUUGGGAUCUUUUAAAGUGAAAAAAAUGAAUAAUAACCAUUCCAAUUUUUUUUAUUUUUAAUUAUAUAUAAAAAGGUAAAUACAUUUAAAAUUUUUUUACUAUACUAGGUAGAUUAAAAAUGAGGUAAAAUGUUUAGAAAAUAAUAUUAGGAAUUAAAGCGAUUGUAUCACUAUAAUUUAAAGAAAUAAAGUGACAAUAACAAUGUAGUAAUGCUAUAGAAUAAAAGAGUAUUUUUAUUCAAAAUUUAUUGACAUGUUGAGUUGAAUUAUUUAUGGGGGUUAAGUGACUAAAAGAUCAUGUUAUGGGAUAACUUGAUAGUAGUGAUAUAGUUUAGGGGGGGUAAAGUGAUAAUAACCCUUUUAAUUGCUUGCAUACGCUUAUAAAUAUCAUGUACACUAGUAUUAUAUUAACUUAAAAAAAUACUUGAACAUAUUGAAAGAGUGAAGAAAAUUUAGAAGAAAAAGAAGUAGGAAAAAGGGCAAAAAUGUAAAAGGUAUACCUAUAUUCUUUUAUUUACUACCAAACAUUUCGUGGGUUCAACAAAAAUUCAUUUUCAUUAGCUAAUAAUAGUGAGAGUGAAUAAUGAACUUUUAGUAAAUAAUUAGUUUCAGUAACUUGGUUCAGCAAUAAAGUUGGCUAUCAUAAGAGAAAUUGAAGGAAUUUUUCACAAUCAUAUACACAGAAAUUAAAUAUUAUUUAAAUUAGAAAAUGAUGGCAUCGGAUUUAUGUUUUGAGAAAAGCAAUUCGGCAUUGAAUGUCUUUUUGUCUCUCGGUUGUUUAUGUUCUCCUAAUUGAGCAUUUACCUAGAUGAUGAUUAAUUUAUCAACCCAAUCAAAUGUACAGACAUAUAUGCAAUUUAGUCCUUUAGAAAGUCCUUCAAAAAAAAAGUCAUUUACAAAGUCCCACAUUACUCUGCUACGUAAUUCACCUCUCUGUUUUGAAACUCGGAUCGGACCGGCCGGUCAAACCGAGAACCGACCAGGUAAUCGGUCCGAAUCAUAUUAAAAAAUAGGAAAUUUAAAACCCGGUCAAAACCGGUCAAAAAUCGGGUUUGAUCGGUAAAAAAUCGGUUUUUCCGGUUUAACAGUAAUUUUUUUUUAAAAAAAUUCAAACUUUUUAAUAUUAUGUUUUGACCCCCUAAAUUGUUAAAACUUAUUGAUAUACAUCAAAUAUUUGAUACUUUAUAAAUAUUGUCCUAAAAUUUGAUGUUAUUUUUCAAUUAAAUUCAUAAUUUUAAUUCUAAACUUGUUAAUAUUUAUUAAAUAAUAUAAAUUGCUACUUGAUUGUUCUAAUUUCUUUGUAUUUUCUUGUUAAAUAUAUUUGAAACAUCAAAUAUAUAUGAAUAUACCUUUAUUAAUAUCAAUAUAUUAUUAGAUAUUAUAUAUAUAAUAUUUUAAUUUUUAAAUAAUUUUUAUUUAUGACGUCAUCCGGUUCGAUCCUAUCGACCCCGAUCGAAUCCAUUGACUCACUAUCCGAUCCGGUUCUGAAAACAUAGAUUCACCUAUGAAAUGAUUGCCUACCGGUUGCCUAAGCUUAUGUGGACUCGUAAGCUUUGCACAAUGGUCCCAGGCAGACUUGUUGUGAUUGUAGUGGUUCUGCCCAGGGCAGGAAGAAAUUCCCACUUUGCAGUUUGCACACUAGAAGCAACCCUCCAUUUUCCACCUUUUUUUUUUUCUGUAAAUUCAGUUUUACUUGGAAUUUGUGAGUUGUGAUUCUGAGUGGAGUGGUUGUCCUCGAUUUUCUAAGUUUGUGAGGAGGAUAUUCUUUUAACUUUUCCUAUAUUUACAAAAGAGUUGACUAUUCAAGUUAGAAACCUUUCUUUACCUCUUUUUUCUGCUCUUUCCUCAAAGUACUGAAGAACAUGAAUUCUUGUGGUCUACUGAGAAUUAAGGUUUGCAAAGGCAUCAACCUCGCUGUUCGUGACACUGUUAGCCAUAGCAGUGACCCUUAUGUCGUCGUCAGCCAUGCUGGCCAGGCCUGUCAUCUUCCCUAUUACUUUUUCUACUGGCUAUUCUUGUUUUUUUUGGCUCUCUAAUCAUAUCAUGUAUUGCUUGUAUCUUAUAUGAUUGAUAUGGCCUUUUAAUUUGUGGGUUUUUUCUGUGAUCAUUCAAAUCAUAUUGGGUUUUUUCUUUAUUUCCAAAGAUUGCAAUUUUGGUGGUUUAUCUCGUCGAAAUCGGCAUCGGUUGCAAGUUGAAGUAGUAGAAUUAGAAGGCCAUGUUAAUUAGAAUUAACCAACCAGAUUGAUUUUCUAAUUAAAAUAUUAGUUGAAGAAGAAUAGGAAAAAGAUAAAGAAAUUAGGUCUAAAUACGAAGACAUAUAGAAAUUCCAAGAUUCUUUUUUUUUUUAAUUUUUUGAAACUGAAUAUAAGAUUGAUGCUGGAGGAUACCUGCAACUGAGGAAAAGGAUAAGCCAAGAAUGAGAAGCAUAGCUGAAUAAGGGGGAUUGUGAACUGAGCUAGUGGCAUUUAUGCCAGAAAGUUAAGUUUACCAGUUCAUGGUGGAAGUGCUGUUUGGCCUAUUUGUAGUUAGGCUAUCAUGGUUUUGUCAGCUAAAUGCUCAAAAAUGUUGAUUGAAUUUCAAGAUACUGAAACUGAAAGUUCAAUUUCAAUGUUUCUUUUCGUUCUUGCAUUAUACUUUAGUUUAGCGGCUGCUUAAUUUGUUUCUUUCUUAUUUAAUAGAGCAAACUUUUGGUUGUUCAUAACAUUUUCAAAUAUGGCAUUGCAAAUGCUUUGCUUUGUUAUUUGAUAAGCUUCCCAUUUCUGGACAGCUAAAAACGUAAUUGGUUGAUUACAAAGGGAGAGAUGCAUGCUGUUGGAAUAUGCUUCAAGUUAUAUGUAAAGUUAAAUUACUAUGCAUGGUUCAAACGUCAAAAACACCUGUUCACUUAGUUUUAGCGCUGCUAGUACCAAAUUGACUUGGCAAGUGAACUCGCUGCAUAGAGAUGGUGUUUCAAUUUUCCUUCACCGUUCACCACCAACAAAAUACUGGCCAGCUAUUUUAAGAAUUUGUAGAUGUUGGAUAGUCUUAAUGAACGUGCUUACAAUGUGCUUAUUCUGCUGAAUAAUUUGGUGAUUGAGGAAUUUGAUCUGUUAUCCCCCUGAUGGCUGCAAGACAAGUUUAGUAGUGAUUACUGAAUUUUCUUCAAUCAUUUAGAUCGUAGGAUCGUGUACUGCUUCUCAUGACGUAAAGUUUAUUGCAGACUGUGAAGACAAGUGUGGUGAAUAAAAACUGCUCCCCUGUUUGGAAUGAAAGUCUGACUCUUAGUUUGAAGGAUCCUAAUGUCCCAUUUGUUCUGGUAAGUCACAUUUUUCUUUUCCUUUCUUAUUGAGUGUCUGCAAUGAACAUCCGUGACUUGAAUGGAUCUAGGUCGGCAGUCUUGCCAAACUGAUAGUAUAAAGCAAUGAGUUCAAGUUUAUGUUCUCUCUGCAUUGUGCUUAAUCAAAAGUGUGUGUUCCUUUGUACAUCUGUCUUGCCUUCUGGAGGACCAAAAUAUGGUGAUCGUCAUGUAUGACUUCCACUGAUUAACAAUGGAUUUUGUGUAUUUCAGAGAGUAUUUGAUAAAGACACGUUUACAGGAGAUGAUCCAAUGGGAGAUGCAGAAUUCAACGUGAAACCGUUUCUCGAGUGUUUGAAAAUGGGUUUGCAAGACCUCCCAGAUGGGACUAAAGUUGACAGAGUUCAACCGAGCCACGACAAUUGCCUUGCAGAUGAGAGCUGCAUUGUUUGGAACCAGGGUAAAAUGUUCCAAAAGAUGAUACUUAGGUUGAGAAACGUGGAAUGUGGUGAAGUAGAAAUACAACUUGAAUGGCUUGAUUAUCCUGGAUUUAGAGGCUAAAAGCAAGACUGAUUCCUUCGCUGUUGUGUGCUUGUGAUUCGAGGGCUGAUGAUGAAGGCAUACAAUCUAAGUUCUUGCUGUAUAUUUAUGGCUGUUCCUCAUGUAAUGUUUGAGAGCUAAGGCAUGACCCUCACAGGAAACUAUGUCGGCCUCUUGUAUGGCUAUUGUUCAGGUUACUGCUUUGCUGGUGUUGCUAUAACAAAUAUAACCUUUUCUGUUUCUUUACUUGGGAGGGGGAAUGAAGGAAGCAGAAAAGGAUAACGGGAAUAAGAGAAUAUUGAAUCCUUGCUUCAAGACGAUCGAGAUGAAUAAGGCCCUUAACUAUUCUAACUGAAUAUAACAUAUUUCUCAGCAAGAAAUUUGAGAAUUUUUUUUUUUUUUUUUUAAAAUUUACAAUCAAGAACUGAAUUCGCCCUGGCUGAUGUUAUUUUCUCUUUCGACAAUUAACAGCAGAAAUUGAUUAGAUGCCAUUUUUCUCUUUCAACAUUUACCCCUGAUUUCCUUUUUUUCUUUAGCUGUGAUAUUAUUUGCUUGACGUUGACAAGAAUUGGUUUUUUUUUUUUAAUUUUAUUUUGAGCUUGAUCAAAUUGAAGGGAAAAAAAAUUAAUCUGGCGUUAUUCCCAUGUUCUCCUCGUCAAGCAAUAAGGAACUUGGCAUAUUCUUGAACAACCUUCACUACCUUUUUUGAGUCAAUCAGUCAUAAGAUCUUGUAUCUCUAAACUUCAUUUGGAUAAAUUACUUCAGAAAAGCUACACAAAAACUGUUCUUGAUUUAGAAUAUGUCAGAGACUUUUUUUCUCUCAUAAAUAAAAUAUCUCAAAGACUUGAAUAAUCUAAUUUUCAUUUAGUUACUUGAAAUUCUUGGGACCAACAGAUGUGUUCCCUAAUUCUAGUUAUAUACAGAUCUCAUUUUCAAAUUCCAGGAAAUAAUGCUCAGUAAUCCAGUCCUCGAUCCGAAUUUCGAAUUUGACUUGGCAUUCCGGUUAAUCCCUACAGAAAAGGGAACCCCCCCCAAUUGGAUUAUUAGGUGUCGUGGAAUAUACGAUUUUUGUGUUCGAUAGAAGUAUCAAUCGCUGAAGAAGAUAUGCAAGAAAAAAAUCUCAGGGCAUUUGGAAGUUUGUUCUCAGAUAUUUCAUCCUUUGCAGGAGAUACAUAUGCAAACUGUAAGGUUAUGGUUUAUUCACCAAUAAAUCUUAUCUUCCUAACUUUCAACCCUUGUCCAAAUAUCAUCACCAUUACACGCUUUGAAAAUAAACUAAGGGCGCCAAGUUUGAAGCAAAUAAUAACAAUGGCUUCUUCCACUUCAACACAAUCACAAUCCCUACAAGGUCUAAUUUCCAAAACAAGCUUUCCAUCACUUCCAAUAAAUAAACCAAUAUUGCACAAUACAAAUUUCAAGAUUUCAUUCCCAUUUCCCUCUAGACAAUCUUUACUACGCGUCGAAUCUUCCAGCACUGUAAAGUCCAAUGAAGUUGUGGUGGAUGAAGAAAUGGAUAAAAUUAGAAGACUGCAAAAUGGCUCGGACGUUCGUGGGGUGGCUCUAGAAGGCGAAAAGGGGAGGACGGUCGACCUAACGCCUCCCGCCGUGGAGGCGAUCGCAGAGAGUUUUGGUGAAUGGGUUGUGGAGAGAUUGGAGGAGGAGAAAACAAAUGGAAGUGUGGAAAAUGUUAGGGUGUCACUUGGACGUGACCCUAGAAUUUCAGGUGCAUCCUUAAGUGCUGCUGUUUUUGCUGGUCUUGCUCGUGCUGGUUGUCUGGCUUUUGAUAUGGGGCUUGCAACUACACCGGCUUGCUUCAUGAGUACAUUGUUGCCUCCAUUUAUGUAUGAUGCUUCCAUCAUGGUAUGGAAAAACAGCUCCGUGUUUUUGAGCUUGUUAUGCAUACAUAUAAAAAUUGCAUAGACUGAUUUCUUCAAUGAUUUUGCACUAAAACUAUUGUUAAACAUAGAUAUCAAGUCUUGAAGCUUUUAAGGAAAAUAAUAAAAUUUGUAGAAAAUGCCUUUUGAGACCGUGUAGGAGAAGUUUGUGAAGACAAAACUUUUUAAAGCUAACUAUUGUUUCCUUUUGCUUUCUAAGUGAUGCUAUGGCUAUGAUUUCCUGAAACAUGAUUUCAAGAAACCAGAUGGUAAUCUUGCUCUUCAACUUUGGUAAAGUCGAACUUCAAAAGACACUUGAUUUUCACAUAUACUUUUCUUUCAUCUGAAAUAAGUUAAAAGCAAAAUUAAAAUCCCGCUGGGAAACUAUAGUCUUUAAAAAUAGUUCAAGGCUUUAAGCAAAUGAGAGAAAAUGGGAAAAUACUACUACUAGGCUUUGGAUGUUUCUUUUAGUCUGUAUUAGUAUGCUAAUAUGUGGAAGAAUUGAGAACUAUAACAUGAUGCAGAUGACAGCCUCUCAUUUGCCGUACACCCGGAAUGGUCUGAAAUUUUUCACCAAGAAUGGAGGCCUGACAUCGCCGGAUGUGGAGGAAAUAUGCUACAGAGCCGCCCGGAAAUAUGCUAAUAGACUUGCAAAAGUGUCAACUGCUCUCCGGAAUCCACCAAAACGAGUGGAUUUCAUGAGCACUUAUGCAAAACACCUCAGAGAUAUCAUCAAGGAAAGAGUUAAUCAUCCCUUGCAUUAUGACACUCCUCUCCAAGGAUUUCAGGUUGGAAAUUUUAGCACAAUCUUUAUUUAGUUUGUGACUGAAAAAUUCUCCUGCACGAGUUGUUUUUCCCUUGUCCUCUUUCAUUCAUGUGCAAUGGUGGUUCCACUUACCUCAUCUAUGUUGGAAUCAAUUGUUAUACUAGCAAGUGAACAUUGGCCAUAAAAAUUGCAUGAUUGUCUGUGUUGUUAGGGUGAAUAUUAACCUUUGUUUGAUUUAUUUAUUUAUCUUUCCAUCCUUUUCUACACCCUUCUUAUUUUUAACUGUCAGACACAAGAUUUGAAUCCUGAAUCUGACAGUAACGAAGACUCCAAGAACUCUUUCUUGUCUCUAGACCCUAGUGGUUAGGAUGAAUAUUGUCUCUAGACCCUAGUGGUUAGGAUGAAUAUUAACCUAAAAUACGUGAUUGAAAUAUACGAAUUUUAUCUGAUUAAUUUUUUUAAAAGUAAUUUUGCGUUCGUCUGAUUUAGUAAAAUGAACUACUACCUACCAAUAUUUUGAUUAAAGAACUUACUACGAUAUAAUAACGAAACUUUGGGCUCAGCCUAAUACUUUUGUCCAAAUAAAAUAACUGCAACCAGAGUGUCGGCCCACGCUCUUCCGGACCCCAACAGUCAAUACGCUUGCAACACAGGCUGGCCAGAAAUAGCAAAUGAAACGUAAGGCCCAUUCUAAAACAAAAUGAAAAUUUGUUCUUAAAAAGAAAAUGAAAGAAGGAAAGAUAUAUGGGUACCUUCAAUUUACUUACUCUAUACGGUGUUUUUUUGGGUAAAUUACAGAGUCUUUUUUAUUUAUUUUUCUUCUUAUUUGGGAUGCAUAUGGAGGAAAUCUGAUGAAAUUAAUGCAGAUAAUUGUGAAUGCUGGAAAUGGAUCGGGAGGGUUCUUUACAUACGAUGUCUUAGACAGGCUAGGAGCAGAAACAUUCGGUUCUCUACACCUCAAUCCAGAUGGAAUGUUCCCUAACCACAUUCCUAACCCUGAGGACAAAACUGCCAUGGCCUUAACAAGGGCUGCAGUUCUUGAAAACAAAGCUGAUCUUGGCAUAGUUUUCGACACCGAUGUUGAUCGAAGCGGCGUCGUUGACAGCUCUGGGAACCCCAUAAAUGGUGACAAACUCAUAGCACUGAUGUCUGCCAUUGUCCUGAAAGAGCAUCCUGGAACUACAAUUGUGACUGAUGCACGAACAAGCAUGGCCCUGACUAGAUUCAUCACUGACAGAGGAGGUCAGCAUUGCCUGUAUCGAGUUGGAUAUAGAAAUGUGAUUGAUAAAGGAGUUCAGCUUAAUAAGGAUGGGAUGGAGACUCAUCUGAUGAUGGAAAUUACUGGCCAUGGUGCUCUCAAAGAAAACCAUUUCCUUGAUGAUGGUUAGUGUAUUUCUUCUACGGAAAAUAUCAAGAUUGCAGACACUGUAACUUUCAAACUUAAAAGACAUAUAUUAAUAGUUUUCUAACAUAUCUCAUGUAACUCAGUCUCUCAAUCUGAUUCUAACUUUAUCCCUAAAUUUAAAAUAAACAUUCUCCCGAUUUCUUAAAAUUACUGGGGUUUACAUUGUCUUUUUGAAUUUGAAAAUCACAAUGUCUGUAAUGCAACUAUUGUCCUUGUUCUAUAUAUAAACCUGAAUCUUAAAUUUUGGCAUGGAUUCUUGAUAUGCACUUUACAUUGAGUAAAUCAAGCGAUGUGGUUGAAUUUUGCAGGUGCUUAUAUGGUUGUGAAGGUCAUCAUUGAGAUGGUAAGAAUGAAGCUUGAGGGCUCAGGUGAUGGAAUAGGUAGUCUUAUUAAAGAUCUUGAAGGGCCCCUGGAAUCAGCAGAGCUUAGGAUGAAUGUCAUUUCUGAGCCAAGGUUUGCAAAAGCCAAAGCCAUUGAGGCCAUUGAAACAUUCAGAAACUACGUUGAGGUACAUAUCUAUUACUUUGUGCUAAAAAAGAACAAGGAAAAUAGCAAGAACCAUAUCUGGUCAAAUCUUUAGUAUACUUUAUGCUAAAAGAAUGGUAAAUUAUUUGCAGGAAGGUCAGUUGCCAGGCUGGGAUUUAGACUCUUGUGGAGAGUGUUGGGUAAGUGAUGGCUGCCUUGUGGACACCAACGACACUCCAGCAGCUGUUGAUGCUCACAUGUACAGGUGCCAAAAGUUUUCAAACUAAUGCUCUGCCUCCUUUUUUUCUUUGGGGCUCCUUAAUCAAUCUCUCCUUUUCCUCUGACAAAUUUCCGCACAAAAAUUACAGCCCCUUCCCUUAAAUCCGUAUGAUGUAAAAGAAUUGGUCACCUAAUUUGAAAAACAUAAAACUUUUUCAAUGGUCAGGUAGAUCUUUAGGUUGCAUCAUUGUCUUUUAAAUCUUAGGUUAUGGAUGCACCAUUGCUUUUGGCGAGAAUGGCUCAAGCUGCUCCUAAUCUAUUUAUCAUAAAAUGUUAACACCUUGACAAACUCUACAUAAUUGUAGUCCCUUUAUUGCUAAAUACAAAUUUGCUCAAACUCCAGGGCCAAAGUUUCUGACAAGGACAAUGCAGAACUUGGAUGGGUACAUCUUAGACAGAGCAUUCACAAUCCAAAUAUAGCUGUGAAUUUGCAAUCCAACGUACCAGGAGGUUGCCAAUUGAUGUCAAGAGACCUCAGGGACAAGUAAUUUCCAUUACUUCAUUAACACUAUUGAUUUCUUGGCUUCAUAUUAGUACUCUCGAAAUUUUGAUUCAUUCAGCCAAUUUAUCUAUGCUUUGAUUCGGAAUUUCAGGUUUCUUUUGGCAAGUGGGAUGGAUAGAAUUCUCGAUAUCAGUCAGAUUGACAAGUAUGCCAGAAGCGGAAGCGUUUGAUGAUAUGCAAAGCCUUGUGGAAAAAUCAAGCAUAGAUGUAUAGUAGAUAGUAUGCAUAUAGAAGCAUAGAUGUAUAGUAUAUAGUAUACAUAUAGAAUAUUAGACCCGUGAAUUGUACCUACUUGUACAGUACGAACCCUUUUAUUGUAACAUUCAUAUACUUUUGAUCACUCAUUCAGUAACCAUACCAAUUAUUGUAAACAUUGACAAUUUGAGAUGGAAAACUCAACUUGGCCAUGCCAAGGGUAAUUCAUGCAUAUUUUCCUUCUCUUUUUGUGGCUUUUGACGGUUGUGGUAGCUAAGGUUAUGCUUCUUAUCAUAAGCCAUUGGCAAAUGUUGAUCCAUCCUUCUUGGUAUCACAACGAUUUGUGCAUAAAAGAGACAAAUGAAUUUUUACACGAUAGAUCAUAAAAAUGCUAAAAUGAAAAUUAUUUUAGACACAUAUGGCAUGUAUUCUUGACUGGUUUUACAUUGAAAUUCCUGAUCAAGAAGCUUAUGAAGCUUGAAAAUGAUCUUGGUUCUUGAGGAAGUAAGCAUCAAUUAUGUUACUAACUUCACUUGCAAAGUCAAACAUGUGAUCAGGAGCAGGGACAUCUAAAUUCUGCUUCUCAUACUCGUAUGUCCAAUUAAGAAAAUUCUUUGCACCUUUUGAAGUUGCUUGGAAAGUUAUUAGCAAGCUCUUAUAAUCCUUCAGAAGAUCACCCUCAAGAAUUCUGUAAGUCAUUGACCUGUUAUCUUCAUCAACAGUUUCAAUGGUCUCCUUUACCGGAAUUAGUUUGCCAUCUUCAAUUAAUACACAUGAUUACAACAUGAACCAAAUUAGGAAUGAAAAUCAACAAAAAAAAAAAAAAACAUUGCAUAUUUAUACAAGGUCUACGCUCUUUAAUAUAAGAAGUCCAUGCAGGCCUUACCAAUCAAGUAAUUUACCAAAAGUUUGCAUCCUACUUCUCCCCAGUUUCCUUCAAGUAAUUCGAUGCUAGGAAGUUUGUCAGGGCAGAUGCUUGGCAGAUAUUGUUUCUUGCUGCCAUAAAUUUCGAAGAAAAGUAUUCCAGGAGAUGAGAUCUCCUGCUCGAACACUAGCUUGCCCCUAAGACUCAUUCUUGUCUGGACAAUUUGAAGAAUAAAGUUCCCUUUGAUCUUUAUAAACUUGUAAAAUGUAGUUAUUUUAUUUCUGAGCAGAAAGUUUAAAAUCAUAUUUUGGGAUUGAGAUCUAUGAUUGAUUGCUUUUCCACGAGGCAGUCAUGAUCUGAAUGGUUGAUCCCUUGAUUAAAAACAAAAAAACAAAAAUACGCUUGAUCACCUAACCUCCUAAUUGGUGUUUUUUCUAGCCUCCCACUCUGAUUUCCUUUUUCAAGAAUAGGACAUCACAACUCCUAAUUGGUAUAUUUUACUCUCCACUCUGUUUAUCUUUUUCCAAGAAAAGGACGUGCGCCAACAAAAUAAGCUGAUUUAUCAUGACAAGAUUUUGUUACACAACUUUCUUUAGAACAGCAAAGCAAAGGGUAUCACAGAUGCUUUUGCUAGAGAAAUUGUCAGCAGAGGUGGAUGAUUACAAUCAAUGCUAUCACAGAUGUUAGUUCCAUGACUAUGAAGUUUUUGUGUUAAUGACAAUGUACAAAUUAACAUCAAAUUGAAUAUGGUUUUUGUCAGCUCAUUAAUAUCUAGUUUUAAUUUGUGUUAUUCACAAAAAGAGAAAAAUUAUUGCAUAUCUCUAUCUCCAAACGAAAAAUUCUACAAAGUAAACCUGAUAAUGCAAUGGACACAAACUUAAAAAGCAAGUAACAUGUUUGAUCUGUUUUCAACAAUGGGCUAGAGGUUACAAUGGAGGUUUAGCUGGUAGGCGUCCCUUUGCCAUUUACUAAAACCAUUGGUGGCUACUAGCUAGCCACUUUUUAAAAUCUUAGGGACCUGGUGCAAAGCACAUAAAAUUCGAUUCUUAUUUGAAGGUGAAGGACCUGGUGCAAAGCACAUAAUUUUUGGUCUAUUAAGCCUGCCUUCGUUACAAUUUGAUCAAACAACAUAAGAUGAAAGCUAUAAUAUGGCUUUAUCGACCAGAUCAUAAUUACUAAAAACACAAAAUUAACAUUAUGCUUUUGUUAUUCAUCUCCAGGAUAACGUGCAUCAACUGUGCUGGUAAUUUCGCUAGCAAAACCCUUCAAUGCAUCAGGAGGUGGAACAUCAGCAUUCAUCUUCUCAUAUAUGUAUGUCCACUUCAAGAAAUUCUUUCCAUGUUUUGGAAAGUGAUUUUCAAGGUUUUGUACAUCUUCAUCAGGUCACCCUCAAAUAUAGCAUAAGUAAAUGACUGGUUCUCUUUGUCCACAGCUUCCACCGUCUCCUCUGAAAUCAAUUCUUUCCCUCCUGAAAUAAACCCACAUGAAAAAAGGGUUGAAUGAUUGGUAUAAACCACAAUCCAGCUGACUUCUGUAGGAACUUUAUUUACACAAGAAAGUUGGUGCAUUAACACAUAAUUAAAGAUAGGUUUUUGGCAAGUGUUAAGAAAUUGUUGCAGAUUGCAAUAAUGAAAAUCUUCAACUGAUUUCUAGAUUUUUGCUUCUACUGCUGUUCUAAGGCCUAACCAUGAAUGUGAUGUGAUGGUUGUAAUGGCAUCUAGUAUUUGUAUUAAUUACCAUAAUAAUCUAAUACCAUUUCCGGGGAGAAAAGAAAAAUGAUGGAAAUUUGCUUGUCUGUGAGAAUAAUGAUCUUACCAAUUGAGUAAUGGACAAGAAGAAUACAGCCCACGUUUCCCCAAUCGCCUUCCACUGAUUCAGUGAGAGGAAUCUUGUCUGGGCAGAGUUUUAGCAAGUUCUUAGGUGGAAGUUUAAAUAGGGUUAACUUGGAUACAGUGGAUUUCACACCAAAAAAAAAAAGAAUUCAUGAAUGCCUAAGAACUAUUGUGCCUAAGAAAGGUUUGUCCAAGUAAACUGCGCAGUCAACCCUCCAACAAUUACUGCUCAAAUUGUUGUCGCAAAAUUUCUUUUCUAAUUCAAAUAUACUCAUCCAGUAUAAUCUCAAAUAAAUAAAUAAAUAAAGAAGAGAGAAAGAUUCCUUCUUGUCCAUCCAUUUUAACUCGAAGAACUCUUCCAUCAAGACCAUUAACAGUUCGAAUCUAUUUGCCGAUGAAGGUUUAGUGUAGUGAGUAACCUUGAGAUCUUAAAAUUUACCUCAGGAGAUGAGUCCUCAAGUUGACCUCAGGAGUUACCACCGUGGCUUUUGAGGUUAAUUUGAGAUUAGGUUUAACUACUGAUUCUUAAAAAUUUCUGACAAAAAAGAGUAACAUUGAGAUCUUAAGUUUUAGAGAUUUUAGGUUCCAAUCAAACUGCUCCCUUCAUGCUUCUUAAAUCUUACAAUACUCCUAUUAAAAAAAUUAUAAAAUAAAAGUUCGAUUCUGUUGAUGAUAUGGGCCACCCAAGGACCCAAGCUAAAUUUAAUUAUGGGCUUAGUUUCCCUGUGAAUUGUUUGGAAUAUGAAAGAUAACUGGAGCACGUUUGAACCCGGCCAAAUUAGACAUUUAUAGUGUCCGGAUUGCUGGACAAAAUGGGAAUACGCAUUUCUUAAUGGGCCUCUUCUACAUUCUUGCCCAAGAAGAUAAGCCAAAGAUAUGGAUAAAAGAAAAGGAAUAUUGAAAAUGAAGAUUUACCAAUUUAGUUUUUUUUUUUCGUUUUUAUUCUUUUAGUUUGUUGAAUAGAAAGGCAUAUAGCUUGAGUAAUGAAGUAAAUAAAGUAUAAAAUCUUUAUACUUUUGUUUUUUACAGUUAAAUAGAUCAAUUUUACCCGAAAUAACAAAAGGGAACUAGCUAACAUAUCCAAUAGAUGGCCAAAUUAUAAUUUGGUCAUUUAAGCCUACCUUCCUUACCCUUUGAUCAAACAAACAUACAUUGAAAUCUAGGAUAUGGCUAUACCCUGAUUUAUGAUGAUAAUUAGAGUUGAAUCCAUCUAAACUUAGAAAUUUCUAAGAGCCACAAGCUCGCAUUAUCAUUAGAUAAUUAAUUGAGUAAUUAAGUUAUCAAGCUCGAACCACAUGGCUUCUUUUUUUUUUUUUUUUUUUUUUUAAAUUCAGUUCUAGACAAUGUGCAUCAAUUAAGCUGGUAAUUUCACUAGCAAAGCCUUUCAAUGCAUCAGGAGCAGGAACAUCAGUAUCCCUCUUCUCAUAUAAGCACGUCCACUUCAAGAAACUCUUUUCAUCAUUUGAAGUAACUUGGAGGGUGAUUUUCAAGGUGAUGUACAUUUUCAUAAGAUUCUCCUCGCAUAAAUCGUAAGUGAUCCACUGGUUCUUCUUGUCUACAGCUUCCACAGUUUGCAUUGAAGUCAAAACUUUCCCUCCUGCAAUAUAUAUAUAUAUAUCACAUGAAAAAUGGUUCAUUCAUUAAGUGGUAUAAACGUCAAGCCCUCUGACUCAACCAUAUAUUUGUAGAAUUCUGUUUACACAACAAAAUUUGGAGAAUUAGCACAAAGUUCAUAUGGUUUUUGGCAAGUGUUGAGUAAUUGUUGCAAUAACAAAAACCAUUCAAACUAAUUUCUAUAUUUUUGCUUCUAGUGUUUCUUUUAGGGCCUAGCUGUGUUAAAUGGCAUCUAGUAUUUCUUUUGAUUACCAUAAAAACUUAAUGGAAUUACCGGGUAGAAGAGCAAAAUCACAAAAAAAAAAAUGCUUAUCUGUAAGAAGAAUAUUCUUACCAAUGGAGAAAUGGACAAGAAGAAUACAGCCCACAUUUCCCCAAUAUCCUGCAAGUAAUUCAACGAGACGAAUCCUAUCCGGGCAGAGUUUAGGUAAUUUAUGUAUCUUGCUGCCCAAAAUUUCGAAGAAAACAUUUCCAGGAGAUUUGAUUUCCUGGACAAAUUCUAGCUUACCGCUAAGGCAACACAUUAUUUUUAGUGCCACAAUUUUCCAGUAUACACUUUGCACUUGAUGAAGUUUGGAUAAGUCCUCGUAUACAUACUAGGUCGAAAGUAAACUCAAAUCCUUUUACAGAAGUACGUUACAACAUAAAUUUUAGUUUUAGCGUUUGUUUGCUAAAUCAAUCGUAGUAUUCUCGUGAGCUCAUGCAAUGCCAAGACAAAGAAACGGUAAAAUGGGAUUUGCGUUACUUACUCGAAAUGAAUUUUUUUUUAAAGAAAAAUACAAAGAAAUUAAUGUUAAAAGAUUUACUCCUUUUCAUAUAUUUUUAUCAAAAAGUACAUAGGGAAAGGGAUGGGUUGAGUGAUUCGGGAAAAAGAAUGUAAGUGAGAGGUUUUGGUUUUAAGCUUUCCACUCACGCCGUUAAAACAUAUAAAUUCAAAGUGUAUGUAAUUAGACUAAUUUUGGGAAUUAUUUAUUCUAACACGGUCGACAUUAUUGAUGAAAUAUGGCAUCGGCAGAACCUAAAACUUUGAAAUUCAUCUGUUCCAGAAUUUCAAAUGGUAACAUUUUUCCUUAAAAUUUUGGAAUAUUUAUUUUAGGGAGGUAACAGCAUCCGGUGGAAUUGAAAUAUGAAUUUGUCUAACGGGUGUGCAAUUUGCCCUCGUUGAAAUAUCAGCUUGGCUAACCGGUGUUCAAAUGGCCCUCGCUAAGUGGGACAUUAGGCAUUAAUUUUGAAAAAAUGUAAUUAAUUUGAAAAAGUUUAUAAAUUCAGGGGAUAUAAUAAUGGUGAUUGUGUGAAUUUAUAUGGUAAGUUAGAUGUAAUUUAGGUACGUUAACAAGUAUCCACCUGGAUGGGAACCUUUACAAAAAAUCCAAGGCAUUAUUGUUGUUUUGAGAGAAUGGGAGGGAAAGGAAAGCAAACGGAAAUGGAGGGAUAAAGUUUUUAAAUUUUGGAUUAGUUUUUGAGGAGAGAAAGAAAAGGAUUUGAAGGGAAAGGGAGGGACAAUAAUAGUUUUUUUUUUCCAGCCUGCUUCACAUCCAAAAGUGGACAAAAAUAGAGGAAAAUGACAUCAAAAUUAGUGAAAAUUUACUUGUUUAUAAAUUAAACUUUAAACUAUGGAUAAAAAUGUAAUUGACGAUCGAUAGUGUCCUUUCCUUUCCUCCCAUAAUCCAAACAAUAGAUGGACUCAGAUUUCUUCUACUCCCCUUUCUUUUCUUUUCUUUUCUUUUCCUCUAGAGCCUUCUCCUUUCCUUUUCUUCCCUUUCUUUCAAUCCAAACGGUGCCUAAAAGAAAAUACAAGAUGAUGCGACUAAAAAGUUUAUACCAUUCCUAUCGACUGUCAAUUGCAUCAAAACAUGAACUUUGUCUAUAUAAUGUGCACGCUUUGUCACUGAUUUUUGUCGAGUGCUUAGACCAUGAUUGUUAGUGUUGCUUGCUGGAUAGUUUACUCUCAGUAAAAUACUUCGAGAUUUUAGGCCAUAGCAUAUACUUAUGGCUUAUAAAGUGCAUUACUAUAGACGAAAACUACCCAAUCAGCAACAACGGUAAUAUUGGGUUUAAAUGGUACAAUACACUAGGAUAAUGUGCAUUUUACCGACUUCAUGAAUGUGAAGAACUAAAUAUUAUGUAUUAAUUUUAUUUUAUUUUUUUGGAUAUAGUUGGCUUCAAUUAGCGCUCAAACUCGAGAUCUCACAAGGAGAAAGAGAUACCAUAUAUUUUUUUUUUGGUAUGGUUUCUCUUUAUUACUAGAGUUGGUAUCAAAUGUACUUAGGAGACAGAGAUACCUUAAACGACCUUAAGCGAGGGCUAUGAGCUAUAAAACAAGAAGAGGACGAACUACUAGAAGAAGAAUAUGGGCAUAAUAGAGUUGCAAACAAAUCAAAUUGCCCGCUAGUAAUUUGAGUCAAAAGUUGACUCGAGUAAGAUCAACAUCAAGUUCAAACUAACUAAGUCGAAUUUCAGGUCAAAUUCGAGUUCAAAGAUGCUUAACUUGUUAGCUCGCAAGUUGACUGGAUUUUAUAUAUUUAUAUUUAUAUUUUAAUUGUAAAACUACAAUUUUGCCUGUGCCUUACUAUGGUCUAUUUUUAUUUAUUGUGAAUUUAUACAAUUAUGAAUCAUUUAAAUGCGAAAAUUAACAACAAUUCUACACGUUCAUUCAUACUAACUUAAAAAAAUUGAUGUAUUCUAAAUGUUCAAUUAUUUUAAAGCUUUACUUGCUUUGGCCCUAGAUUCACUUUCCUUAGUUAUGUAGACCACUGGACAUUAAACUUUUUUUCCCCUUUUAUUUUAUGCUAGUUUUCUUUUGUGUGAAAUUUUGAUCACGAAAUAUAACUAGAAGCAUCUGGACCUGUCCAAAUUAAACACAUCUAAUAGUAUGGAUUACUGAAUAAAAAGGAGCUUAUGUAUUUUGCUAAUGAAUUCAAAGGAAUUCAUACGCAGGGAGACAAACCAGUUUGAGAUGGGGAUAAAUUAAAAAAGAAAAAUUGAAAAGGGCGAUAUACCGCCGUUUUAUUAAUUUUUUUUUAAUUUGGUAAGUCCUUUCUUUUUGAAAGGUUAGUUUGGUAAAUCAACUCAAGUAAUGAAGUAACAAAAGUGUAAACUUUACACUCUUUACAGUUAAACAGCUCCAAAAAAAAAAGGUCUGUUUGCUAAAGAAUACAAUCUAGCUCUCUAGGGUAUACUUCUCAUCAGCCAUCAUACUACUUCUGCUACUUUAAUUGCUAUAAGUUCAUGCUGGUAAAUGUAUUUGCACCAAAGUCAUAUCCAAAUAUUUAUUAGCUGAGUUAAAAUGAAAUAUAAAUGGUGCGAUAUUUUGGAGUUAUGAUUCUUUACUUUAGUGGAAUAUAUUAGAAUAGUUGGCCAAAUAAAAGAAAUCAUUUGGGGUUAUAUAUUGAAAUCAGCAAAUUUGCUGAAGAAAAAUAGGUCCUUGCGAGUACGAAGCAACCACAUGUUUCAGAAUCACAAUAAAAUCACAAAUAUUCAUUACUCACAAAUAAUAUUUAUUUAUGUUGUUCAACCUUUACAAACAUUGCUUGUGAAACUAACAAGCAUUAGCUUUAUAAUGACAUAGCACACAUUUAUUCGUGCAUCCAUUUUAGAAGACACCAUAUAUAGCAACUUCAAACACGCUAAAUACUUAGAAGAUAUGUCUCUCUCUCUCUCUCUCUCUCUCUCUCUCUCUCUCUCUCUCUCUCUCUCUCUCUCUCUAUAUAUAUAUAUAUAUAUAUAGAUGGUUCAAGCAUUUUUGAUGUGAUGAGAUUCAAUGUCUUCAACCAUGUGAAGGAAAAAGUUGAGCAAGGUUCCUGGAUGUGGGGUAUCUUCCUUCAGCUUCUCAUAGUCGAGAGUCCAUGUAAUCAAACUUUCUUUGUCACCAAGAACAUCAACAUGGUAUAUGAUAGUGAAGGUCUUGUACAGCUCCAUGAGAUCUCCUUCAAUCAUCUUAAAUACGAUUGAUUUCUUUUCUUCAUUUAUGUCCUGAAUAAUCUCCUUUGCCACCCUAUCUUUCCCGUCUGUAAAAAUGAAAAUUAAAUCGAUUACAGACUCUCCAAUUCCUAGUCAACAUGCUGGUAAUCCAAAAACAAGGUUUGCGGAAUUCUUUCUUUUUGUUUUUUUGCGCAAAAAAGUAUGUUUUGAUUAGGAUAGACUAUACCAUUUACACAACCAGGGAAGUAUUCUCGUUGUGAAACACCAGGUAUAUAGCAAAAGAAAAAAAAUCAGUAGUAUUUAUUAAUUGAAUUCUUUACGAAGAUGGACUUCCUUAAUUAACCUUUGUUGUUUCCACAAUCAGAUUAUUGUCUUUGUAUAAAUACUAAUGAUAAUAUUAAUAAUAAGGUUAACGUAAUAGAUCUAGUCCGUUUUUCAUUAAAACUUUUCCCGAGGCAGAUAUUAAGCUUUUAUCCUUUCUUUUUCUGGCAAAUAAGUUAGAUAACUAGUUGUAUGCCAGUUCAAAGCAGGUAAAAACAGAUGGAGAGAGUUUAAAUCAACUUAGUCCAGAAGCUGACUAACAUGCAACAAAAGCUAAAUGAAUAAAGGAAAAACAAGAAAAACUGCGAGAGAAGAAAGAGCCAAAAUAAGGAACUUGAAUAUUGAUUUCAUACCAUGGGUAUAAUGCCAGCAGAUUUUGGAUCCAACAGUUCCAAGAUCACCACCAAGCAAAGUAAACCCUUGAACUUUCUCAGGAGUUAUGGUGGCAAGAUCAUGUGGUCUUUUGCUUAAGACAUCGUGGAACACAUCUCCUGCAGGGCCAUGGAUGUUAGUUGACCAAUCAUUUUACCUUUGAGCCCCAUUUUUUUUCUGAGAAACUGAGAAGGAAAUGACCAAAUACUGCUGCAGCAAAAAAAUGCAAAGAAAUAUGGUCUACUAGACUAUCCCUUUGCUCCUUAUAUAGUAUAGAACUGAUGGGUGACUUCACCCCCCACCUCCACCCCCACCCUUUCUUUUUUUCAAUUGGGGUCUAUAAACCACGUAAGAGGAACCAAUUAUCUUCGCUAGCAACUAUCUUUUUUUUCCCUAGUUCUGCCAUUGUUACAAAGUUUUUUUUUUUAAUUCAUGAGAUGUUGUAUUGGUAAAUCAGCCCUAAUAAAUGAUACUCAGCAUCUAUUAAAAUGUGAUUAUCCUCAUUGUCUAUUAAUCUAUAAUCAUAUUACAUCUAUAGUUUUGCACUUAGGGUCAACAGACUCGACGCCAUUCAUUUUUUUAAUGCCUACAACUAAGGUUUUCUUGUGGGCAACUUAAAUUUUAUUUUGAUCGAUAUUUCUUAGUCUCAUUUUUGCUUUACGACAAGAACAUUGGAUAAAAUAAGGGCCAUCCUUAACAAAUUAUUUUGGAGAGAUCUACUUCUCGUGUCCAUGGCAAAAAUGACUCUCCAAUAAUGACUCUUAGAAGUUAGUUGACACAAUAAAUGAUAUAAAUUCAUGAGUUUUGGACAGCUGGUAAGUAGACUGUUAAUGUCAAUAAGAGAUCGCAAGUUCGACUCCUGUACGUGACACCUUGAAAAACUCUGGUAAGAUGGUCACCCCCAAAUAAAAGUUGGACUUUAUGGAUGCUCCUUGGACCGAAUCCGGGUUAGACUCACUAAGAGUGGGGAUAUCAGGUGCUCAAAACAAAAUAAAUAAAGGGUAAAAAAUAAAUAAGCCCCCUGUGGUAAACCUAAUAUACAGAAAAACCUCCCAUGGUUUCAAAUUAUAUAACACGACCCCUCUAAAUUGUAAAGAUGACGGAAUCCGUUAAACUUAACGGAAAUAGACAAAAUGACCAAAAUGCCGUGAUAUAAUUAAGCCAAAGACAGCUCAAAAAAAUCAUUUGUUUUAUUCUCUAAAUAGAGAGAAUUGAGGGUUAAGGGGUAGAAUAGGUAUAUUUGAUAAAAAUUAGGUAUAAAUUUUUUUUUAGGUUUCAAUAAGUCAUUUCCGUUAAGUUUAACAGAUUCCGUCACCUUUACAAUUUAGCUCAAAGUAUGAGGUGCCGUAUUGUAUAUUUUGAAACCAUAGGGGGCUUUUCUGUGUAUUAGACUUACCACAGGGGGUUUUUUUGUUUUUUACCCAUAAAUAAAUGAUAUCCUCUUCUUACAUGGUUUUUGGUAGGUGGCAUACUAUUACCAAAUGGGAAAUAAAUGGAUAAGUUAAGGCCUUAUCUGAAUUACAGUUUUCUAAAGAAAAUUUUUGACGUUUUACAUAAACACAUUUAUGAAUCAUAUUUUAAUUUCACAUAUAUCAAAUUGUUGUAGCAUAUUUUUUUUGAGAAAAAAGUUUUGACGGCUCUCCAACUCUUUUUCAAGUUAAGUUUUGGCCCUUCAACAAUUAACAGUAAAGUUUUGGUUCUCGAUCUAAUAAAAGAGUAUAUUUGUGGCCCUUCUGUCAAAUCCAGAUAGUAUAGGGAUGGGCAAAAAAACCUGUUGAACCGAAAAUUCAGCGAACUCGAUGCAAUGCGAUCCGAUUUUUCUUAGCAGGGCAAAUAAGGGUCGGGUACCCGUGAAAAAUGGAUACGGAUACAGAUCAGAAAAAUAAAAACUCGUGGGUACCUGAUCCGCAGGGUAUAUUAUAUAAAUAUUAAAAAAUUAGAAAUCAUUUUAUAAUUUUAUAAUUUUUAAUCCUAAAUGUAAAUGAAGUGCCUCACAGCCUUAUAUUCUAAUAUCAUAUGAUCUGCCUCUCCUCAUAUUGUUUGAACAAAGCAAAUAUUCUCGGUGAAACCUAAAUCAAAUGAACAAAAUGAAGAAAAAUUUGUGAAAAUCUAUCAUAAAAAUUGCUCAUCCCUUUGAUUCUUUUCAUUUUUAGUCUACCUCCAUUGAUCUUUCCUGCAAAUUUUUUAUCAAUUCAAUCAAAGAUUUGUGUUUGGAGUUCUAAUUUUCUAUUAGCUAGAUGAUUAAAACAUUUGUGUCUUUCAUUUAUUUAUUUGAUUUAUUUUAUUGUAAUUAUGUCUCUUAAAUUUGUCUCUUUUAUUUUAGUGCAAGAAAGUUAUUUUUCUUUUUUAUCACCUUUAAUGCCAUAAGGUUUAUUCCAAAGAUGUAAGGAAAUUGGGAAGGAUUUUUCAAACUUGUUACUAAAAAGUGUAAAAUGAUCUCAAUUAAUUAAGCAAUGCAUCACUCAUGAUUUCAAUUUGAAGUUGAAAUUCCAAUGCAUCACUCACUAAGCAAUACAUAGUUGAAAUUUGAAGUUGGCUACAAUGAAUUACUUUCACUCAAUUAUCACACACACACAAAGAGAUAAUCAAGUAUAUGCUGGCUAUUAGAUAAAAAUUAAUUAGUUGGGCUGGCUGCCUUUGAUGACUAUCAAUAGAAGAUACACUAUCAUUGGAUACGCUCCCGCAAGCUGAAGUCAAGUCAGUCACAAUAAAAAAGAAGCCCGUCCCUAAAGUUUUAAUCAAAAUACAUUUCAUCCUUAUAGUUCUAUAGUUUUGAUCAAUUUCAUCCCUAAAAUUUCAUGUGAACAUAUUUUAUCCUCAUAGUUUCAUAAAAUUGACCAAUUGAGGACAAUUGAAUGAUUGUUAACCAAUUUGGACCAAGUAUCAUACAUAACUAGCAUGUCCCAUUGAUAAUUGUAUCAAUACUUAAUUCGAUUAUUGAUUAAAUUAUAUAAAUAACAAUGAGUGUGUUCGGAUAAAAGAUUAUUAUUUUUAAAUAUGUGAUAUAAUAUAUAUGAAAUAAAAAAAUAAAUUAGAUGAUAGACAGACAAUUUGAAAACGUGAAUAUAAUGCGACAAAACAAAAUUUUAGAAACAAAUGGCAAUCUAAACAGUUCUUUCUUUCACGUUAAUAUUUUUCUUCAUUUGAUUGCAAUGUAAUUGUUUGAAAGAUUUAUCCAAUUGGCUAUAAUGGAGUUAUUUCUUCUCCAUGACUUUAUUUCCUCUCAAUCUUUUUGUUCUAUUUGUGAUUAAGAAGAGAAUAAUGGUGGUUGAAAAUUUCUUAGUUUUUUUUAAAUAAAAAAGUGAAUUCAAAAAUAGUUUUUGAGGUUUUUUGUUGAUCCAACAUUUUCUGAAUUUUACUAACAUGCAUGUUGUGGUCAAGUGAUGAUAUUCCAUUCAAAUUGCUUGGCAAUCAAUCAAUUAUCCUUAAUUAGUCAAAUUUAUGAACUUAUGAGAAUGAAAUGUGUUUACAUGAAACGUUAAGAAUGAAAUUGGUCAAAAUUAUAAAAUUGUAAUGAUAAAAUGUGUUUUGACUGAAAUUUUGGGGACGAAAUUGCCUAACACCUCAAACAAUGAGGACGAAAAGUGCAUUUUUCCCUAAAAAUAAAAUGAACCUUCAUCCUUCCCCUUAUGUUUUUGGGCUACAGUCCUUUUUUGUUAUUACUGUGUUGAUAUUCAAGAUAACCGAACGUAUAUAGCUAGACAUGUUCCUUUUGAGGAAUCUAAGUUUUCCCCAUUCCUUGGUCCUUCUAUACUUGGUCCACCACCACGUAAAAAACAAACCAAUUCAAUCCACCUUGACUUGUUCUACCAAUUCAUGUUUUCAAAUUCAAUGGAUCCUACAUACAUUUUUAUCACAAACCGACUACUACUCUAACCCUUCUUGUCAAAGUCAAAUGAACUGACCCUAUGGUACUUCGUCACGUAACCAUCCAGAACAAAAACAAUACUACUUUAGCAAAACUUAUCUCUAAACCUUCUGUGGAGUCAUCUGAACUUAUCUCUAAAUUGAAAUAUGAAGUUAGCUGACAAUAAAUUACUUUCACUCAAUUAUUACUUAACAAAAUAAGUACAGUAUAUUGAAAAUCAAGAUGAGAAUGUGGGGUUGGGACAUCUACAUUUGCUUUCUGGUAUAGAGUCCAUUUCACCAUGUUCACAUCACCUUGGACAGUUGCCUGGAGAGUGGCUUUUACCAAAACACAGGUCUAAUUUUAAUUGAAAAAAAAAGUAAAUAUCAAAAUGGUGGAAUUAAAACAAGCAUGUAUAAGCUGGAAUCCAUCAACAAAAUUUAAAAAAAAAUGAAUAAAGAGAUUAAUUGGUUAAACUCACAUAGUAAUUUUCAAGGCCAUAAAACCAUGUUCAUCCUAGAUGGAGUCUGAUCAUUAAUCAUUUGGAGUACAAGACAGGCCAGUAUAAUUUCUUAUGUUUGGAUAGACUAGAUCUAUGUAGAUCACGUGAUUCAAAUUUUAUCAUACAAUCUCAGCAACUCAAGAAUUGAUGGUAUAGAAAAUUGUACCACAAGAUCAAGUCUAUCCAACUUUUUACCUCCUCGGUAAACUAUCAUUACUUAGUUUUAUGAGUAUCUUUUCCUUGCCAAGAAAACUAAUGAAAUGACUGAUUCUUUUUUUUUUUUUGGGUGUAAAGGCAACCACUUGAGUGAUUUCAGGAGAGACAAUGAUGACUUUAAGCUAUCAAAGUUUACUUUGCAGUAAAAAUGUAUGGCUCCAAAAAUUUUCUCACAGUCUUGUUAAAAGCUAUCAUAUAUAUGUCUGCUUUUAAUCCUACAGAUUAAUUACUGAGUAAUAGCUUUCUUGGCCCAUGACAAUAGGAACCGUCCGUCUUAGUGUCACAUAAUGCAGAUUCGUAAAACUUUAGCCCGACACCUAAGGGAGAUUCGCACUGAUAUUUCUAAGCUUAGGUAGGACCAAUAGGAGCCAAAAGAUGCCUCAGGCGCAUCAAAACUCGGUUUGGACCCCACCAAUUUACGCUAGAGCCCGUUGUGCAUUACAUCCAUGGGAGUUCGCCUUCCCCACCACAAUUUACAAGGACAGGACAGGAGCACCAAAAUUGGUCUUGUGUUUCGGCCCCAUCUCUCUACAGUAGAGUAGAAAGUCUUGUACGUGUAUCCAUGGGCCUGGUCCCGGGCCUUCCCUUCCCCACCACUAAUUAUACGAGAUUGGACAGCGACCACCGUAUAAAAUUUUUGUCCAUUGCUGAUUUUGGAGUUUCUGAAUAAAAAUGUAUUAUUAUAGUGAUUGGAUGCAUGCAAAAAGAUGGUUAGAAAAUUUGUUUACGGAAAAAAUAUAAUCUUUUUUUUUGGAAAAAUUACUUUUCAAAUGAUGCCUAGAGUCGGGUACAAACUACCCUCAAGGCAUACAAACUACCAAUCACAACUAUUAGAUUUAAGCCAUGCUUUUAUCUAUUGUCUGAGAGUAGUAAUUCUUAGGCCCUGUUUGGAAUCAAGUUUUUUGGCCAAGUUUUUUAGCUACUAGUUUUUUAACAACUUUAGCUACAGGAACCCAAAAAAACUUAUCAAAUUUUUUAACCUACACACUUUAAAAUAUCUAAUACACAAAAAACUUUCCAUUUUCUUCUUCUUUCUCCCCCACCCCUAUCCACCACACCUCCGCUGCCGGCCACCACCACCUCCACCGCUGUUUCCGGCGCCGGCCUACCCCUUUUUUUUCCUUCUCCCUCUCCCUCUCCCGGCCUCUCCCCCUCCCCCUCUCUUUCCCUCCCCUCCCCUCCCUGGCCACCCUCCCGCUUCCUCUCUGGUCGCACGCUACCACGAAAGACCGAAUUGGGCAAAAGGCUUCCGCUUCCUCUCUGGUCGCACGCUAUGCGAUCUGGUCGAACGAUCGAAUUGGGCAAAAAGGGAGGGGGGAAGGGGAGGGGAGGAGAGGGGGAGAGGGAGAUGGAGGAGAGGGGGAGAGAAAAAGCAAAAAAAAAAAUUGUAUUCUGCCAUGGCUGCUGGUUCUCCGCUUCGGGAGGGAGAGGGGGAUGGUGAAGGGGAGUAGAGGGGGAUAGGGGAGUAGAGGGGGAUAGGGGAGCAGAGAAGGAGAAGAGGGGAAGAAAAAAUGAAAAAAAAAAAUUGGGGAGAGGGGCUGUUGGUCGUCUGGUACCGCGAGGGAAGAGGGAGGGGGAAGGAAGGAAGAAGAAGAAGAAGAGGAGAGGAGAGAAAAGAAAAAGGAAAGAAAGAAAGAAAAAGAAAAAGAGAGAGAAAAAGAAAGAAAAGAAAAAAAAUGGAAGGGCCAUGGCUGCUGGGACUGAGAAGGCAGAGGUAACGGGGGAGGGAAGGGGGAGGGAGAAGGAAGAAGAAGAAGAAGAGAAAAAAGAAAAGAAAAAGGAAAGAAAGAAAAAGAAAGAGAAAGAGAAAGAAAAAAAAAGGAAAAAAAGUUUUUCGCUUUAAAAAAAUUUCUACAAAAAAGUUUUUCACCUUACAAAAACUUCUACAAUUUUUUCAAAAACUUCUACAGUGCACUACAGUAAAGUUUUAGACAAACUCCUAAAAAACUUAGGUUCCAAACAGGCCCUUAAUUUCAGCAUUAGUAGCAAAUGUAAAAACGAUUCCGCAGGUUAUACUUUGUGUGUUUGAAACACUUCUCUCUAAAACUCUUUCUCUCUCCCUUUUCUCUCUAAAACUCUUCCAAUCAAGAUCUUCUUCAUCUCUUUCACGGGAAAGAGAUCAAAUCUGAUUUUUUACCUCUGGGAGGAAGUACUCUUUAUACUUUUUAGUUUCUCUUGUUUAAAUAAAGGGAGAAUUGUAAUUUCAUCCAAUUUUGUAACGGAAUCCUAAUUGCGUGCAAUCACUUGCCUAGAUGUAGGAGCAUUUUAAAAUUUUUUUAACUCACAAAAUGCCGAUGACUUCCCUUUGGGAUUUCACUCCAAUUAUCCGAAAAUAAAAAAUAACCUGGGUUACACAAAGUCACAAACUUUCGUCGAUAUCCAUCUAAAGACUUUCGCCUCCGUCCUCUGCAGUUUGCUCACAUCCUUUCCAGGAAUCCCCUCUCUCUUCUCUCUGUCCUUUCCUUUUUCUUUUGUUUUCCCUUUCUAAAAGGACUCAAACUUCCUUUGCUCCGGUAAAUCCAUACAUGCUUUACCUUUUUCCCAGUUUUCCUUUUAUAGUCUUGGAUCUGCUUAGCUUUUCUGUUCCUUUUGUUUUUGAUACAAAUAUUGAGGCAAAUAAUAAGAGAAGCAAAAGACAAAUGUUUAUUGCUUUGUAAAACUCACACAACUUAUAACAUGAAAUUACUCUAUUUAUAGAGUUUAAAUCAACUCCACUAACUAUACCACUAACUCCACUCACUCCACUAGCAACUCCACUAGGUACUCCACUAAUCCCACUAGUUAUUCCACUAACUCCACUAAUUAGGUAGCAUAAACAAAUAUAAUUAAUUAACAACGGCAAAUAUUUCUAACAAUUCCUCCCUUAAACUGAAAGUUUAUCAAACAUUCAGUUUAAUAUGAUUUAUUAACUGCACAGACUCCAAGCAGCUUCCUUAAUUUCUGAAACGUGGAUAACUUCAAUGGCUUGGUCAUUAUAUCAGCAAUCUGAUCUUCACUUUUGCAGUAGAGAAAAUCAAUUAUUCCAUCCCUUGUGAGCUCCCUUAGAAAAUGAAACCUCACAUCUAUGUGUUUGGUUCUUUCAUGUAGAACUGGAUUUUUAGAGAGUUUGAUGGCAGAACUGUUGUCACAAUAAAUUGUAGUAGCUCCUUCUUGCUGAAAAUGCAACUCUUCAAGAAUAUUCCUUAACCAAAUUGCUUGACAGGCACAGGCGGUUGCAGCUACAUACUCAGCUUCAGUUGUUGAUAACGUAAUAAUUGGUUGCUUUUUUGAACACCAUGAAAUAGCUGCUGAACCCAUCAUGAACACAUAUCCAGACGUACUCUUUCUAUCAUCAGAAUCGCCUGCAUAGUCACUGUCAGUGAAACCAAACAAAUCUAAUUUUCCACCAUUCUUGUAAAAUAAUCCAUACUCAAUAGUUCCCUGCAAGUAUCGAAGAAUCCUCUUAGUAGCUAGAAGAUGUGUCUCCCUUGGAUUUUCCAUGUAUCUACUAAUAAGACUUACAGCAUGUAUAAUAUCAGGCCUAGUUGCUGUCAAAUACAUCAAACUUUCCACAAUUUGCUUGUAAAGGGUGCUAUCAACCCUCUUUCUCCUGGUUCUUUGAUGAGUUUUAAACCCACUUCAACUGGCGUACUAACAGAAUUACAAUUCGACAUUUGAAAUCUAUUCAGAAUUUUUUGCACAUAUUUUCUUUGAGAGACAAAAAUUCCAUCAGCAGAUUGCACCACUUCAAUACCCAAAAAAUAAUGCAUCUUUCCAAGAUCAGACAUAUCAAAUUCGGCCAUCAUAGAUUUCUUGAAUUUCUCAAACAUGGCACUAUCAUUCCCAGUAAAAAUAAGAUCAUCAACAUAUAAGCAAACAAUCAGCAAUUCCUCGCUUUGACAGUCACUGUGAUCAUUGGAGCAUGCUAAUGGAGAACUUCUUGAGAUCCAAAGAGUAUUGACAGAUUGUUGAAUCUGGAGUAGCAGAGCCAACAGCUGGAGAAAUAUUGUUAGAGGUGCAGAAAAUGGAGUUGGAAGCAUUGAAACUGAAAGAUUUUAAAGCCAAAAAUUAUCUUUUUCAAGCUAUUGAUCAGGCCAUUUUGGAGACAAUUCUUAGCUGGCUGCACAAAAUUGUCAGUGGCCAUCAUAAUUUACCAACACAAUUCUCACAACUCACUUUUGUUUUCACUCACAAGCCUAGCUCUAGUACCACUGAUACAAAUAUUGAGGCAAAUAAUAAGAGAAGCAAAGGACAAAUGUUUAUUGCUUUGUAAAACUCACACAACUUAUAACAUGAAAUUACUCUAUUUAUAGAGUUUAAAUCAAUUCCAGUAACUCCACUAACUAUGCCAAUAACUCCACUCACUCUACUAGCAACUCCACUAACUCCUCCACUAAUCCCACUAGUUGUUCCACUAACUCUACUAAUUAGGUAGCAUAAACAAAUAUAAUUAAUUAACAACGGUAAAUAUUUCUAACAGUUUUGGGUUUGAAGCGGAUGUAGCUUGAAUAUUAUACAGGAGGGGAAGGGAUCUGAGGUAUUUUUCCAUUUUUUGAGCCCGGAAUUAGGCCUCCAUGCGUGAUAUACUGUUUAUUUAUGGCUGCAGAGAUUUGUUUGUGAGUGAAACUGAUAUUUUUGUUCAUCCUUGAAAGUUUCUGAAUCUAAUGAUGUUUCCCAAAGGCAAAGUUAUACUUGGAUUUUGAUUUUGAUUUUAAAAUUUUGUGGUAGCUUGUCUAUUUAAGGUUAUGAAAAAAGAAUGCUAAACUCAUAGUUAGCUUCAGUUUCUAGAGCAUCAGCUUCACCUGAUUGGUGUUAGCUUUUCAUCUUAACGGAAGCAGGAGUUAUGACUAUGUUUCUUGCUGUUUUCUUUUGUUACUUUUUGUGAGAGAACGCAUCUUGGAAGAUGUAUGUUUAUGUUUAGCUUUUCAUAGAACCACAAUGUGUUUGAGAAAACCAUAUCUGAUUUUGUAGCAAAUUACCAAAACUAAAAAUCCUGAAAUUUCCUUCUGGUUUGAAUCGUCAAAGUAGAUUUCUUUACUCGGGGUCAAUGAUGAAAAUUCACUCAAUUAUCACUAAUAUAUGAUUAUGACCUUUCUUGGAUAUUAUUUACUUUUCAUGUUGGUUUUGUUUGUGCAGGAGGAUUUCCUAACUGACCAUGUUCAGAAACCUGAAAUUACUGAUUAUGCUAUCAUAAUUUAAGUCAUCUUCGGGUGCAAUGGAGAGUGAUUGCCUUACGGGUUCUUUUCGGCCCUGCAUAGACAAUGAAAUCAUGCAUAAAGCUUGGAGAUUAAUUCGAUGACGCAUCCCUGUUGCUUAUCCAACUCAAUUGAGUCAAGCUGAUCUUUUACACCGAGUUCUACCCGGAUAACAUACAUGUGUAAAAUGCAUAGCAACAGUAUGUCAAAAAUUGCUUCCCGAUUUAGAGUGAGUAAAGUUAUUGGGGGCUUACAAGCUGUAAUCUUUGAUGUUUGAAUGCGCCUUUGAGUUUGACGUAUCAAACUUGGAUAUUGCGGAGUAAUGAAUUAUGUUCCCUAUUUUUAUUUUCUUUUUCCUUCGAAAGGUCAUUGAUCUUCUUGCUUCUUUUUUCUGGAUAAUCAACCAUCUGAGAGUUCUUACCUUCUAAUAAUCUCCUUAGAAAAUUUUAUUUAGUCACUUCAAUGCAAAAGACAUAUGGCCUGAUAUGCACUCGACUUAACAAUAAUGAUAUCACAGAACAAUCCAUAAGGAAAUAAUAUUGCUCAAGAAGAAACCCCGCAUGCUCUCUUUGACAAUUUUUCCUUUUUCUAAAAUUUAUUUGCAUUUCCAUCAUAUGGUGAAGGGUGUAUUUCUAAUUUUUGUUUUCGUACAUCCCAAAGCAGGAAAAGAAAUUAAAGGACUUUGCUAUAGAUAAGUUUAUUAGGAUAGAAAAGAACAGAGAUGUGAAAAAAUGAAAAGAAGAGAAAAUGAGAGGAUAGAUUUUGACUUUUUAAAUAGUUUAUGAGUGCACGCGGCACAUUCCGUUACUCAAUUGGAAGGAAUAUGUCAAUUGUCCACUUUUAUGCAAAAUUGGAUAGAUGAGGGAUCAAAUUUACUGUUUGAAAUAGAUUGAGAUCCAGUUCCGUGCAUGGGUCCGUGCAUGGGUAAUACAUUGAGGAUUACAAUUACAAUUCUCCCUUAAAUAAAUUCUCUCCUAAAAUUUUCUAAUAAGAAAUUCUUCUCUUCUAGGAUCUCCUGGUGAGAGUUUCUUUUCUCCUAAAUUAUUCUAAUAAGAGUUUUAUUCUCUUCUGAAUUUUUUCUUGUGAGAGUUUUUUAGGUUUUUAUCUUUGCUAAAUUUGAGAUUUUAUAGAUCUAAAAUCUAGUUUUCCAUAUCCGCAAUUUCUCCAUUAUUGUCAGAUCUAAAUUUCUCUUUGGAUUUGAAUCAGUUUUAAUCCAUUAUUGUUAGAUAUAAAUUUUUCUUUGGACUUGAAUCAGUUUUAAUCAGAUAUGAUUGUCAAUAGACAUGCGCUUAUAUAUUGGAAUACAGUGAUUCAUCCGGAUGGAAGAUAUAUAGAAGCAUUAAUGUUAUUUUUAUUUGUAUUAUUUUCUUAAAUCUGUUAUAUCUAUUGAUUUUAGAUCUACAUGUAUCUGUGUCAUAUUUGUUUGAUGUAUUUUCUACCAUUAGUACAGAUUUAUUUGAAUGAAAUGAUCUUUUUUAUAUAAAAAAAAUUUCAGCAUUACUAAGGUAAUUGUAUUGUGUUUAAUCAACCUGUUUAUUUGCUUUUUCGUCUUUCACAUCUACUAACAUUUAUCAUUGCAAUCAUAUUUUACUUGUAAUAACGUGUAAAACAAAACCAUCGUAGUUAGCAAUUACUCCACUUCAUAUUUUAGUCCUUUUCAUGGUUUUACCCAAUUACUCAUAGUCAACACUGGUAGAGUUAGGCAUUAAUUUUAAAAAAUGUAUCAAGUUGUAUUCCGUUUUCUCUAUUGUCCAAUAAAAUGUCCUCACUAAUUAGUUUUCUUUUUCCAAUUCACUAUUAUCUGCGUAAAUGAAAAUAAUAUUAUUCGUCGUGGAAUCACAUUUUUUUAAGUGUAUUUAUGUUCUAUCAAUAUUCAGUGACAAAUACAAAUUUACAUCCAUUUGUCUCUUCUUUCAUUGUUAAUAUUCAAUAUGCGUCGUUCAAUCUCCAAUGCGCAAAUUUGAUAAAAUUAUAUAUUAUUUUAUUUCUUAUAUUCACUGAAUUAUAAACUGCCAAAUUUCUAAUAUAUUCUCUAUGUCUUCCAAUUCAAGAAAACCAUACCAUUUCUCCGAAAUACAAAGUUAUAUAUCAAUUAACAAUGUUUAACAGACACCCCAUUUAUGCAUUUUCCCUUAAAGGCUCUUCACUUAUUACACCUUUUUUAAUCUUACACUUUACUGCAAUGGCAUGACACGUUAUGAUGUUUCAUACAAUGACCCAAUUCAUUUUUAUCAACAAGAUGUGGGCAACAACUAUGCACUCGUAACUUUUGCCUAGCAAAAUGAACAUUGUAUAAUGUAAAGGGCUAUAUUACCAUUAUAUAUAUAUAUAUAUAUAUAUAUAUAUAUAUGUGUGUGUGUGUGUGUGUGUGUGUGUGUGUGUGUGUGUAGAACUCAAAUUUUGAAUGAUUUCUAAUAGUGCCAACACCUGCAAUUAAAAUCUUAUAAAUUCUCUUAAACUCUCUUGACUCUUAUAGAUACUCUUAACAAGAUUUAUCAACUAAUGUUUUAUUUAUAACCUCCUACACUUAUCGUGUAAGAAAUCACUUACACAAAAAAUUACCAAAUAAAGUAUAAAUUCCUAAAUUACGAUAACUACUAAAAACCUGAUUCUAAAUAAAACUACUAAAUAAUUAGAUAAAAACUUGUAGUCUUGAUUCAUUUGCCAGCAAAUCAAUCAUAUAGUAUUUGUUAGCUACUAAUUUUUUCAACCCAUAUCAAGUCUUUUACGUGCCACCAAUAAUAGCUCUUUUAUCGGCAUUGACCUAUUACCCAAUUUGAACUUCAUCCCUGCAAGAAGAACGACGAUCUAAUUUGGACAACAAAGAGCUCGGGGUGCUUGGGGGGAACCAGAAGAGAUGGGACCUUAUGGCCCUGCUCGCCAACUCAGUUGUCUUAGAGUUAAUUGCAAGAAAAUCUCGUCCAAAACGUGCACAUCGUGUUUUGCUUUGCCAUGUAAUCUUCUUCUUCUUCUUCUUCUUCUUCUUCUUCUUUUUUUUUUUUUUUUGUUUUUGCUUUGCUAUCUAACCUGAUUGUUCUGACACCAGAAAUAUUUGUAAAUUUAUUUCUUGCCCAUUUGAACAAACUUGAAAAUAUAAAAAAUGACCUCUUUUAGGGUCCGUUUGGCUGGGAGUAAAAUGUUUUCCUUGGGAAAAUAUUUUCCAUGGAAGUAAUUUUUCAGGAAAAUCAUUUCCCUUUCAUCAUUUUCAGGUGUUUGGUUAGCCUAUUGAAAAUAUUUUUUUACUUCAUUUUCUGGUGUUUGUUUAACUUUUGAAAUAUUUUCCAACUUUGAAAUAUUUUCACUUUUACCUCUGUCUUUACUUUCUACACAUUAUAACCACAUACUUCUUCCCAUGCAAAAUAAAAAAAUAUUUAUCUCAUUUUUUAACUUUAAAAAAACUUAAAGAAAUGUAUAUAUGGAUAAAAAAUUUCUCCUUAAGCAAUAAACAAAUUGCUAACCAUUCAUUGUCAAAUAUCAAUCACACGAAUGCUUAUUGUGACAUAUAUCUUACAGUCUCACUGCUAAAAGUUUCUCUAGAAAAGAAUGCCCCUAUUAUACAUAAUUAAUUGCUAGAAUAAGGUGAGUAGGGUGAGGCCUUUUUUUUUAUUUUUUAUUUUGAGCAUACUAUGGGCCUGUUUGAAACCUUGAUUUUUUACCAAGUUUGUAUAAAACUAAUUUUUUAACAACUUUUGCUACAGGAAUCCCAAAAAACUUAUCAAAGUUUUUAACCUACACACUUCAAAAAUACAUAAAAAACUUUCCCUUCAACUUUUCUUCUUUUUCCUCCCCCACCCAACCCACCACGUCCUUCGUUGCCGGCCACCACCUCCACCACCGCUGCCGCCGGCUAGGGGUGGCAAUUUUCGACACGACCUGAAAACACGACACGAAUCUAACACGAAAUUAAUGGGUUUGGGUUGAGGUUUCGGGAAUUCAGGUCAGAAUCGGGUUGAACCCGAAAAGAAAACAGGUCGAUUUCGGGUCAACCCGUGGUGACCCGAUAUGACCCGUUUAUGAAUUAAAAAUAAUUUAAUAAACAUAAAAAUAAUUUUAUCUGACUAAGCUAAGUUAUUCUUUUUUUCAAACGCAUUAAUUACUUAAUCCUAAAUGAAUUUAUUUAAUUUGUGUGAAGUUGAAAUUAUUAUAUUUGAACAAAUAAUAUAUUAUAUUAUUUUUUACUUUUAUACUGUUUUAAUUUAUUUUAUAUUUUGUUUGGGAUAAAACACUUUUACGGUGUUUAAUUUAUUUUAGAUUUGGCUUGAAAUUAUUUAUUUAAAUUUUUAUUACUUGAUUAUGUAAUUAGUUUUGUGAGAAAUUAAUUUUAUUAGAAAUUACAGUGAUAAAUUAAUAAAUUAAAAUUAAAUUUCGGGUCGACCUGUCAACCUGAAAUUUUCGGGUUCGGGUCAAUAUACCUGACCCGUCACCGGUUGGCGGGUUGGGUUCGGGUCAAUAGAUUUUUUGACGGGUCGGGUCAAACCCAACCCGCCAACCUGAUUUGGACCCGAAUUGCCACCCCUACCGCCGGCGGUCACUAUUCCGACAGCUAGUUCUGGCCUUCCUCUUUUUUUUUUCUCUCUCCCUCACCCCCUCUGCUCCUCUCCCCUCCCCCUUUUGACCGAUCUAUUGGUGCUCUUUUUCUUUUUUUUUUUUUCUUUCUCUCUCCCCCCUCCCUUCUUCGCCUCUGCCUCCCCCACCACCCUCCCCUUCCCCCUUUGACCGAUCUGGUCGCUCGACCAGAUUGCAAAGGGGGAGAGGAAGGGGGUUGCGAUCUGGUCAGCUAGGGGAGGGGGAAGGUAGCGGGGGAGGGAAGGGGAGGGGUAGCGGGGGAAGGAAGGGGAAGGGGAGAGGGAGAGGGAAAAGAGGGAUGGCGGGGAAGGUAGAGAGAGGGGUGGUAGGGGAGGGAGAGGGGAAGAGAAAAAAAGCAAAAAAAAAAAAGAAAAAAGAAUCACUUGUUAGUUGCUGCCAUGGAAGUCUCGGGAGAGAGAGCAGGGGAGGGAAAGGGGAGAGAGAAGAAGUGGGGAGGGAGGAAGGAAAAGAAAAAAGAAAGAAAAAAAAAUUCAUCUUACAAACACCCAAAGUUUUUCUACGACUUCUACAGUGAUCUACAUUAAAGUUUUAUACAAACACCCAAAAAACUCACCUUUUAAAUAGUCCCGAUCUUUGAAAGUUUGACAGAUACCUUUGUAGACACCAAAAUUUUAAUAAUCCCUUCUUAUUAUUUAUUUCAUUUUUAUUUUUACCUUUUUAUUCUCAUUUUUAAGGAAAUUUUAUUUAUUUGUUUGGUUAUGCAGGAAAAGAAAGAGAAGGCAGAAAAGAAAAGAAAAAAUAAAAAAAAAGGGAGGAUGCCUCACGCGCGCGUGCGCAUCAUCUUCCUGGUUUCGUACAGAAGCCAGGAACAAGUCUCAGGAAUUGCAGCCGGCCAUUUGAUCCAUUUCCACUCGUUUCUAUUGCAUUUUUUUCCCUCCAAGCCCUUCGGUACAAUGCCAACUCAUCCUAGUUGGAAUCUAUCAAGAAAUAUCCAGAUCAAAAGCCACCCGAUGGCUUCAAAAAUGCCACAAAAAAAAACCCAUUUCAUCUGCACCAUUGAAGCAAGGGUUUGGGAGGUGUUUUGUGCCUAUAAAAGGCUCAUAAACGCAGCCCUAAAGAAAGAGAACAAGGGAUAGGUGGCUGAAGGAAGAAAAAAACAGAAAAGAUAGAGAAACCAGAGAGAAGAAAGGAAAGAAAAUUUUCUGGAAAAUUCGAUACCGGGUUGAUCGAGCAGCCAUCUUUGGAUGUCAUUUUCUCUUUCUUUUUAGUUAUUUUUUCAUAUUAAUACUCUAUGGAGGUAGAUAAAGAAUUUUCGUGUUGAAGGUCUCUGGAGAAAACAACUUUAAAGCCAUGAAAUCCGACGCCAAAGUUGGAAGAAAACCAGCCCUGGUUCCGUCGUAAUUUUGUUGAAAAUUUUUCAAUCCGCUUCCACUAGCAUUUUCCGGGUUCCAGUUUGUUUCUAGAGCUUCACAAGGUAUUUUUAUAACCUCUAUUAGUUUGAUUCGACACUAAACUAAGAUAUUUGCACGAGUUUAUGGGAUUUUGCAUUUUUGUUGAUUUUUGGUUGAGAUUCCUUAUGUCUUGGAAAGCUGUUCUUUUGAUGGUUUAAAAAUUAGCUAAAAAAUAGCGUAGAAGAUGACUUGAUGUUUGCUUUUGAUAGAGUGGCCGAAUAACUUGUAGUUUUUGGUGUUUCCAUGGUUGGUUCCGUCGAAGUCAGUUUCAUGGCUUCUUUCUUGCAUUAUUAUCAUAUUUGCGCCUAUUUGAUCUUCAAAAAGGCUUUGUAUCGGAGUUUUUGGUUGUGUUAAUGAGUGGUAUAUUCUGUUGGAUUUUAGUUCACAAAUCAAUGGUUUUGUUUGAGCUCAUGCAUGAUUUUCCACGUAUAAAGCUGAUACUUUGCGAAGAAAAGUUGCAGAAGAUGAAAUGAAGAAGAAAGCCUCGGUUCUGAUUUGCAUGAAACUUUUAAAAACUACAUUUCGACCCCUAAAUUUUCACCUAAUUUCACUAUGACCUAAAAACUUCUACAAAUGAACCAUCUUGACCCCUUUUAAAUUUUAAUCAUCUUUUACAUAUUUUAAACAUGUUUGUGGGCGAAAUAAUUCUGGGUUUUAAGACAUUAUUAGGAUUAAAUAAUUUUUUUAGUUGAUUUAUUAUCCUAUUAGGUUUUGGUAAAAUAAGUGUGGUUUUGGGUUAAGGGUUAUUGUUUGGGUUUUGGUUAUGAAUUUUAGUUAUUUUGAUUGGGUUUUUUUUCGUUUGGGUUUCUUCGAGCAAAACUAUGGGUUGGCUUGUGUAUUCUGCCUCGGACUUUCGCUGGGCUUGGGGAGGUUUCAGCCCAACUAAAGCAAAAGAAAAUGAAAGAUAGCCCAAUGGCCCAAUUCCUUAAGAAACACUGAGAAUUGCAAUAUGGUCCCUGUACUCUUGUAUAAUUUUGUUUUGGCCCUAAAAACUUUAGUAUUCUUUUAAUUAGGUCUUUAAUUUAAUUGUGCUUUGGUACCUAAAUUUUUUUCUUUCAUUUUGACCUCUAUUUUUUGUAAUAAUUGAAUUUAACCCCAAAAAUUUCUUAAUUUUUGUAAUUAGGUCCCUAAUAGUUUUGAUUUCUUAAAUAUAAUUUACUUUUCUUCUUUAAUUAUAGAUUAUACUUCAUUUAAAUACUUUGAUUGGUAGAUUUCAUGAUAAUUUCCAUUUAUUUAUAAUUAAAUUAGUGUCUUAAUCAUUUUGUUCGUUUUGGAGUAUAAGUAGGGCAAAUUUCACCCUAUUUAAUCACCACUUCACGAGAGGUAACCUCUUUUAUUAUUUUAAACUCUUUCAUGUGCUCCAAUGUGUUUUUAUGUGUAAUUGCAGGUUUUGAAUGUUUUUUCUUUUAAUUAGUCAUUCUUAUUCAUUUUUAAGUUUUAUUUGUUUUAUUUAAUUUUGAUGAUUAUCUGAGAGGCAUUAAAAUGCCAAGUUGUAACAGAUAGGUGCUCAAGACAUGUAUUUUGCUAGUUUAUGCAAUAGAUAGGUUCUAAUUUUUGUUUAAAAUGUAUUUAGUUAGAUGAAUAUAAUAAUUAGGUUAUUUUUUUUUUGAAUUCCCCUUUAGAUUGUAGUUAGGGUCCGAAUGUAAUAGUUAGGCUUUUAUUUGCAUUUAUUUGUUUGGGUGCUUGCAUGCUUGUGUGUUUAUGUGUUUACUCAUUUUCAUUUGGGUUUUGUAUCUAGAAAUUAUGAUUAUGUGUUAUGUGCUCUAUGUGCAUUAUGUGUUUAUUUGUUUUAAUUAUGCUUUAUAUGAUUUAUUUAAUUAUAAUAAAUGCAUGACGUCACCACAUCAGUCCAACGCUAAUUGUGACCUUCCUUCGCGAUUUCUCACUAGUCCCACGCUAGUGAGAACUUAUAGACAUGGGUUAGUUAUUUAGUCCAAUGCGAGACUCUUAGGGACCGUCCACGCACUAUAUCAUGUUUUUGUGACAAUCACUACAUUUCAUGCAUAUUUUCUACUUUUUAGAAUCCCUACCAUUUGGCAUGAUAUUUCCUCUAUAUGUAUAUUCCUUAUCCCUAUGUGCGAAAUAGAACAUUUAGACUUGCGUUUCAUUUAAGAAACUUAGAAAUAUGUGAGAUCAUUUGCUUGAUUAGAUUAGGAGAGCACCCCUUCAAAUAUGGGAAAUGAACAAGUAUAGCUACUUAGUCUUAGCACGCUCGUGUCUCCUCUAUAAGAAAAAAAAUUGAGUUACAAAUCUUAGUCCCCCGUACUCAUUAUCAUGCAUUCCUUUAGCUCAUGUAUAUUUGUAUAUUAUUAUUUUUCUUUCUUUUCUUCGAGUCUCAUCUUUUGCAUAUUCGUAACCUUUUCAAAGAGUCACUCUUGGGCGUCUCAAUUAAUGCGCUUUGCGCCAAUUAAAUUUUGAAGAGAUAUUUCGACCAUCCCGAUAUCCAUUAGGUCUAGAUUUGCAUAGAUAUAGUAACAUAUAAAUGUGAUAAGUUUUAUAGGUUAAAUUAAAAAAUUUUUAACUAAAUCACACAACUAACCUUGACUAGAUUGAAAGGGUGUCAUAGAUCAAAUCUUUGUCUUCUCUUUCUUCAAUCGUGACUCCUGAACUUUUUUCUUUUGUUUUCAAAGACGUGGAGUCGUUUAAAGAGGGUUUUACCUAUUUUUUUAUUAAAAAAAUAUUUUUGGGUGAUUUGGUACACCUUAACUCAAUAUCAAGUGACGACUCCUAUUUUUUUAAACUAUUAUUUUGGGCCAAAAUCGUCGCACUUUUAAAGUCCCAUGUUAGGCUCUUUUUCUGCAUUUAUUCUCUAAAAAUCAAAAACUCAUUUUUACUCAAAAUUAAUCAAAAAUUCAUUUUUUAUAACACGUAAUUUUAUUUUUCAAAAAAAUGGGGCACGACAACCUUUAUCAGGCGGGACACAUACGUUUAGAAAAACAACUUUAGUAAGUUUGGAAGCGAAGUUGUUUUUUAUAAGAUGAGUGAAAAUCUUUUACACAGUAAAAUAUUUUCAGUAAUUUUGUGCAACCAAACAUGGGAAAUUAGGAAAUUAUUUUUCUCGAAAAGAUUUUCAACCGAACACAAACAGACCCUUAAUGCAGUAUCAAUUACUUCUGGAAAGCAACUUUGCUAUAUAAUGCAACCACCGAUACCCCAAGCACUAUUUAUUUGACCAAAUAACAAUCUUUUUUCUACACAUGCUUCAUGUCAUGGAAAAGUCUGCAAUAACGAUCGUUAUGAUAACGAAACUGUUUUUACCUGAUAUAACAGGUAGAAACAAUUUUAGUGACCAUUUGAUUACCUAUUGGACUGGUCACCUAAAUAAGAUAGUACCUAAAAAUUUGAUUAGUAAGUUUUACAUAAAAAAUAGUAAGUUAACUCGAUAAAUUAGUAACUUUUAUGUCUCAACAAGUAAAUUGGAAUAAAUAUGGAACUUACUUUUUUUUUAAAAUAAAUUACUACUCGAUAUCCAAAACUUACUUUUUGGAGAGUAAGUUUAGUUCAAGUAAUACUAAGUUUUUAUAGAUUAAUAGUAAAUAUUGUUGAUAGAAUAGUAAAUUUAGUUAGUGGUCAAAACCUACUAGUUUGUGGUAUAAAUUUACUAUUUUACUUAAAAAACUUAUAUGAAACAAGUAUUAGGAAGUUCAUUUGAAGUAAUGCUAAAAUUUUUUAUUAAUGAUUAAAACUUAGUAUUAUAGUUAGUAAUUACUCAUAAUGUAAAUAUAUGAUACACAAUUGUACGUAACAUUUAUAAAUGUUAUAUUGUUUAAGCAUUUUAACUAUACUAUGAAAACUAUUUUUUUUUGCACAUGACCUUUAAAAUAUGUAAGAAUAAUUUGUCAUAUUAUAAAUUUUGAAUUAUUUUUGAAUUUGUGAAAGGUUAGAAAGUUUGGAUGACAAUAACAACAAAUCUUUCAAGUUAUAUAUAGAAUUGCACUUAUCUAUACAUCACAAUUUUCAUAUAUUAAUACCUAUGAAUAUAAUAAAAUGGUAAAGUUUUAAUAAAUUUAUUUACUGGGUCACAAGUAUAAAAGUUAAAGUUGUAUUAUAAUAACAACAAAUCUUUCGAGUUGCAUAUAAAAUAGCACUUACUUAUACAACACAAUUUUCAUAUAUUAAUGCCUAUGAAUUUAAUAAAAUGGUAAGAUUUUAAUAAAUUUAUUUUCUGGGUCACAAGUAUAAUAAUUAAUGUUGUGUUAACAUAGCAUAAUUUUUGAAAAUUAUAAUAAAAUUACCCAUAUGUUAAGUUUUGUGACUUUCAAACAUACUUUGUAUCAUUUACAUUAUGGAUUUGUAUCCAUAUUUUUCUAUCAAACUCUUUUUCAUUGGCAAAUGGUAUAUAAAUUAUUAUAAAAUGUCAUUUUAUAAUAAUCAUAAUUUUUUAUAGAUGAAUGUUAUGCAAACUGUUAAAAUUAUCAAUUCACAAAUGGCUAAAUCUUACUACUUAUGGCAUAUAUUAGUCUAAUUGACUAAAAAAAUACUGUAAUCAUGUAUACGUUGAUUGUUGAAUUGAAAUUUCGUUUAUUACUAGUACAAGUUCUUCUAAUCAAAGCAAAAUAAAAUCAAAUAUCUUUCCCUUUUGUAUGUAGUAGUUAUGUUUAGUAGAAAAUUAUUAAACCAUUUUUACAAUACAUAAUUUCUCCUAAAAUUAGUAAUAUUUUCCAUGACCUCUAACCUUAUCAAUAAUACUAACGACCGACAUGUAGAUAAUCUUAAAAGCAAAAGCCAUCAUUAUGACAAAAAAAGAAUAUUUUCAUGCUGAAUAAACAAAAUUGUAAUUCUAUAUAGAAUCGAAGAAAUUCAUCAUGAAUGAAAAUGAAUUGCAAAGUUAUUACAUUUCUAAUUUCAUAUGUAUCUAGAAUUUCACGCAGCAUUACUUUAGAGGAACUUUCCUUUUUCACACUAAGGAACCAAUCUCAAUCUCUUCGUCUCUUUUAUUUUUUCUUUAACCAUUAAAAUACUAAAUAAAUUUAAUUCCAUUUCAAGCUCUAGUUAAUUGUAUACUAAUAUUUUACACAACAAUCAAUUGAGCACCAAUUUCCUUUUUUUAAGUAGCUAUUAUUUAUUUUAUUACUUUGGUUAAAUAUUUACAUAUAAAAUAAUAACAAUAGAAUGCCAAUCCUCGGAUCAAUGAAACUUCAAUUAUUGUUAAUAAAAAUAAUUUUACAUUGAUAAAAAUUAGUCUACAGAAUGAAAAGUCAAUGGCAACAAUUGCUAAAAUAUAGCAAUUUUUAAUUGUGGGAAAAUAAACAACUAAGUUCCCAAAAUAUUUCACUUUUAUUGUUUAAAAAAUCUCAACUUGUUAACUAAAUUCAAAAUAAUUCUAUUGUCAAAAAUAUUUCUCCUCAAAUUAACUUUAAUGAUUAGAGAUGAGAUACAAAUAUGGCAAAAUAUCGCUCAUACGUGUGUCAUGGAUAUUUGAGACUUUUAGUAAAAAACUUUUUGUUGUUAAAAUAACAUUGUAUCAUAGUGUACUAAUUAUUUUAGAACCAUUUUUAUACGUGAACUAAAUUUAAUUUAAAUUAUACAAUAUAUUAUAUAUGCAUGUGAUUUUCAUUUAUAAUUGUUGGAUCCUAUUUUUUAUGAACAAUCUCCCAAGGAAAAAAGUUCAGAUCAUACUGAUUUUCUUAUAUUAAUUGUUAUACUAAUUUUGUCAUUUUUAUUGUUAUAUUAUUUCUCAUUUUGUUUGGGCUUUAGCUCUUAUUAUUUCUUGUGUCCCAGGUCUAAAUUCAUUAAAACUUUAUCAUCUUAUUAUAUUCAUAAGUGUUAAAUUAUAAAAAUUGUGAUAUAUAAAUAAGUGAUAUUCUAUAUAUAACUAGGAAGAUUUGUUAUUAUUGUUAUUCAAACUUUUCAGAAAUUGAAAAUGAUUAAAAACUUAUAAUACGACAAAAUUUUAUUACAUAUUUUACGAGACUAUGUGAAAAGUCAAAUUAUUUUUCAUAGUAUUUUAAAAUAUAUAAAUUCAAAAUUUUUUUAAAUUAUACUUAUAAUCAUGUAUUAUACAGGUAUAUUACGAGUACUUACUAACUAAGGUAAUAUGUAUUAAUCAUUAAUAAAACAUCUUAUCGUUAUUUCAAAUAAAUUUCCUAAUACUAGUUUGAAAUAUGUUUUAAAGUAAAAUAGUACAUGUGUCCCAUAAUCAAUAAGUUUUGAUUAUUAAUCAAAUUUACCAUAUUAUCAGUAAGAAUUACUAUUUAUGUAUAAAAACUUACUAUUACUUGAAUUAAACUUACUCUCUAAAAAGUAAGUUUGGGAUAUAAAGUAGUAAUUUAUUUAUUUAAAAAGUAAGUUUAAUAUUUAUUCAAAUUUACUUUUUGAAGUAUAAAAGUUACUAAUUUAUUACUGUUAACUUACUAUUUUAGAUGAAAAACUUACUUUCUUAUUUUUAAGUGUUAUUCUAUUUAGAUGGAUAGAUCCAUCAAGUAAUCAAAUGGUCGCUAAAAGUGCAACAACCUGUUAUAUCAGGUAAAAAAUUAUUUCGUUACCAUAAUUAUCGUUACUAAAACAUUGUACUCGUGUCAUAAUCAUCGAGCUUUACAUGAAUUGUUCAUCAAAAUUGGUCUCCCAACUUUGAUCUUAUCAUCUCAUUCUACCAUUUAAUGCGACAGCGAAGAAAGUGAAACUAUACCAUAAAUCUGCCCGAAUACCAUCAAAUAAAUAGCCUACAUGAAUGUGUUAUGUACUAUAAUCUUUUUCCUACUGCAGCUUGAUGAAAAUGGGAAAUAGUUUUACCCUUCAACUCGUAUAGACACUGAACAUACACAAUUUUUUUUUUUUUACUGCAGUUUCUACAUUGAUCUCCUUUUUCUAAUAUUAAGUAACACGAUGAAUUAAUCUCUUAAACUUCCAAAUUGCGGUAAUUACAGACAGAUGUUUGCCAACUUACAACUACAGCUUUGCCAAAUUUCUCAAGACAAAGAAAAAUAUUUUUAAGUAGGCAUCUAUGUGCAAUGUAGGUAUGAAACCAGAGAAUUCUAGUAGGGUUAAUUAGAAAAAUCCAGAACUAUUCAGGCGAUUCAUAGAAUUAUACUUAUUAAAACAUGUCCUAAUAAUUAUAGUGGAAGCAAUUUAAAAAAAAUUAAUGUUGGGAACAAAUUAAGCUAAAUAAAAUAAUCAUUAUCUUUGUCAUACCUAACAAUUUCAUUCAAAAAUAAUUAUUGUCUUUUUCAUACUUAACAAUUUCAAGCUAAUUAAAUCACAGGUGUUUUUCUAAAGAAAAAAAGAUAGCAAGACAAAAUUGUAUAGUUUAGCUUAUUAAACAUCCGGUUUUAGAUAUUUAUCAAACAUUAUAGAUAGAUUUAUUAUUAAGAUUCAGAUAUUCAUAUAUUUCUUUUUAUUAGUUAAAAUUUAGCAAAUUAAUUGUUUCAAUAUUCAGUUUCAGAAUUCAGAUUCAAUUUUAUCAAAUAGGACCUUAGUGUGAACUCUUAAUUGUAAUUGAAUUUGAUAUUUUAAAAUUGACAUUUAAUACAAACUUUUAUGUUUAACUAAAUUUGAUUUUUUCAAAGCCACAAUUAAUACAAAAUCUCAAAUUUAACUAAAUUUGAUUUCUUGUCAAUCACAUUUAGUACAAGACAAAGACAAAGAAACGGUAAAAUGGGAUUUAUAUUACUUACUCGAAAUGAACUUUUUUUGUUUUAAGAAAAAUACAAAGAAAUUAAUGUUAAAAGAUUAACUCCUUUUCAUAAAUUUUUGUCAAAAAGUACAUAGGGAAAUGGAUGGAUUGGGUGAUUCGAAGAAGGACGUGUAAGUGAGAGAUUUUGGUUUUAAGCUUCCCACUUACGCUAUUAAAAUAUAUAAAUUCAAAGUGUAUGUAAUUAGACUAAUUUUUGGGGAUUAUUUAUUCUAACAUGGUCGACAUUAUUGAUGAAAUAUGGCAUCAGCAGAACCUAACACUUUGGAAUUCAUCUGUCCCAGAAUUUCAAAUGGUAACAUUUUUCCUUAAAAUUGGAAUAUUUAUUUUAGGGAGGUAAGAGCAUCCGGUGGAAUUGAAAUAUGAAUUUAGCUAACGGGUGUGCAAUUGGCCCACGUUGAAAUAUCAGCUUGGCUAACCGGUGUUCUAAUGGCCUUCACUAAGUGGGGCGUUAGGCAUUAAUUUUUGAAAAAAUGUAAUUAAUUUGAAAAAUUAUAUAAAUUCAGGGGAUAUAAUAAUUGUGAUUGUGUGAAUUUAUAUGGUAAGUUAGAUGUAAUUUAGGUACAUUAACAAAUAUCCACCUAGAUGGGAACCUUCACAAAAAUCCCAAGGCAUUGUUGUUUUGAGAGAAGGGCAGGGAAAGGAAAGCAAACGGAAAUGGAGGGAUAAAGUUUUUAAAUUUUGGAUUAGUUUUUGAGGAGAGAAAGAAAAGGAUUUGGAGGGAAAGGGAGGGAUAAAAUUAGUUAUUUUUUAUCAACCUGUUUCAUGUCCAAAUGUGGGCAAAACAAAGGGAAACGACACCAAAUUAAUGAAAAUUUCAAAAUGUUCUAAAAACCUAUCAUGUAUUUAUAAAUUAAAUUUUAAAUUAUGGAAAAAAAUAUAAUUGAUGCAUGAUAGUUUUCUUUCCUUUCCUCUCGUAAUCCAAACAAAAUAGACAGACUUAGAUUUCUUCUACUCCCCUUUCUUUUCUUUUCCACUAGAGUCUUCUCCUUUCCUUUCCUUUCUUUCAAUCCAAACGGUGCCUAAAAGAAAAUACAAGAUGGUGCGACUAAAAGUUCAUACCAUUCCUAUGGACUGUCAAUUGCAUCAAAACACGAACUUUGUCUAUAUAAUGUGCACACUUUGUGACUGAUUUCUGUCGAGUGCUUAGCCCAUGAUUGUUAGUGUUGCUUGUUGGAUAGUUUACUCUCAGUAAAAUACUUUGAGAUUUUAGGCCAUAGUAUAUACUUAUGGCUUAUAAGGUGCAUUACUAAGACAAAAAAUACCAAUCAGCAACAACGGUAAUAUUGGGUUUAAAUGAUACAAUACACUAGGAUAAUGUGCAUUUUACCGACUUCAUGAAUGUGAAGAACUAAAUAUUAUGUAUUAAUUAUUUGUUUUUUUUUCCGGAUAUAUUUGGCUUCAAUUAGCGCUCAAACUCGAGAUCUCACAAGUAGACAAAGAAACCAUAUUUUUUAGGUAUGGUUUCUCUUUAUUGCUAGAGUUGGUAUCAAAUGUACUUAGGAGACUGAGAUACCUUAAACAACCUUAAGCCAGGGCUAUGAGCUAUAAAACAAGAAGAGGAUGAACUACUAGAAGAAGAAUAUGGGCAUAGUAGGGCUGUCAAAUAAAUUGAGUUGCUCGCAAAUAGUUUGAGUCAAAACUCGAUUCAAGUUAGGUCAACAUCGAACUCGAAUCGAGUUCGAGUUAACUGAGUUGAACUUGAGAUCAAAGAUACUUAACUCGUUAGUUCGCAAAUCGACUCGAUUUUAUAUAUUUAUAUUUAUAUUUUUUAUUUUAAUAGUAAAAUUACAUAUAUCCUUAAUAUUUUAUUAUUUGUUAAGAAACAUUACUAUUUUAUUCAUUUUUAAAAAUAUAAAAUAAUUAUUUUUUAUUUUUUUAAACUCAAGCUUGAGCCCUACAAUAAGAACUCGUUGAUUUUGAGUAGGGGUGGCAAUUCGGGUCCAAAUCAGGUUGGCGGGUCGGGUUCGGGUCAACCCGCCAGAAAAUCUGUUGACCCGAACCCGACCCGCCAAACCGUAACGGGUCAGGUAUGCUGACCCGAACCCGAAAAUUUCAGGUUGACGGGUUGACCCGAAAUGACCCGAAACUUAAUUUUAAUUUAUUAAUUUAUCACUGUAAUUUCUAAUAAAAUCAAUUUCUCACAAAACUAAUUACAUAAUCAAGUAAUAAAAAUUUAAAUAAGUAAUUUCAAACCAAAUCUAAAAUAAAUUAAACACCGUAAAAGUGUUUUAUCCCAAACAAAAUAUAAAAUAAAUUAAAACAGUAUAAAAGUAAAAAAUAAUAUAAUAUAUUAUUUGUCCAAAUAUAAUAAUUUCAACUUCACACAAAUUAAAUAAAGUCAUUUAUGAUUAAGUAAUUAAUGCCUUUGAAAAAAAGAAUAACUUAGGUUAGUUAGAUAAAAUUAUAUUUAUAUUUAUUAAAUUAUUUUUAAUUUGUAAACGGGUCAUAUCGGGUCAUAUCGGGUCACCACGGGUUGACCCGAAAUCGACCUGUUUUCUUUUCGGAUUCAUCGGGUCCAACCCGAUUCUGACCCGAAUUCCCAAAACCUCAACCCAAACCCAUUAAUUUCGUGUUAGGUUCGUGUCGUGUUUUCAGGUCGUGUCGAAAAUUGCCACCCCUAAUUUUGAGUUUGAUAAAAUUAAAUCAAAACUCAACUCAAUUAAACAAAAAUUUGACUUGACUCAACUCGUUUACAAACCUAGAUAUAGAGUUACAAUAGUGACAGGUUGUCGAUGCCUGUGCAAUAAUAAAACCUGCUCAAACUAAAAGUAAUUUCUGUAGAUAACGGUAAGCAGGGUCGAAUCCACAGGGACUGGGAGUAAUUGUUCCUUUUCAAAUUCACAGUGACAAAGGGGAGUGUUUUUAUAUCAGGGGUGACAACUCAACUAAAAGUAAAAUAAUAAAAAUAAAAUAGCCAACUAGAAAUUAAAAAAACACAAUUUACUAAAAUCAAAGGAUCUAGCCAAGGAAUAACUUCAGCAAUGGUUCACCUAAUUGAUCAUUGAUAAGCAAAGGCAAUUCCAAUUAUUUACUAAUAAAUAGGUUAUAACUGCCAAACAAGCGAUGGCAGUCAGCCCCUCCUUACUGUGUCGGUGAUCAAGGUACGCUCGUUAAUCACUUCUUUAAUUGGAAGAACAAUCCUAGGUACGCCCAUAAGAUUUAAUUUCCCAAUUGCCUUACGUAUUAGAGGAGCCCUAUUCUAAUCAAAUAACGCACUACCAGGGUUAUUUCAGAUUAGCCCGCGUAUCCCCCUGACACGAAUCUAAUCGUGCCAGUUGUCACUAUUUCAAGACAAUUAAACAAUUACGAAUUUAAUGUCCUAAUUGACAGUAGAUUAUCCAAUCAAUUAACCAUCCGGAUCCAAGACAAUCAACUAAUUAAAUGACCAUAAGCAUAGCAAUCAAGGAAUAUGCGAAUACUAAUAAAUAAAAGAAAAAAAUUAAAUUAAAUCGAUCUUACAAUUUGUAGGCGAGCCAGAGCCUUCGUUAUUUCUUGACUAGAAUGAGGAAAUUAGUUCAUAUUUGAUGAACUGAGUCCACACAACAUUGAAGAGAAGCCAGCGGCCAUGGUCCGUUGAAAUUUAGCAGAAUCCAACUCGUCUCAAUAUAUUGAAUGAAUAGAAAAGCUACAAAAGUUCAUAGUUUUCACUCCGUCUGGCGCACAACAAUGAAGAAAAGACUACUAAAAGCAACUAAGGAAGAAAAGUCCAAGCCAUGAAUGGCUAAACUCCUGACAUUCGUAAGUCCCAAGAGCUACUAAGAAGCCAAAGAAAAGUCAAAGGCAGCAAGUCUUCAUUGUUCCUGCCAUGCGUUUCCGUUCUUUGGUCAAAAGUCUAAAAAGGAAGAAGAAAUCUAAUUCUAAGCUAGAAGCUGCUGCCCCUUCUUCUGCACCAUUUUCUCUUAUAUCCUCCUGUUCCGUGCGGCGGCUCCAGGGAGAAGAACACUUUUGGCACAAUGACCGAAAAGGGCUCAUGUCCCUACUUCCCAAAAAUGCCCUUUCGAGCCUUCUAUUUAAUUAAUUUCCCGAUGAUUGUCAAAUUGGCCUUAAUUGUAGUAUUUUCAUUCUACUCCCUGAAAUAAAUGUAAAUUACGAAAAGUGAGUAGAAUCCAAUAAUUAAUUCACAUCGGGUCAGGUAAUAGAAAAAAUUAAUAAUAAAAUAAAUGAUAAAAUUGCACCCUAUCAAAUAGCUCUAUGAAUUACCGUAAGACAUAGAGAAUAGAGAGAUUGGUACAUAUCCUCUUAAUAGUUAAUUCCCCUCGAGGCAACUCUGGUAUGAUUGAGCUAAAGCUCAUUGUGCCUAGCAAAGGGGGUGUAAGUACAAUGUUUUACUCUUUUUUCCCCUUUUUUUUUUUCUUUUCUUCAAAAGAGGAUUAAUACUGGUUCAAUUUACAUGGGUUCAAAUACAAUGUUUUACUUGUUCAAAUGGUUCUGCAAAAUUUAUUUUUCAAAACCAAUUAUGGCAAUCCAAGCUUUACUAGUUUUGGGCCCUAGAUUCAUUUUUCUCAGUUACGUAGACCACUGAACAGAACUCUUUUUUUUUCCCUAUUAUUUCAUUUUUCUUUUGUGUGAAAUUUUGACCACGAAAUAUAACUAGAAGCAUCUGGACCUGUCCAUAUUAAACACAUCUAUAGGAUGGAUUACUGAAUAAAAACGAGCUUACGUAUUUUGCUAAUGUGCCUUCUCUACAAAGUGGCACAAUUCAAAGGAAUUCUUACGCAGGUAGACAAACUAAAUUAAAAAAGAAAAAUUGAAAAGGGAGAUAUACCACCUUUUUAUUAAUUUUUUUAAUUUGGUAAGUCUUUUCUUUUUGAAAGGUUAGUUUGGUAAAUCAACUCAAGUAAUGAAGUAACAAAAGUAUAAGCUUUAGGGGUUAUAUAUUGAAAUCAGCAAAUUUACUGAAGAAAAAUAGGUCCUUGUGAGUACGAAGCAACCACUUGCUUCAGAAUCACAAUAAAAUCACAAAUAUUCAUUACUCACAAAUAAUAUUUAUUUCUGUUGUUCAACCUUUACAAACAUUGCUUGUGAAACUAACAAGCAUUAGCUUUAUAAUGACAUAGCACUUAAUAGCACACAUUUAUUCGUGCAUCCAUUUUAGAAGACACCAUAGCAACUUCAAACACGCUAAAUACUUAGAAGAUAUGUCUCUCUCUCUCUCUCUCUCUCUCUCUCUCUCUCUCUCUCUAUAUAUAUAUAUAUAUAGAUGGUUCAAGCAUUUUUGAUGUGAUGAGAUUCAAUGUCUUCAACCAUGUGAAGGAAAAAGUUGAGCAAGGUUCCUGGAUGUGGGGUAUCUUCCUUCAGCUUCUCAUAGUCGAGAGUCCAUGUAAUCAAACUUUCUUUGUCACCAAGAACAUCAACAUGGUAUAUGAUAGUGAAGGUCUUGUACAGCUCCAUGAGAUCUCCUUCAAUCAUCUUAAAUACGAUUGAUUUCUUUUCUUCAUUUAUGUCUUGAAUAAUCUGCUUUGCCACCCUAUCUUUCCCGUCUGUAAAAAUGAAAAGUAAAUCAAUUACAGACUCUCCAAUUCCUAGUCAACAUGCUGGUAAUCCAAAAACAAGGUUUGCGGAAUUCUUUCUUUUCGGUUUUUAGGGAUAGACAAUACUAUUCACACAACCAGGGAAGAAUUCUCGUUGUGAAACAUCUGGUAUAUCGCAUAAAAAACUUGAGAAAAGCAAAAGAAAAAAAAUUCUGUAGUAUUAAUUAAUUGAAUUCUUUACGAAGAUGGACUUCCUUAAUUAACCUCUGUAGUUUCCACAAUCAGAUUAUUGUCUUCGUAUAAAUACUAAUAAUAAUAUUAAUAAUACGGUUAAUAGUAAUAGAUCUAGUCCGUUUUUCAUUAAAACUUUUCCCGAGGCAGAUAUUAAGCUUUUAUCCUUUCUUUUUCCUGGCAAAUAAGUUAGAUAACUAAUUGUGUGCCAGUUCAAAGCAGGGAAAAACGGAUGGAGAGAGUUUAAAUCAACUUAGUCCAGAAGCUGACCAACACGCAACAAAAGCUAAAUGAAUAAAGGAAAAACAAGAAAAACUGCGGGGAAGAAAGAGCUUUGAAUAUUGAUUCCAUACCAUGGGUAUAAUGCCAGCAGAUUUUGGAUCCAACAGUUCCAAGAUCACCACCAAGCAAAGUAAACCCUUGAACUUUCUCAGGAGUCAUGGUGGCAAGAUGGUGUGGUCUUUUGCUGAAGACAUCAUGGAACACAUCUCCAGCAGGGCCAUGGAUGUUAGUUUGACCAAUCAUUUUACCUUUGAGCCCCAUUUUUUUUUCUGAGAAACUGAGAAGGAAAUGACCAAAUACUGCUGCAGCAAAAAAAUGCAAAGAAAUAUUGAAGGAAGUCUCAGUUGUGGUCUGCUAGACUAUCCCUCUGCUCCUUAUAUAGUAUAGAACUGAUGGGUGACUUCACCCCCCACCUCCACCCCCACCCUUUCUUUUUUUUAAUUGGGGUCUAUAAACCACGUAAGAGGAACCAAUUAUCUUCGCCGAAACUAUCAUUUUUUUCCCUAGUUCUGACAUUGUUAGAAACUUCUUUUUUUUUUUUUUAAUUCAUGAGAUGUUGUAUUGGUACAUCAGCCCUAAUAAAUGAUACUCAGCAUCCAUUAAAAUGUGAUUAUCCUCAUUUUCUAUUAAUCUAUAAUCAUAUUACAUCUAUAGUUUUGCACUUAGGGUCAACAGACUCGACAUCAUUCAUUUUUUUAAUGCCUACAACUAAGGUUUUCUUGUGGGCAACUUAAAUUUUAUUUUAAUCGAUAUCUCUUAGUCUCAUUUUUGCUUUACGACAAGAAUACUUCACCAACAUUGGAUAGAAUGAAGGCCAUCCUUGACAAAUUAUUUUGGAGAGAUCUACUUCUCUUGUCCAUGGCAAAAACGACUCUCCAGUAAUGACUCUUAGAAGUUGGUUAACACAAUAAAUGAUAUGAAUUCAUGAGUUUGGGAUAGUUGGCAAGUAGGUUGCUAAUGUCAAUAGGAGAUCGCAAGUUCGACUCCUGCACGUGGCGUCUUGAAAAACUCUAGUAAGAUGCUCAUCUCCGAAUAAAAGUUAGACUUUACGGAUGCUCCUUGGAUCGAAUCCGGAUUAGUCUCACGAAGAGUGGGAAUAUUGGGUGCUUAAAGCAAAAUAAAUAAAUAAAUAAAUGAUAUCCUCUUCUUACAUGGUUUGUGGUAGGUGAUAACUGAGGCAUACUAUUACCAAAUGGGAAAUAAACUGAUGCCAUACCACUUCACAUGAUUCACACAACACAUAAAAUUUCUUAAUUGUUUCCGGCACUUGGGCCAUAUUUCAUGGGUUGGUCAACUUGGGAUCCUUAUCAAAGAUUAAUUGGCAGACAAGUUAAGGUCUUAUUUGGAUUACAGUUAUCUUAAGAAUUUUUUUUACAUUUUGUGUGAACACAUUUAUGAAUCAUAUUUUUAUUUCAUAUAUAUCAAAUUAUUGCAACAUAUUUUUUUUUUUACAAAAACUUUUAAAAAUAGUAGUCCGAUUGGGUUCUUACCUAUUUAAGACUUCGAUGUUUCGCUACCAAAAAAAAAAAUACAAUUAAAAACUCGUCUUAUGUGGAUGCGGGGCACUGGUGAGUGAAGCAAGACCAACGCCGUGGUGUAAUAUGGGACAUUGACUUCAAAAUUUGGAAUUCAACUAUCGAACAUCAAAUUAAGCUCAUCCGGUCCAAUCAUUGUAAAUUGGAUGAUUGUUUUGGUUCAACCGCACCAACACUUAACCCAUUUUAUGUGCGCUGAGGAUGGCCCUCCCGACUCGGCCAUAUCGAGCUCAACCCUUUGUUAUUUGGGAUGGGUCGCCACAAGUCUUGGUUAUCUCGGCUAGACAUCGCAUACGGAUAAUUGAGGUGACUCCCACAUUCAUUGGUACCUCGGAUUGGUGCUGUGCUUGACACGACAUCCAAAGUCUUAUCAGAGAACUUGAUACUUGCAUGGCGGACAAGACAUCUGAUGGGACCUGUCUACUGCUCCAUCUUGUCAAAUCAGACUGGACAUGCUUAGUCCCUGCCAGGUCCUAGGAAGUUGAAACCCACUAUUCCUUCCUCCCACUUAUCCCUUAUAAAUACUACUCCUUCUACUUCAGGGGGAGGAGAAAAAAAAGAGUAAGGACUCUUCUAUUUCCAUUCCAUUAUUAACUUUCCAAGAAAACUAACUUAAUCAUCGAAGGUAUCCCGGGGGAAAAAGCCCCGCCUAGUGUGUGUAUCAGGAAAAGAACACCACCAAAUCACCUCAAUCAGGAAGAGGAGGCAUCUGGUCAGCUCGGCUUGAUCAUCCAGGAACAGUGUCUUCAUGUAUAUAUCAACUUUCUUUUCAUAGGAUGAAGACAAGUUUGCAGUAAAUACCAAAUACCCACCAGCUACACCUCACAUCACCCGUUUUAUGUAAAUGAACUUUCUUUUUUUUUAAUGGAAUGAAAAUAAUUCGGGAAUAAGUUUGCAGUAAAUACCAAAUACCCACCAACUGCACCUCGCAUCACCCCGUUUUAUGUAUAUCAACUUUUUUUUUUAAUGGAAUGGAAAUAAUUCAGGAAUAUGUAUUAGUUUUCUUACGAGUUUCAAUUGGAUACUCCUUAAGACAUCUAAAGUACACUAAAAUUAUCAUGUGAAAAUACAUAUUAACAUUUAUUAUACCUCCUAAAUUGCAACAUUUUUUUUUUUGAAUUAGUUAUACUUUUUAAAAAAAAAAACUAAUAUCUAGUACUUUUUUAACAAGUGGCCAAUAGACACUCGUCAAUCAAACCGUAGAAUUAGAUACCCAAAUCUUUUAACCCAAAAAAAGGUCCAAUUCAGUCGGGGGGCCAAACUAGGGAUGUAAGCGAGGCUACUCGUGAGUAGCUUGGUCAAUGGCUUGGUUUAAACUCGAUUAAACCGAGUUCGACCAGAGUCUCAAGCUACUCGAGUACACAUUCAAGUCGAGUUUGAGUCAGAAUUUUGCAACUCGUGGCUCGACGACUCGUCGAGCCAUAUAAUUUAAAUAAUAUAUAUAAUUUAAAUAAUAUAUGUAUUAUAAUUAUAAAAUGACAGUUAUGGGUAUAAUUUAUAUCGAAUUUACAAGUAAGGUAUCAAGUCAAAAAGCUUGAUUACUCGACUCGAUAAGGCUUGACUAAAGGUCGAGCCUUAUCGAGUCGAGUCUCGAGCUUUUAAAGAUUUUCUCGAGUCAAGCUCAAGUUUGAGAUUUUUCGACACAAUCGACUUCGAGUCGAGCUCGAGCCAAGUUAUUUAUAGGUCGAGUCGAGCUCGAGUAUAGCAAUACUCGAGCUCGACUCGGCUCGAUUACAUACCUAGGCCAAACAAGCUAUAUGUCACUCAUGUCUGGGGGGUUAUAUUCUCAGAAGUGAUUUUCAAGAUAUAGGCAGAGUAGUGGACUGUAUUAAAUUGGGACAUCGUAAUUCGUAAUUUUUAUCACAGCAAUCUUACUUGAAAUACAGGAAUUAAUGAAAGUUAGGUGCAGUGGACAUUAUUUAAUGUAUUUAAUAAACUAAUAGAGGCCCCUUUGAUUCUUGACUCAAUUCUUGACUAAUGGAUGCAAAGAAACAAGUCCCCAUAAGAGUUAGGAUAAAGUUCGGUACUAAAAAAAACUUUGUAGGAAAUUAAACCAAGCUAUUUUAGUAUUAGUCUCGUAAUUCUUUUUGUUGUCUUAUUUGUCUAGUUUUCAUAUUAAAUUAGGAAAUCUCAAUCAGUUUCCAAGUAAGUUUUGAUUUACAACUGUAUUUGUUUUAGGAAAUUUUGGAGUUUAUAAAUACUAACAGCUUAGUAAGUAAUUAUUUGAAGUGUUGAGUUGAGUUUUAAGAGUAGGUUUGAGAGAAAAUCUCAUAGUUGAGAUUUGUGAGUUGUUAUGAGCGAAAAGCUACGACUUGAUAUUUAUUAUUGUUGGGUUUUGAAUUAAAUAAAUUAUUGACUAUUUGUUUUCUUCCUCUUCCCACAUAUUUUUAUAUGUGUCAAAAUUGCUUCCGCUGUGCGCGAGGAUUUUUGGUGUGCUAACAAGUGGUACCAGAGCUUUAGACUUUGAUCCUAGGGCUUGUCCGCAAAAUUGGGGCUUAGAGCUUGUUCAUGAAAUUAAAGUAUGGAUCCCCAUUAUUUACAACAUUGUCUAGCUUUUAUCUUUGAUGGUAAAAAUAAUUUUGAGACUUGGAGGUCGAUGAUGAAGGAUUUUUUCAAAGAUAUUGGAAUUUGGAAUAUUAUCCAAAAGGGAUUCACGGAAUCUAUAACAGGUACAAAGUUAUCAAGUGAUGCAGUUAAACAAUUAGAGAGGAAUAAACAAUUAAAUUACAAGACAUUUUACUAUCUCAGUACCCAAAUCCAGUUACAAGUAGUGAAAAAUUCAUACAUGUAAAGACAGCUAAGGAGGCUUGGAAAUUUUUAAUAAAAUUUUAUGGCCAUAGUGGAGAAGAAAUUUGUGAUGAAGAAGAAAAAGAAUAUUUUGAUGAGACAAAGAAAGAAAAAAUUGUAGAAAUUGUGAGUGCACAUGAAGAUGAAAAAUUUGUGAUUCAAGAAGAAAUCUCAUGUGUGGUUGAGAAAAAAGGUGAAGUCAGUGAUGAAGUUAAAGAUGUGCCUCAAGAUCAUAGCAACGUAGAAACUGUAAAUUUUGUCGAGAUUGAUGAAAUUUUUGAAGAGAAAAAUCAAGUGAUGGACUUGGUUGAGAUCAAUUGUGAGGUGCACAAAUUAAUUGAAAAUUGUGAUACUACUAAAGUUGAUGCAAUUAUUAGUGUGAAACAAAAUAAAGGAAAAACAUGGUGAUGUUAAAAACAUUGAUAGCAACAACUAUGAUUUUCUGAUUUUGGGAGAUUUUCUUGGUGACAUGAAUGAAUUAAAUUAUGGAGUAUCUAAUGGAGUAUGGGUGAGUAUGAUUGAAUUUUUUUGAUAAGAGUGAUCAAACGAAGAAACUGUUUGAGAAGUACAAGUUUCAUCCACUAUUGCACGUGAAAAUGAAGUUGGACAUCAAUUGCAAAUUGGUGUUCCACAUCAUCUAUUCAGCGACGGAGUUUUUCAUGGAGAUUCAAGCUUAUGAUGGCAUUGGAAAUGACAACAUUAAGAGCUUGGUUUAAGGGAGGCAAUGUAGGAAAUUAAACCAAGCUAUUUUAGCAUUAUUCUCCUAAUUCUUUUUGGUGUCUUGUUUGUCUAGUUUCCAUAUUAGAUUAGGAAAUUUCAAUCAGUUUCCAAGCAAGUUUUGGUUUACAACUGUAUUUGUUUUAGGAAAUUUUGGAGUCUAUAAAUACUAACAGUUUAGUAGGUUAUUAUUUGAAGAGUUAAGUUGAGUUUUAAGAGUAGGUUUGAGAGAAAAUCUCAUAGUUGAGAUUUGUGAGCAAAAAGCUACGACUUGAUAUUUAUUAUUGUUGAAUUUUGAAUUAAAUAAAUUAUUGAGUAUUUGUUCUCCUGCUUUUCCCACAUAUUUUUAUAUGUGUCAAAAUUGCUUCCGCAGUGCAUGCGUUUUUUUGUGUGCUAACAAACUUCGAUAAAGCAUUGACUGGCUUUAGAAUACAAUUGCGCUACAUCACAAAAUGGAACAUAAAUAUAGAUGAGGCAUUUAAAAUUUAUGUCAUGUUAAAUAUUGGAGUAUUUCCCACUUUUUCUGCUAAUAGACGUGUCCCUGUUUGGAGAUUUGUCUAGCAAUGAAGGUUGUCAAGAUUUUUUUAUAUAUUUUUUUGGGGGUGGUCCUAGUUGGGUCACCGUCUGAGAUUUUCUUGGCCUGAAGAAAUCAAAUAUUGAUACCAUUAAGCCCAGAAGAUAUUUUUUUUCAAUUAAAAAGAUGCAACUUUGGUUGGUUUUCAAUGCAUUUUUCAUAAAUCUGCAAGCUAACUGAGUGUCCUGGGCAAAAAUUAAUUGGUCACCAAGUUUUAGCAUUCUUAUGACUUUAAUGUUUUCUGUGAUUUUGGAACCAGGUAACCAUACCAUCUUUCUGAACUUUUCUUUACCAAAAAAAAAAAAAAAAAAUUAUAGCAGGACAAAAUUAAUAGGAGUUCGUGUUAUUUGAAAAAAUCUAGUUUUAUGUGGAUCCGAGGGACCGGUGGGUGAAAGAUCAAUAUCUUGAAAUCAAUAUUGACUUCAAUGUCUUGAAAUCAAACAUGUAACAUCAAAUUUCCGUCAAUGUAACAUCAAAUAGGAGUUCGUGUAAUAUUUAUUUCUUUAACAUCUAUUACUCUGACUAUAAAAUAAAUUUUUAUACUUACUGUUGCGUAAUAAUUUGUUAUUGAAUCAUGAGAAAAUGAGUUUAAAACGAUUACCUAUUACCUAACAUUUCACUUCUAUUUAAAGACGAAAGACAAUAACAGUAAUAAUCAAUAAAAAAUAUUACAUUAUUGGGAAUAAUAUUUAAAAAAACAAUGGAAAUGCAAAUGUUUAAAGAAUAAAUAGUACCGGAAUUUCUAAUUUGAUGUGAAUGACAUUUUAAUCGCUGUAGUUGGGAUUUUGUCCUUCGAAUUUGAUGUGAGAUUUCUCUUUCGUCAACGCAAAGUUGAUGAAACUUUUCGAAUUGCAGUGUGGAAUCGUUGCAGUGUACGUUUCGUUUUUCGCAAUCUUGCGAGUUUAAAAUUUAAUUGUCGUUGAAAUGCUUGUAGGCGGGCAUGCUCCAUAGUGAAAUUAGGUUAAGGGCUAAGAUGGAUACCAUAAAAAAGUUGAAGGAGAUAAUAAGUUUUUGGAAAAAACGCAAAAAAGUUUUCUUAAUUGGAGUGAGCACGCAAGAAAGUUGAAUGAGGAUACUAUAUUUUGGAAGAAUUUUAAUUAGAGUGGAAUUCUUAAAUUGGAGGACUCUUAAGUGGAGUGGGAAAGUAGGAGAAAUGUAGGGAAAAUGUGAGCAUGAUGAUAGAAUUUUUAGGAGAUGAUUAGUUAAGAGAUAAACAUUUCUUAAAUUAGAGGACUCUUAAUUGGAGUGAGAAAUGUGGGGGAAAUGUGAGCAUGAUAUAGGAUUUGUAUUAUACUGAAUAACUUGAUAGUAUACUCAAAUCACCGAUGAGGUAAAAUUUGCCUAAAUAAGUUUUACAGUGUCCUAAUUCCUUGAAAAAAAAAUUGCUAAAUAGUCCUAAUUGGCACUACAAGUUACGGCAACGUGCCAGUGGCAUCUAGUCCUAAUUUUUUUUGGGGUCAAAAUCUAGUCCUAAUUGGUUCUGUUGUUUCUUGAUCAUGUUGUAUGCUCCUAAAUUCUACUUAGCGUGUAAUAAUUGAUAAUGGCUUAUUCUAUUCUUUCAUGGUAUUGGACAGGUGAAAAUCACACUAGAAGUGUGGUAAAUUUACUAUAAACUCCUAAUAUUAUCUCCCCUAAUUUUUGUAUAUUUUUUUAAAAAUUUAAACUUUUGUCAACAAUAGGCUGGUCAUGCAAAUAAAAAAAGGGAAUAGUCACACAUCUCAUUCUUUGCCCUAAAGAACUCAAUUUAGCAAAUUUCUUAGAAUAAUGGUGAAAAAAAUCACAACAAUGGAGGAACCUGGGUUUGUUUCCUUCUUUUUUCUUUUGGAUUUGAAACAGCCCUAUUCAGUUAUAAAAAAUAAAUAAAUUAGCCAUCUUACGUUCAUUAAGAAAGGGAAAAUUUUUUGGUCGCUGCACAUGGAUGUCCGGCCAUCCUAAAGGGAAAAAAAAACAAUUGUUCCAUUCUUGCGAUUUUUUUUAGGGUCUUAACUUUACAUUUAGUUGCACAUUUGUGAUUUUUUUGAAACGUGAUUGUAAUUUGUAAAGGUCAUUUGUAAGAGUGGCUAUAGGAUUAGUUUAGUGAUAAAUAUUUCUUAAUUAUAAAAAUGUAAAAUUGUAUUAAAAUAGCAUACGAAUGAACAUUUGUCUUUAAUUAAGGAGAAAAAAAGAUUUAAAGUAUAAAUAACAAACUAUAAACGGUUUAUAAAGUAGAUAGCGGGAAAGUUUGAAAUUUUAAAUUUGACUGGUGAUAAGGUUAGUCAUAACCCACUAUUUUUUAUGUAUUAAAAUAAAUACAAAAAUCUAGAAAAAAGAAUAAGAAGUUGGAAGCUAUUGAGAGUCUCUCUCCUAAAAAUCCACUCUGCAAUACAUAUAGAUAUAGAUUUUCCUAUCAUUCUGCUAAUAAACUUGUCCCUAUCUAAACCUAGAGAAAUGUUCACCAAGUCCUACUUGGGUGACACAGAUUUUUCUUGGCUAGUAGAAAUAGACAUUGAUAAUUUGAGAGGUUAAAUGAAAAGUGUGAAUAUCAAUUUCCAAUAUAAGGGUAUUUUCCUAUCUUUCUACUAAUAGACUUGUCCUUAUCUAAACCUAGAGAUAUGUCCACCAAGUCUGUCUUAGGUCAGAGUCUGAGAUUUUCUCGGUUAGCAGAUAUCGAUGUUGAUAGUUUGAUAACAUUAAGUCCAAAAGAUUAGCUGGGCUUGGCUCUGAUCACUAUUUACGGCAUGUGGUGAUUCAUGAUCCGUGGUCGCAAUCAAAGUCAAACCCAUCUAAAUUGUUUAUUAUAAAAAAAUUAUUAAUUACAAAAGAUUUUUUUUUUUUUUAAUAAAGGAUGCAUUCUUUGGUUGGUUUUCAAUGGAUUUUACGUAAAUCUGCAGGCUAAUUGAGGUCCCUACCAAAUAAAUGGAAAGAAAAUAGUCCGUACCAUGUUAUGUUAAUUUCCAUGGCUUGGAGGGGUAGUUUUGACACCCACUCUACACAUGAUUCAUGGCUUAAUUAAUUUGAGUUUACAGAUAUCCACUCAAAUCAAUUUGAUAUGACAGGAGUAGGGCUGGCAACCCCGUUGUCAAAUAACUCCCCCCGUCCCCCGUCCCCCGCCCCAUCCCCUGUCCCUUGCCCCCAUCCCUCACCCCGUUUCCCCCGCGGUCCCCCGUGAGUAAAGAAAUCAAUUUACAAAAAGUAAAACUCUUCUCAUAUAUCCAAGCAUUUUUGAGAACUAACAGGAGAGAGGAAGAAUUCCCAAACACUAACCAAAAAUACCAAGAACAGUUAAAAUCCAGAAAUAACAAAAGGCAAAGAUCAAUGGAAAACAUAAAAAAAAAAAUCAGCAAAAUGAAGGGAAAAACAAACCCAUGGUUGUUGAAACUGCUUAUAAACGAUAUCAUAGGUCAUGGAAAGAAUUCUUGUUCCAUUAGACUCUCGUAUUUACAUUUUCAUUGAGGCUUUUAGACAAACAUCUUAUAUAUAUAUAUAUAUAUAUAUAUAUAUAUAUAUAUAUAUAUAUAUAUAUAUUUUAUGCGGGGGACGGGGCGGGUGUACGUUGCCCCCAUCCCACGCCCCGUUUUAAGGCGGGGGUAAAUAUUUCGCCCCCACCCCGCCCCCACCCCAUUUCUACCCCGCGGGGUGGGCACCCGCCCCCAUUGCCAUCCCUAGAUAGGAGACAAAUGAUGUAUCACUUGAUUUUUUUUUUGUGUAUAUAUCAUAUCUUGAUUUUUUUAUGUGUAUAUGUCAUAUCACGAUGCUAUUGCAAAUUUUUGUUUAAAAAUUACUUGCAUAUACAAAUUCAUCCGUGACGUGCAUUUGGAUUAGUCUAUGAGGAUAUGGAUCCAAUUAGACCGACAGUUUCCUUUUCUUUUUUUUUUGUCCAAUCAAUGUUGUAGCGUCUCAAUCCCUAGGGUUCUUAGUGAUAAAUCAAAUUGACAAAUUAUUAAUGUAACACAUCACUAAAGUUGUGCAAGUUGUAACCAAACCAUUUAAUAUUCUCAGACUGGCAACAUCAACUGGUUAAACUUUUAAUUCAUCUUCUUGCUAGGAGACAAAUUUUGCUUUUCUUCUACAAUUCUAAUAGAAAUUUAAUUUAAUUUAUCCACUAUAGAUAGUCAUACAAACUGAGCUAACAAUAAAAAAAGGAAAAUACUGCAGAAUGUACCAUCUAAAACCACAGAGAUAAAGAGAUUCCGCAGCUCAGUCACAACAUUGCACUUUUACCAUGUUAUUGUAUAAUUUUAAGAAUUAGUGUUUUAUACACCAUUAGCGUAAAGUUUUUUUUUUUUACAUUAAGAGGUACAGAUAUAUGAUACAUAGACAAAACGUGAAUUUAAAGUUUGAAUAGUGAUGAAGUGGCAUUCAUCUAAAAUAAACCUACUUGUGUAAAAGAAAAAAAAACUUUACACUAAUUGUGUAUAAAAAUUGGUAGCAGCAACUAUGAUUUUCUGAUUUUGGGGGAUUUUCUUGGUGACAUGAAUGAAUUAAAUUAUGGAGUAUCUAAUGUAGUAUGGGUGAGUAUGAUUGAAUUUUUUGAUAAGUGUGAUCAAAUGAAGAAACUGUUUGAGAAGUACAAGUUUCAUCCACUACUGCACCUGAAGAUGAAAUUGGACAUCAAUUGCAAGUUGGAGUUCCAUAUCAUCUAUACAGUGACGGAGUUUUUCAUGGAGAUUCAAGUUCAUGAUGGCAUUGGAGAUGACAACAUUAAGAGCUUGAUUUAAGGGAGGCAAUGUAGGAAAUUAAACCAAGCUAUUUUAGCAUAUUAUUCUCCUAAUUCUUUUUGGUGUCUUGUUUGUCUAGUUUCCAUAUUAUAUUAGGAAAUUUCAAUCAGUUUCCAAGCAAGUUUUGGUUUACAACUGUAUUUGUUUUAGGAAAUUUUGGAGUCUAUAAAUACUAACAGUUUAGUAGGUUAUUAUUUGAAGAGUUGAGUUAAGUUUUAAGAGUAGGUUUAAGAGAAAAUCUCAUAGUUGAGAUUUGUGAGCGAAAAGCUACGACAUGAUAUUUAUUAUUGUUGGAUUUUGAAUUAAAUAAAUUAUUGAGUAUUUGUUCUCCUGCUUUUCCCACAUAUUUUUAUAUGUGUCAAAAUUGCUUCCGCUGUGCAUGCGAUUUUUUGUGUGCUAACAAACUUCGAUAAAGCAUUGACUGGCUUUAGAAUACAAUUGCGCUACAUCACAAAAUGGAACAUAAAUAUAGAUGAGGCAUUUAAAAUUUAUGUCAUGUUAAAUAUUGGAGUAUUUCCCACUUUUUCUGCUAAUAGACGUGUCCCUGUUUGGAGAUUUGUCUAGCAAUGAAGGUUGUCAAGAUUUUUUUAUAUAUAUAUUUGGGGGUGGUCCUAGUUGGGUCACCGUCUGAGAUUUUCUUGGCCAGAAGAAAUCAAAUAUUGAUACCAUUAAGCCCAGAAGAUAUUCUUUUCAAUUAAAAAGAUGCAACUUUGGUUGGUUUUCAAUGCAUUUUUCAUAAAUCUGCAAGCUAACUGAGUGUCCUGGGCAAAAAUUAAUUGGUCGCCAAGUUUUAGCAUUCUUAAGACUUUAAUGUUUUCUGUGAUUCUGGAACCAGGUAACCAUACCAUCUUUCUGAACUUUUCUUUACCAAAAAAAAAAAAAAAAAUUUAUAGCAGGACAAAAUUAAUAGGAGUUCGGGUUAUUUGAAAAAAUCCUAGUUUUAUGUGGAUCUGAGGGACCGGUGGGUGAAAGAUCAAUAUCUUGAAAUCAAUAUUGACUUCAAUGUCUUGAAAUCAAACAUGUAACAUCAAAUUUCCUCCUAUGGAGAGGUUGUUUAGGGGGAGUUUCUUCUCUCCUAGAGAUUUUUAGUGAGAGUUUUUUCUCUCCUAAAAAUUUCUGGUGAGAGAUUUUGUGGUUAGUCUACCUCUUAUAUUAGAUAUAAGUUUUUUUUUUUAGAUUUGAUUGUCAGAUCUAAGAUUUCUUAGAUCUACCCUAUCAAAUCUCACUUUAACAUAUGAAUUUAAAUAAGUUCAUUAGCAGAUUUAAAAGGAAGCAAUUAGUAGUAUAGUUGGAAGCAUACACGGAUGAUCUUAAGAUCAUGAAUAUUUUAUCUUUUAAUUUUUUUUAGAAUUUCAACGUUAUAUGCUAUUGACUUUCUAGAUUUGUAUAAUUGAUAUAAUUUCUGUCAUUAACGCAGAUUUAAUGAAAUGAUGCUGUUUUUUUAUUUAUUAAAAAUAAAUGUAACAUCAAGUUGAGCUCAUGCAGUCCAAUCAUUGUAAAUAUCAUUGUAAAUUGGAUGAUGCUGUUGGUCACCGCUCAACACCUCAACCAUUUUUAUUUCUUUAAUUCUUAUAGAAUGAAGACAAUUUAGCAAUAAAUACCAAACACCAACCAACGCCCCUCACCGCACCCCGUUUUCCGCACAUCAACCUUCUUUCAUGGAAUGAAGAUAAGUUAGGAUUCAAUAACCAUAUCCUUUAACCGACGAAAAAAAAGAAAGAAAAAAAGAAUCCGAUUUAGUCCGGGGGGCCAAAGAAGCCAUCUGUAAUUCAUAACUUAUAUUCUCAGAAGUGAUUUUAAUUGUCAGAAGAUCAAAAGAUGGGCAGAGUGGUGGACUGCAUUUAAUUGAGAUGCUGUAAUUCGUAAACUUUAUAAGGGCACAAGGGUUAUGAUAAAAUUUGGUACCCAAAAAAAAAAGAAAAAAACUUCGAUAAAGCAUUCGUGGGCUGUAUUUUAGCAUUUUCCACUCGCGCUACGUCAGAAAAUGGAACAUGAGCAUAGAUGAGGCAUUAAAAACUUAUGUUACUUGAAAUAUUAGGAGAAGUGAUAUCUGCACUUUCAAAUUAGUCUCUAGUACUGUUUAGAGACUAUACUCUUAACGAGUAAAUUGAAGUGCAAAAAAGGUUAAAUGAGGAGUGCGAAUAUCAAUUUUCAAUACCAGAAUAUUUUCCUAUCAUUCUGCUAAUAAACUUGUCCCUAUCUAAACCUAGAGAUAUGUCCACCAAGUCCUACUUGGGUGACACAGAUUUUUCUUGGCCAGUAGAAAUAGACAUUGAUAAUUUGAGAGGUUAAAUGAAAUGUGCCAAUAUCAAUUUUCAAUAUAAGAGUAUUUUCCUAUCUUUCUAUUAAUAGACUUGUCCUCAUCUAAACCUAGAGAUAUGUCCACCAAGUCCUACUUGGGUCACGGUAUGAGAUUUUGUCGGUUCGGAGGAAUCGAUGUUGAUAGUUGGAUAACAUGGAAGUCCAAAAGAUUACGUGGGCUUGGCUUUGAUCACUAUUCACGGCAUGUGGUGAUUCCUGAUCCGUGGUUGUGGUUGCAAUCAAAGUCAAACUCAUCUAAAUUGUUUAUUAUAAAAAAAAUUAUUAAUUACAAAAGAUUUUUUUUUUUUUUUUAAAUAAAGGAUGCAUUCUUUGGUUGGUUUUCAAUGGAUUUUACGUAAAUCUGCAGGCUAAUUGAGGUCCCUACCAAAUAAAUGGAAAGAAAAUAGUCCGUACCAUGUUGUGUUAAUUUCCAUGGCUUGGAGGGGUAGUUUUGACACCCACUCUACACAUGAUUCAUGGCUUAAUCAAUUUGAGUUUACAGAUAUCCACUCAAAUCAAUUUGAUAUGACAGGAGACAAAUAAUGUAUCACUUGAUUUUUUUUUUUUUUUUGUGUAUAUAUCAUAUCUUGAUUUUUUUUUAUGUGUAUAUAUCAUAUCACGAUUGCUAUUGCAAAUUUUUGUUUAAAAAUUACUUGCAUAUACAAAUUCAUCCGUGACGUGCAUUUGGAUUAGUCUAUGAGGAUAUGGAUCCAAUUAGACCGACAGUUUCCUUUUCUUUUUUUUUUGUCCAAUCAAUGUUGUAGCGUCUCAAUCCCUAGGGUUCUUAGUGAUAAAUCAAAUUGACAAAUUAUUAAUGUAACACAUCACUAAAGUUGUGCAAGUUGUAACCAAACCAUUUAAUAUUCUCAGACUGGCAACAUCAACUGGUUAAACUUUUAAUUCAUCUUCUUGCUAGGAGACAAAUUUUGCUUUUCUUCUACAAUUCUAAUAGAAAUUUAAUUUAAUUUAUCCACUAUAGAUAGUCAUACAAACUGAGCUAACAAUAAAAAAAGGAAAAUACUGCAGAAUGUACCAUCUAAAACCACAGAGAUAAAGAGAUUCCGUAGCUCAGUCACAACAUUGCACUUUUACUAUGUUAUUGUAUAAUUUUAAGAAUUAGUGUUUUAUACACCAUUAGCGUAAAGUGUUUUUUUUUUUUUUUACAUUAAGAGGUACAGAUAUAUGAUACAUAGACAAAACGUGAAUUUAAAGUUUGAAUAGUGAUGACGUAGCAUUCAUCUAAACCUACUUGUGUAAAAAGGGAAAAAAAACUUUACACUAAUUGUGUAUAAAAAUUAAUCCCAAAUUUUAAUCAUAGUCCUUAUAACGUAAAUUAGAUUAGAAAAGCACUUGCAUAUUUCUCUAUCAUAUGCUUUACGCUGAACUAGUCUUUUGAGCAUAAUCAUUAUGCUAAAAAUUUCUUGACAACAUAAUAGGGAAACCUGUGGAGUUUGAUGAACCAACGGAGUUGAUGAAAAAGAAAUAUUGGUCUCUUUGUCAAGCUCUGCAGAAUUACAACGAAAUUAACAGCAGAGACAGUGUGUGAUCCUUUUACAUGGCUUUCUAGUAAAUAUAACUCCUCAAACACAGCAAUAAAAAUUUCCUUACAACUUCGUAAAAUGUAAUAAAACUACCAUUUGUGGGUCAAUUUCACGAGUGUGCCUAAAAUAAUACCAUAAAAUUAGUUAGUGCGAUAAUAGACAUGAUGUGCUAUUUAUCGUAUUAAUUGCCUUUUCUUUUUUUUUUUGGUACAGGAUAAAAGGACAAAUCGUUAAUGACUAUCUUGUAGCUCUCUACAUGUUCUGAAUGAAGGAUAAUAAUAUCUUCUUUUGUGUGAAAAGAAAAAAAUGAUAAAUCUUAAGGAUGCAUAUGCUAAGUUCUAUGAUUCCCCUAAUGCCAAAUAUUUGACAGAGACUAAGCCAACUAGUAAUUAAAAUAAGUUGAUCUUGAGGGUAAAAUGGAGGUAUCAAAAAUAUUAGUUUCCUAGAAGUUCUAUGAAAAUUUCCCUGUUUAAGGUAAAAAAAAAAAAAAGAACCAUGUUUAUUCAUCUACAUAGCCUCAUCAUAACUUCAAUAUAGAAAUCAUUUGUCAUGUGUCAACAAUUCAUGGUAGCAUGUGUUGUAUCAGUUACAGGACUUUAGGGCAAACUUUAGCUUCCUAUAAAACAUUUAUGAUUCAAUGACUUUGGUGCACUCCCAAAAAAGAUGUUCAAAGUAAUUUGAUUCAGCUUCGUCUUGAUUAGAUCGAGGAACUCAAGCCAAUAUGCGCCAACUCCCGAGUUGGACUUUCUGGUCACUUCAAUGUUGCCCUAAUCCAAAUCUUUACACUAGGAAAAUGAGUUCAACCAAAAAAAUAUUGCAGUAUUAAACUGGCCUCUGAGAGAGGAAUCGAGACAUAAAGUUUUCAAUACGUAGAAAUUCAUUAAACAGCUGAUAAUAAUUACAUCGAUCGAUUAUUGGACCACACCAUUAACAUAUGAUAUUAUCAUAACUCAUAGGAGCAAGCACACAAUCUAUUUCAGGUUUGCACAUGGUACAACCUUCGUCGAGCUUACAUUUAUUCAAUACACUAACUGGAGAUCUUGGAACUUCCAAACACACAUGUUCGUGCCAUCUAUGAUGACAAUUUAGCACCCCUUCAUUUGAGAUGGUGAGUCUCAAUAUCCUUAGUGACAUGAAGGCAAAAGUCCAUCAGAGUAUUUGGAUCUGGGAUAUUGGGAUUCUUUUUCUCAUACUCGAAGGUCCAUGUAACCAAGUUGCUUUUGCCAUGGGCAUCAACAUGAACUGUUAUGAUGAAGGUCUUGUAUAACUCCAGCACAUCUCCUUCAAUCACCUUGAAUGUGAUUGACCUCUUUGCCUCAUCUAUGGCCUGGAUAACCUCUUUGGCCACUUUCUUUUUUCCAUCUAAAAAAAUUGAAGAAUUGAACGAGAAGAGUGUGAAACUCUAAAGGUAAAAAAAACAAAAUUCAGUAAUUAUUAAGGCCAAGAAAAAUAAAUUUUCCUAGUGGCCUCGCAACCAUGCAAAGAUUGUUAACAUUUGACCUUUACUUGAACCUUUCAAUUUUAUCUUUCAAUUUUUUUAGCAGGUGAGGAUGAAAUUUAAGAAAUUACAAGAGGGACGAAGGUGUUGAACAACCAGGCACCAAGAUCAUUUGUGAGUUGAAAACUUUGCUCAAAUAGAUCUAAGCAUUAUACAUGCAUGCAGAAUCAUAAACAAGAAAAGAUGGAAAUAUUUGAAAGGAACAACGAAAAGAAGGAAAAUCAGGAGGAAAUUCAGAUACCGUGAGUAUAAUUCCAGAAGAUGACAGAUCCGACGGUUCCCCAAUUACCAUCAUGCAGAUCACAACCUUGAAUAUGAGUAGGGCUCAUCGCAGAUACAUGGUGUGGUCUGUGCCUAAAAAUUUCAUGAAACACAUCUCCAUCGGAUUUUAUCUCGAUUUGGUUAACGAGCUUACCAGUAAGACUCAUUUCUUCUAGCUUUUUUAAGCCAAGAAAAUAUGACUACUGAAGGAAGAGGGGUGAGGGAAAGCUAAAGACUGAAGGGCCUUUUAUAGUUGAGUUGUCUGCAUUACUUAAACGCCAAAACGUCAUAGUGUACUAAGGGCCAGCUGUGUUUGUCUCGUUUGAGUUAAAGCUUGAAUUGGUUUAAGGAGCCAUUUGGUUUGAAUUUCACAGUCACUGUCAUUAUCUGUAUCAUAGGGUGAUCAAUGAUAAUAGAUUUUGAUGAAAACCCAUAGUAUAUUUAUUAAUGUAAAAUGGAUUUUAUAAUUUAUAAUUUAUAUUAUUUCUUUUUUUUUUUUCCAUUUGUUGGAACCAGUAGAAACGAUGGCAUUUUUUUUCUUAUUUUUACAUUUAAAGAGAAAAAGAUAAAUAAUUAAAAUGGCAUUUUGUUUUCCAAUUUUUAUAUUUAAGGAGAAUAAGAUGGGUAAUUAAGAUGAUUUCCUAGUGAAGGUGAUUAAUCACAAAACCCAUAGAAGAGGCCUAUCAUUCCCAUUAGCCUCAAACAAACAUCAUAUAUGGGUGUAAUUGAAUUUGAAACUUGUGUUGAAACCCAUUUACUGAACAUCCCCUAAUUUUUUAAUGGAUUGGGUUGUGUGCCUUAUCUAAAGACCAAAAAGUCUCAACUAGGGUAUUCACGGUAAAGAUUUUGUUGCAAAAAUUUCAAUAACAAAAAAUGUAACUGACAAAAUGUGUUUUGCGCAUUACAUUUAUCUAUUUCUCAUAACAUAUUGCAUAGACAUCAUUAGGAAUGCAAACGAGUCGAACCGAAUCAAGUUUCGGCCUAAUCGAGCCAAGGCUCAACAUAAUUUUAUGAAACUUCAACUUGAGUUUGAGUUCGAGCUUAAAAAAUAAAAAAUAAUUUUAUUUUUUAAAAAUGAAUAAAAUAAUAAUUUUUAAUAAAUAAUAAAAUAUUAGAAAUAUUUAUAUAUAAUUUUAUUAUUAAAAUAAAAAUAAUAAAAAAAUAUACAUAUAAUCAAGCUCGAUCCUGCUCACGAAUUAAUGAGUUACCAUUCAAUGGGGGUAUUUUUGGAGUUAACCCCAUUAAUGAGUUAACUCCAAAAAUACUCAACAAAGAAUGGUAAUACUUGGGCAUUGAUUGGGAUCCCAUAAAGUGGAAAUAUAUUUUUUUUUGGUAACAUCAAAGUUAGAUCCGGACCGGAUUUGUCGGUUCGAUUGGUCCGACUGUGAAUUGAUUUUUUUUUUCAAAUUGGUUUGUAAUAUAAAACUGAUUUGAUAAAAACCUAUCGAAACCACAAAAAAUCGGUUAAACCAGUGACCUAAUUCGACUGGUUGAUCCGGUUCUUAAACUUUUCUUUUUUCUUUUCCCUAAACAUAAUUGAGUUACCUAAAUUGUAAUAUUUUCAUUUAUUAAUAGAAAUAAAAAAAGUCACCCAUUUAGUGUAAAUAUCAAAAUCACUCGCUUUCUUAAAUGAUUUUUAAAUCAAGAUGUAUUCAUUCCUAUGAUCUCAUUAAUUUAGCAUUGUGAUUCCAAUUUGCAUUAAUUUGUUUUAAUUUAGUUUUUCAAGUAGUUUUGGAGAAUGGACAUAUUUUAACCAAGAAUUUACAUUUUUAUAUAUAAUUAUUAGGUGUAUAUUUGAUUGCAUGUCUAAUAUUUUUGGAACAUUUUUCAUGAUUGACGAAAUAUAACCAAGAACUUAAUUUCAAUAUUUCUGAAACUUAUAAAAAUAUAAAAUAAUUAUAACAUCAUGCUGAUAUCAGCAAAUUUUUUAGAACGGUUCAAUUGAUCUAACCAGUUGACCACCUCUGAUCAAAUAGUUUAGCCGAGUCGCUAUCGGGUCCGAGUUUAACAACAUUGGAUAUCAUUUGGUGGUGCAUGAUUUACCAAUCCAUCAACCAAUUACGAGCACUACAACUAAAGUACUUUAUUUUCUUGGCAUGCAUUGCAAUUGCACUUUUAUUUUAUUUUGUUUUGUUUCUGGGAUAUAAAUUAUCCUCAAAAGUUGUACUUUAUUCUAGUUGGAGUAAAAUAUCAUCAGCGCUAAUAAAAUGAUUUUUGUUCUCUUUUUCUUUUUUUUCCCUCUUCCCCACGAAAGCAAGUAAAUUUAUAUUUUAGAGAGAGGCAACAAAAUCUCCCUGUAUUAUUCCAUUUCUUAUUUUUAUUCAACUUAGAUCUAGCACAAUGAAAUCAAAGAUAUGAAAAGAUACAUAUAAAAAAAAAGCAAAAAAAAAAUAGAGGGAAAGACAAAUCUUGCAUUAUGAAAAAAGUAAACAAAUAAUACUAAUAUAAGAACAAUAAGAAAAGGAAUAACAAAAUAGAAGGCUUAUUGGACUUUUCAUAGAUGUAUUGGGUUAAUAUUAAUAAUUUUUUUUUACAUAGAUAAUUUGACAUUUGAGCUACUAGUCUUACCCAGAUAAGUUCCAAAGUAUGUUAAUUUUGGACUUGAAUCAUUUUUACAAUCCCAUAUUCUAUACAAAGCCAGAAAGAGUGAAUUCUUUGAAUCAGUACCUAGUAAUUUUACUUAAUUAACUCCAUGUGUAUAAUUUGGAACCAAUGUAACUAUAACUGUCUGAAUAACAAAAUAAUUAGUUUAAUGUUUAUAGUACAGUGUAAUCUUAACACAUGAUCGGCAUUCUCCAUUAUUUUCACGGAGUCGUGCCAACAACACUAGGCACUCCAUCUUUUACUAUCCCUGCAUUUUCGUGAACUUUGUCCAUGAAUAAGAAGCUUGCAUGGUGUUGGAAAUUAAGAGUUAAAUGUCAAUGUCACUACAUUUCAUGAAAAAAAUACCAUCGAAGCUAAAACCUCCAGGAUGAGGAUUUUAUGUAAGUAAUGAAAUCGGUUUUAUGCAUGUAAAAAUACCAUAACAACACUUAGGCAUAAAUUAUAAAGCCCUCGUUUUAUUUAUGUUGCACAAAGAUUCUUAUAACAGAUGAUAGGCUGGUUACAGAAUUACUAACAUACCAAAACAGUACAACAAGAAAACACACAAUUACUUGAGUCUUUCACAUUGGACAUGCCACAAUCUUUUUCAUCAAGUUCACAUCCUUCACAACAUACGCUUACAAAUAUAGCAACUUGUAAUCAAAUUUAUGCUUCAUAUGAUCAUGAUUCGGAAAUCAUAGGCCCUUCAUUUGAGAUGGUGAGUCUCAAUAUCCUUAGUGAGUUUGGUGGCAAGGUCUGCUAUAGUUGUUGGAUCAGGGACGCUGUGAUUCAAUUUCUCGUACUGGAGGGUCCAUAUAACCAAGUUGUUUUGACCAUGAUUUUCAACCUGAACAGUAAUGAUGAAGCUCUUGUACAACUUCAACAGGUCUCCUUCAAUCACCUUAAAUGUGACCGACUUCUUUUCCUUGUCUAUAGACUCAAUUAUCUCCUUCGCCACCUUCUUUUGUCCAUCUGAAAAGACGUGAACAGUGGAAUUAAUUAACCAAUAGAUUAGGUACUGGAUUUUGAAGCCGAAAGGCAUAAUUUUAAACGGCCAAAGUCUCGCCAGCGCAACUUUAAGCAACGUAGACUUGUUGAGUAUUUAAGAAUGCUUGACCAACUUAUAAAGCAAUUUAAUGCUCUUCACGACUUGCAUGUAGCAGAUAUAACAAGAAAGAUUGACAGAUUUGAACUUUGGAAGGAAAACCCCCAAAAAAAAAAAAAGUAUUAAAAUGGUAAAAGUAAAUCGAUGGAAAAAAUGGAAAGAAUCAGAAACUUACCGUGAGUAUAUGUCCAGAAGAUGAUAGAUCCUACUGUUCCCCAAUCACCAUGAUGCAGCUCACAACCAUGAACGAUAUCAGGGCUUAUGGAGGACAUUUCAUGUGGUUUGUUUUUGAAGAGCUCAUGAAACAUAUCUCCAUUGGACUUAAUUUCGAUUUGGAAAACCAGUUUACCAGUUAGACUCAUUUCUUCAGAGAUCUAUUAACCAAGAAACGAAGACUGAUGAAAGCAAGGGGUUAAAAAUGGUUUAGGCAUGAAUAAUUGAACAUGAAUUUAUAUCAAUGAGAAAAAAUGCUGUUUUCUUUUCGUUUGUUUACAUGUCGCUUUCGCACUAUCUUACUUCAUAGAUCAUGCACUAGUGCAAUGUACUAUCAUUUAUUAGAUACUCUGACUAUUUUAGAAUAUAAAAUUUAUAUGGAUAUUGUUAUAGAAUUAGUCUGGGGGCUAUUUGAUUCUAUACAAGAAGUUUUGCAAUCCGUACUGUUAGUGAUGUAGAUUUUUCGCUUUAAUCCAAGUAAAACAUACAAAGGAUUCUUCUUCUUGCUUGGGAGAACAAAAAGUUCUAAAGAGAAAAAAAAAAAGAGCAAAAGCCCUUUUGCCAUCCCCAGUUCGGAAGUCUUAGAGCUGCCCAUGGAGUAUGGAAAAUACUUAGAUUAGCAGUGCAGCCAUCAAAGAUCCAUAUCACCAAUUGUGACUACUUACAUGGCAACAUGGUUUGUAAAUAAGCUCAUAAAUCGUGGAUCGUUCAAGAAUUUUCCAUAAAGUAUAGAGGCUUUGAAUAGGCGAGCAGUAAAUCCUAGCCUAUGAAAUUUGGACAGGAUAUACAGUUCAUAUGUUUAAUUGUAGCAAAUAUAUCUUUCAUAAGUACUUCAUUUAGGUUAUGUGUAUAUGGUAUGGGAACUAAAAUUGCCAUUUACACACUUUCAUGAAUUAUUUUCAACUUUGGUGACGCUCGAUUCAAUUUGUAAACGAUUUUUAUGAUCAAACAAGGUAACUUUUUGUUUCGAAGAAAUAGAUCUGCAAUCUUACUAAAAUUCUUUGGUCAUACUUAAACUGUUAAUCUAGUAUAGGGACUUUUUAAUGUAUAAUACAGGGUUCAAGAAAUUAUGAACAAAAAAAUACAAGUGAUCGAAACAAAUAAAGCACUUACAAAAAAAUAAAUUAGGGCAAAAUAUAUUUUACACCCUUAUGGUUUAGCGAUUUUUUACAUAACCCCAAUAUAGUUUCAAAAGUUAUACAUAAUCCCUUUAUACUUUAAAUUAAAGUAUCAAGAUGACGGAAUUUGCAUUCCAUAAUGGAACCAAUUAAAAUGUCAAAAGUAUUCCUAUGUAAAGUUAAAAAUUAUUUAUUAACUAUGAGGGGAUUAUAUAUAUAUUUUGAAAACCAUAAAAGGGUUAUAUGAUAAAAUAGUAAACCAUAAGGGAAUUAUAUGGUAAAAUAUAAAACCACAUAGGGUUAGAGUGUCAUGCAUAUUAUGUUUAUAUAUUUUGGUAACUUCAACCAUUUUUUUUAAUAAAGGUAAUUUUGGCAUUUUCAUGGGUUCCAUUACAAAUGAUUAUUUUUGUUAUUUUGAUACUUUAAUCAAAACUAUAAGGGGAUUAUAUAUAACUUUUGAAACUAUAGGGAGGUUAUGUGAAAAUUUGCUAAAUCAGAGGGAAAUAAAGUGUAUUUUGUCCAAUAAAUUAAGUAAAAGUUAAAUAAGUAAAAUAUUUAGAAGCCAAGGAGGCUUUUUGCCUAAUGAUUAAGAUUAAAACUCUAGAAAUUAGAAAUCUUAAAUUAAGAUCUCCCAUCUCUCCCUCACGUCUUAAUUCUCACCCCUCCCCAGAUAAAAAAAAAUUAAAAAAAUAUAAAAUGUCAUUCCAUGGAAGUAAUUUGUUUGGAGCUCAUUCUUCCCAUGAUAGAGUUGAGCUUGUGAAUCAGUGAUGCAUUACAUCUCUACACUCCCCAACACCUUAUUGUUUAUCUAUAACAGUCAUGAGUCUUUAUCUAGAGACAGCAGGAAGAAAGACAAGUUAGAAGAUUUGCCAAAAAUGAAUAUUAAACCUUGUAAUAUUCAGCAAGGGGUGCAAAAUAUUCAGAGAUGCAUGAUUGACAAUACAUAACUUGUAAAUGCAGAAUUCCAUUAAGCAAAUAUUAUCAGUAAACUCAUAAUUAAGCAAAUAAAGUAACAAUGUGUCCACCAUCCUCAGAUCUUUCUGGGCCACAAUAUAAUCGCCCCUCGAAUAUGAUAGAUUACGAGUUAUUAAUUAUUCUUAAACUGUUUAUGAGUAUAAUAUUCUCGUAGAAGUUACUGUGCAUUAGGAUAUAAUUAUCCACUCAAUUCACUGUCAAUUGAAUUUUCUGCUUUCCAAUUGAUUACAGAAUUUACAUAUACAAAUCACAAAUAAUUUUUAUAAGUUUGUAGCGAUAAACACUAAGGUGCCUCGAUGAUAUGGCCACUCUUUGGAAGGAUCAUCUCCAAGAUAGGAGAGUACAGUCUUAUUGCCAUUGACUAGUCAUGAUCACCAAGAUGAACAAUACAUGGGCUCUUAUUUAAUUGAUAAGAUCCAACAGCUUUAUAUGUCUGCCCUUCAAAUUAAUUAAUGUACCCAAACAAUUAAAUGGUAGUUGCUAGGCAUACAUUUGUGGCUAGUAUACAUGGCAAUGGGUUGGCUGAAAAUCUGUGAUAUAUAUAUAUAUAUAUAUAUAUUCCAAUUACAAUUUGUUGAUACAUGCCUGCACAAGUUUAAAAAAUGAAAAAAAAUAUAUAUAUAUUUUUUGUGUAGGAGACCAAAAUCAAGACACAUAAAUAAAUUAAAAAAAAUGACUUUCAAGGAACAAAACUCUUUUCCUAAUGCAUGACACCUGAUAGAAAAUGACUUAUGUAUUUGUGCUGAUUGUCCAAGGAAAAAAUAAAACUAGGUAAGAGAGGGGCAAGACAAGGAAAAAUUUCAUGAUAUACCAAUACUUCUGCUAAUCGGCACAGCAGGGCAAGGAUCUUAAGAAUGAAUAUAUGAAUUCAAAUUCAAUUAUUCAAAAAAAAUAAAUAAAUGCAAGACUAAAUCGAAAUGAGACCUCAUAGUGUAAUAAUAUCUGUCAGGCCCUGAUUCUCAAUAUCUGUCUCUUCAAUUUACUCUGCAAACUUAUUUAAUCACAUUCUUAUGAAUAAGUACUCCAAACAGUGGACUGACCUUUGAAUCAAAAGGUAACUGAUAAAGAAUGCUAUGAAUCGAUCAAAUAAAUCAACAUAUAACUAAUUUAUUGAAUUAGAGGAAACAAAGUUUUCCAAGCCAUCACAAUCGAUGUCCGCCAAUAAUUCAGCAGACAAUCUGCCAGCAGAAAUUUAUGAAUCGAUCAUACCAAAAUUAUCACUCAACUUAUUUCGUGCCCAUUUGACUAAACAUUGUAUAGACAAAAAAAAAAAUCCAUGGCCCGCAAUUUUAUUUGAUAUAUUCACAAUGUCAUUUUUCCCCUCUUUUACUGGCUUUGGGCUUCCUUUUUUAUAUAUUUUCUUGACAACAACUCUUAUCACACGUAUCAUGGCAUUUUUAUUGAGCUUGACGUCAAAUAAAUAUUCAUCAUAUCCUUUCAUUGGAUGCGACGGCAGAGAAAUUGACUCUAUAUUAUUACUUCGUGCUUGAAGACGGUAAAAUAAUAAGAUUUAGAUAAGCACAAAAAAAAAAAAAGGAGAAGUUGGUCUACUACUAAACUUUGAAAUUAUCAUUCAUCUCUUGAAUUGUAACACUUUCACAAUAAAAGUUUUUAUCCUUUUGGACAAAGAAUAAUGCCACACCAACUUCUUAUCUGUUGCACUUAAGGCGCUAAAUAGACGAACCCAAAAAAUAAAUGCUAAAUGAACGUAUUUUCUAGCUAUCUAUAUCUAUCUCCAUGUUAUUAUGAUAUCCAACAAUUUGCAAUUGUGAGGUUAGCUACAGCCUGUGGUGCGUAUUUUUUUGGCACAAUUGGUGGUUUCCUUUAUUGUCACUAGUCAUAAUAGAAAAAACAACUCACUCAUGUUUGGAUAUAUUAUUACUUGAAAAAAAAAAAUUAUACUUGUAUCAGAAGCACAUUUUUUCAUUUUAUUUUUAUCUUUCGAAUUUUUUCUUUAUUUCACAAACUUUACAUACAUUGUUAUUAAAUUCAGCCCAUAUAUCAACCCAAUUCAGUAACUAGUUCAAUGGGAUAUUGGUUCAACCCAGGAUUCACUGAUUGACUCGAUGGUUGUAUUAUAUAAUAAAAUAAUGUAUUUGGAUUAUUAAAAAUAAUAUAAUCAUUUAACAAGUUGUUGAACCGCCAAUUUUUUGAGAUUUUACGAAUUGAAUUGAUAAACCAUUGACUAGUUAAUGUGCUCCUCUCUUAAUUGAUCUAACUACUUACCUAGCCCGAUUAGGUAGCUAGUUCACCAAGUUGUCUAGUUGAACCUAGGGGUGUAAUCAAACCAACUCGCGAGCAGCUCGGUCAAAAAUUUGACUUGAACUCGGGUUGACCGAGUUCGAGUCUAAUUCGAGCGCCUCUAUAAAGCAAACGAGUCGAGUUCGAGUAUUCAGAAGCAACGCUCGAGAGCUAGUCGAGUCUUAUCGAGUUUUUUAAUUUUAAUUCUUUAAUAUAUUAUUAUUAUAAAAUUACUCUUAUAUCCAAAAUAGUUAUUGAAUUUACGAAAUGUUUCAAGUCGUAUAAAAAUUUUAAAAGAGCAAUAAUGUCUUUUCACUAAAAAAUUAUCAAGAAAAUGAAAUUUUGUAGCUCGAUAAGGCUCAAAUUGACUUGAACCCAUGCGAGUCGAGCUCGAGUUCUACGAGCAAGUUUCGAACUCGAGUUCGAGUUCCAAUAAUACUACUCGCUCGAGAGUCGAGAUCGAGUAUGGCACUCGAUUACAUCCCUAGUUGAACUGUCAAAUUGUGUCAUGAUUAUAUCAUAAAAUGUACUAUAACAAUUAUUUCAAAUAAUAUUUCGAAUAAUGCCUUCAUCAAAUCUCCAAACAGUGACUUUCGACUGACUUUCGAGCCCAUUGUUGUUGAAGCAUACAAUUCGUUGUAGGAACUAUCCCAAAAAACAAAAAGAAGGUUGGAACUAUUAAUUCAGGGAGGAUAAAUCAAACAAAAACAAAAGUAUAGAUUUGGUCCACGUAGGCAAGAUUAGAUAUGACUGGUAAUUGCUACAGCUACCGAAACAUCAAUAGAUAGCAACAUUUCAAGAUUUGAUAGUACAAUCCUAUCAAUUGAUUACGAGGACCGUCGAUUGAUAGUAAAUUUUUCCGUCAUUUUUGUAACAUGAUAAAAAUUUUCUACACAGUAUACAGUAAAAGAAAAACGCCAAUCUAUGAGUGAAGACUACUCGUGAAAUAUGUAGUACAAGAAUUUGAAGUUUUCUACUUUUAUCUGUCGGAUUUUUGCUUUUUACUUUGGUGCAUUUGAAUUGUAUGUUAAUGCAGGGUCAGUUAGCUAGCCAUGAAGAACAUAUAAUAGCACUAUAUGUAUAUAAGGUAUUUGGAUCCUACUUCUGAUGUAAGGGCCAAAUUGGUGAGUAAUAUCUAAGUACCGUGUAACUGAUUUAUAGUUUCAAGAGCAUAUUCUAACUUUCGAUAAUGAUCGGAGUCGAAACUAUCCAAACUUUAUUCUUACAAAAAACGAAACAUAAGAGGAAAAUAUUUUUCACGGAAAACCUGACUUCUUUUUGUAACGAGCUUUGUAACGAAGAACUCAUUGUUCUAUAUGGCGAAGUAUCCAUUACGGCACUGUAUUAUGCACCACAACCUAAUUUAUGAUGUGCUUCUGCUUCUCAUGCUCUUGGUCUAAUUCUAUUUUUUCUUCACGAGAUAAGAAAAACAAUUCCCAACGUAGACAUGAAAUAAAGUUAAAUUGAAAUGAGUUACUAAUAUGUUUGGUUACAAUCUUUUAAUAUUGAAUCGAUUUCACACAUCCGGGUAUCUAAGUUUAACUUAUUUUAUGUUGUUUUAACAUUGUCUGAUUUAGAUGCACGAUUGUAAUGGAGGAAUUGAGAGUUAAAAAAAAAAAAAAUGGUUUCACUUACUGAGGGGCUGCUUGGUUAAAGGGUUUGGGAAUCAAAUAAUGGAAUGAACCCCUUAUUUGUUGCUUGGGUUAAGUCUAUUGGAAUGCAAUUUCUGGAAUCAUUUCUAAAAAAUCGGACUUUCACCAUUCCUGAGUAAAUUGGGAGGUUUUGGACAAAACCCUCAACUCAUUCCCGAGCAAAAACAUUUAUGACGAACCUACCCUCUUUUUUUCUUCAUUACACGCCGCAUCUUCUGUUCUUCUUCUUCAUCAGAUUUUCUACCUCUUCUACUUCACCGGUUGGACAACCAUAAAGAUCAGUGGCUUUCGACUCUCCUUGGACAACGAAUUCUAGAGUUGAAGAGUCUUCUACUAGGGUGAAUUCCUUGAUCCCAGGUUAGUGGAUUACAAACUCCCUUGCCUCUGCAAUUUUCUUUUCGUAUGCAAGCUUUUCUCUUUCUUCUUCUCUGUUUUUUCAGGCUACUCACUGGGUAGCUGAAAAUAAAGAAGAAAAGAAGGGAAUCUGAUACAAUAAAACUAACUAGACCAAAAUUGGUUGUAAUACAUGUAUUUGAAUUCACUUACUUCAACAAAUACAUUAUUUUGUUCUUUUUUUUGGUGAGAUAAAUGUUAAUGUCACUAGAUUUGUCAUUUUUAUGGUUUUAAUGUGUUUUCUUGGAUUACGCAUUCAAUGGAGGUCAAUCAAUUCUUGAUCUUUUGGUUAUUUGAUCCGUGAAUACUGGUAUAGUUUGGGUGGGUUUCUACAUGCCCUGUACCUGUUUGUAAAAUUGUCUGCUUGAAUAGCUUUCAGUUUCAUAGUUAUUCGUACAUUAGGAUUUCAAGUUUCAACCAUCAAUUUCAUUUGUUUAUGCUUAUUUAUAUCUAUACAUCAUUGUGUUUUCGGAUGUUUGAUGCAUGUCUAGGCCCUUUUAAUAAGAUCAAUUGAUGUUUAAUGCAUUUGAAGAUUUUGAUGCCGUAAUCUAGUUUGGUGAAUACUUACGUUUGGUUGUCAUAUUGUUAUGUAGACAAAGAUGCCACGUUUGCCUAUUGAAAACAGAAGACGCAAAAAAUAUCGAGGGCAAAGCCAGAUUUUAUCAGGAAUGAUAAUGGUUGUUAUUGCACUGUUUAUGAUGUGGUACCAGUUAAUAUUCAUACAUCUCAAAAGUAGAAGACGCCAAAUAAAAUCAAAAGAAGAAAAAGUCACUGAGCGCAUGCAACACUUAUUCAAUUUGACUAGGGAGAGUGAUGCUUAUUGUAUUAGCGAACUUCGUAUGGAUAGACGAACAUUUGGGAUAUUAUGUGAAAUGAUUAGAGACACUGGAGGUUUGAAAGCUAUAAGAAACAUGUCAAUAGAAGAAAUUGUUGCCAUGUUUGUAUAUGUUUUGGCUCACCACAAGAAAAGUAGAACAAUUUGUGGUCUAUUUUGGAGAAGUAGAGAAACGGUGAGUCGUCAAUUUAAUCUUUGCCUCCUAGCAGUUUUGAAAUUGCAUACUAUAUUACUUAAGAAGCCUGAGCCUAUUACCGAAGAUUGCACAGAUGAGACAUGGAAAUGUUUUAAGGUAAUUCAAAUAUUAAAAUACAAUCAUUUAAUAAAAUGUAUGUUUUCAUCUAAACUAUCCAAUAUAGACAUUUUAACUCAUUUAUAUUUUUUAUUUUUGUUAAAAUAGAAUUGUUUAGGUGCCUUAGAUGGGACAUUAAUAGAUGUGACACCACCCACCGAACAAAAAUCAAGAUACCGAACGAGAAAAGGAAGUAUUGCAACGAAUGUAUUAGGGGUUUGUUCUCCUAAUAUGCAAUUUAUCUAUGUCUUGCCUGGUUGGGAAGGUUCGGCACAUGAUGGUCGUGUGCUUCGAAAUGCUAUCUCUAGACCAAAUGGUCUUAGAGUCCCACAAGGUAAACAUAUAUUGCAGUAUUCAAUACCAUUCAAUCAAUUUUUUUUCGAAAAUAAGGUAGUCUAGUAUUAAUUUGUACAUGAUUGAAUUUUGAAGGUUGUUAUUACUUGGUGGAUGCUGGAUAUUGUAAUGCUGAUGGAUUUCUUGCCCCUUAUCGAGGGCAAAGAUAUCACCUUAAUGAAUUCAAUGGUUAUCGACCACAAAGACCAGAGGAAUAUUUCAACAUGAAACAUUCUAAAGCUAGAAAUAUCAUAGAAAGAUGUUUUGGAUUACUAAAAGGAAGGUGGAAGAUUCUAGCAUCCCCUUCAUUUUUUCCAAUUCAAAGACAAGUGCGAAUAAUUAUGGCAUGUUGUCUGCUGCACAACUUGAUAAGGAAGUUCAUGACUUUUGAUCCACAAGAAUUACUACAAAGUGAAGAAAAUGAAAGUGAAGAUGAAGACAGUGAUGAAGAAGUAGAGUGUAUAUCCACUAUUUUGCCAAGUGAUCAAUGGGCAAAUUUUAGAAAUAAUUUAGCACAUGAAAUGUUUGACAAUUGGAGGGCUGGACUUAGUAUUUAGCUAUGAAUGGAUGUUUAGCUCUUAGACUUAUUAAAUUUGGAUUGACAUUUGAUGUACUCUUGUAGUGGAUUUGUGAAUUAGAUUGACACUUGAUGUAUGUUCUUUUAAAUUUGGAUUGACUUUUAAUUGUAUGUUCUUUUAUGUGUUUUGUUAUAUUAUAAAUUUCAGUUAUAUGCUAUUGUGUAUCAAAAUUAAUUGAUAUAUAUGGGUUGACUUCUAAAUGAUAGGAUGGAGAAUGAUGAAAUUGUACGUGGAAGAGGGAAAAAUAAAUGUUUUUGGACUGGUGAAGAGGUAAAAGUGCUCAUAGAAUCAUUGCAAGAGUUGGCUUGUGAUCCAAUGUGGAAAUCAGAUGGAGGAUUUAAAAAUAAUUAUAUGAGCGAAUUGCUUAAAAUUAUCUUGCGUAAGCAACCUACUUUUACCAAACAAGUCAGCCCACAUAUUGAAUCAAAAGUUAAGUGGCUGAAAAAUAGGUUCCAUGCAAUUGUUGAAAUGUGCAAAGAAAGUGGUUGUAGUUGGAAUGAUGCUGAGAAAAAGAUUUCUUGUGAAAAACAGUGGUAUGAUGAUUGGUGCAAGGUAAGAAAUUGAUUACUUUUUACAUUCUGAUAUGUUCUUUUUCAACCUUUUAUUAAGAUUAUCAUUUAUCUUUCUAUUCUAUCUCUAGACUCAUAAGGAUGCGAAGGGCCUUUGGGAUGUCAAAUUUCCAUAUUUAGGAGAUCUUGAAAUUGUAUAUGGAAGAGACAGAGCCACUGGAAAUGUUGCUGAAGAUUUUGCACAAGCUGUCCAAGAUAUGGAAGAUGUCCAAAAUUUGGAGGAAGGACAUGAAGGGCUUGAUGCUAUGUCAAACUCGGAUAAUGAUAAGGUAGAAGAAGAUGAAGUAAAUUCCAUAGAGCAAUCAACUCAACCAAGCUCAACAAGUACAAGAAAUUCCAAGAAACAAAAGAAACAAUCCCCUCCCAUUGCAAAUGUGUCAAAAAAAAUGAAAUCUGCAUCAACAACAAGGGGUGAUCUUGAUGCAUCAUUGCAACUUCUCACCAGCAAAUUUGGAGAUUUCGUGGAGGGAAUUCAAGCUAAUUUCACAACUAUGGCAGCAGCCAUGUCAAAUGAGGAUAAACGUGAGCAAUUGGUCUCCGAUAGAAGAGAUCAAGUUGUUGCUGAGUUAAUGAAACUUGCUUUACCGAGUGGAGAUGUAAUGAAUGCAGCCGACAUACUUUCGGAGCAGAUUUCCAAGCUUCAUGUGUUCUACAAUCUUCCUGCAGAAAUGAAACGACAAUAUGUAAUUAACCUCCUUUAUCCUCCAUCUACUCGCUGAAGUAAAAUUAUUGUUAGCUGGAAAGUGAUGAUUUGAUGGCAAUUUCUUUUUGUUAUGGUGAUUGUUAGAUGGUUAUAUGAUUAGUCUUUUGGAGAUUGUGGACAUUGAAUGGCACUCUCGACUGGAUUAGACAAUUGACUUGUAUUUGGUAUGGUUAGCUUUUGUGAUUUGAGUCUCCUUCUUUUGUUCAUAUAUGUAAGGAGAGAUCUAUUUCAUAUCAUUAUCUAAUAUAGGAACCACAAAUGACUUGUUAAUGGAGUAAAUUUCCAAAAAGAAAGAGUUUUUAAACUAACUUCCUAAAGGCUGGCAAUUUUUAAGUCUCUUCCCCAAGGGUGAAAAACACAUUCAAGAAAUGUGUUCUUCCAAAUAAAAAUGCAACUUUCAAAUACGUUAUUUUAAUUUUCGUAAAUUUGUUUAAAUAUAAAAAAUUGGUUAAAUAGCGUAUUAAAUACAAAACCUGCUAAUUUCCUAUAAAGAGCUGGUAUCUUAUAAGUAAUUUCUUUUUUUUUUUUUAACUUUCACAUAUUUAAUUUAUGUUAAAUACAAAACAUACUAGUUUUCCUUUGGGCGCUAUUUAAUCAAUUUUUUCCAUAAAGAAUUGGUAUGUUUUCCAUAAAGAGUUGGUACAAAACAUACUACAAAACCUGUCAGUUUCCUUUAAAGAGCUGGUAUCUUAUGGGCAAUUUUGUUUUUUUAACUUUCACAUAUUUAAUUUAUGUUAAAUACAAAACAUACUAGUUUUCCUUUGGGCACUAUUUAAUCAAUUUUUUCCAUAAACCUGGUACAAAACCUGCCAGUUUUCCAUAAAGAGCUGGUAUCUUAUGGGCUAUUUAACCAAUUUUUCAUAUUUAAAUAAAUUUCCAAAACAUAAAAUAGCGUAUUUGAAAGUUGCGUUUUUAUUUGGAAGAACACAUUCCUUGGAUGCAUUUUUCACCCUUUGGGAAGAGACUAAAAAAUCGUCACCUUUUGGGUGAUUGUUUAAAAACUCCUUUUUUUGGGAAUUUACUCCUUGUUAAUGCAGCCACUAUAUUUAUUUUCUGGUAUUAAUUUUUUUAUUAUUUAUGAUUUUCUUAUGUUUUAUCAAAAAGUUAAUAACUAUUGUAGUUACAAUUAUGAAAUGUUAAUUUGUCGUAUGUGUAAUUCUUUUGUUUUAGAAGAAUUGUUAUAUCAGGGGUAAAUUUGGAAUUUAAUUGCAUUUAAUUCCGAAACACUCAUCAAACCAAGCAUCAGGAAUUGGAAUAAUGCUAAUUCCAAUGUGUGAACCAAGCAAGAUAUCGGAAUGAAAAGUUUUAAUUCCAAAACCAGAGUCUAUGAUUCCAAUUACAAUUCCAAUUCCUAAACUUGAACCAAGCACCCCCUGAGUUUCUCUUCAGCUACUGGAUUAGUACCCCAAAAAAAAAAAAAAAUUCAUUAUGGGCUUUUGGUUUUAUAAUUCGCCAUUGCAGUAUGUACCUGAAAUUAUGCACCUUCCCAAAAAGUCCAAAUCCUUCACUCUCAUGGGCUUUACCUGGGAUUGUUCUAAAUUUUUUUAACUUCCUUAUGUGGAUGCUGAACAAGUAGUAAAGUACAAAUGAAGCAUCUUAAGACCAUAGAGGUAUGGCCGUUAACAAAAGAAAUUCGAAGGAACAUAUCAUUUUGGGUAUGAAAUAGGGGUUUACAUGAGUCUACUUAAACUAAACAUGUUAAUGUUCAAAUUUGAUUGAUUAGUUUAUUUGCCAUACCGAACUCAAAUAAGCUUUUAUCAUACUGAGAUUGAGUAUCUUGAAUUUUUACAUGUAAAUUUUAAGUUUUACACCAAUUGAGUUAGAUUCCAAUUGAAGUCGAAACUUUUCUGAGCAAAAAAUAUGAUUCAUAUUUGGCUUGAUUAGUUGGUUACUUAAAUUCAAAUGAGUUUUUACAGUGCCAAAUUUGAUUGGAAUACUAAGUAGGUAAUUGUGGAUGAUGCAAUGCUUGGAAUAAUACUUGACCCUAUUUGAAAACCUAGGCCCUAUUUGACAACUCAAAUCAGCACUUAAAAUUAAUAGAUUCAGAUUUUAAUAUAUUCAGAUGCAUUUAAUAACAAAAAAUAGAACUUUUGAAUUAAUUAAAUGACACUAAAUUUUUUGGGUAAAACUUGUUCUGAAAAAAUAAGUAAUAAGCUAUUGGGUUAUCAUUUAAUGUGAUAUAUACUUAAAUUUAUCAAAUUUAGUAUUUAGCAGUUCAGUAAUUUAAUAGAUUUAGAUUUCAAAGUUUAGAUUUUAGUUUUCAAAUUUUAGUUUUAUUAAACACGCCCUUAGGAAGCAUUUCUAUAAAUAUUAACUUUCCCUUUAUUAAAAGGGAAGGUAAUUGUGUAAUUCACAAGUUGGCAAACUUUAGCUUCAAACUUGUGAAACUUUGUGGAAGGCGUCCUUCCGUCCUUUGAUUAGUUGGAUUAGCCAAAGAUGAUAUAGGAGCUGUUGCUCCAAUUAUGUAACUACUUUUUCCAAUGGCAAUACAUUUCAGUUGUCAUUUGCAAAAAAAAAAAAAAAAAAAUCUUUCAGCUCUAAUUGAGAGAGAAAUAAAGUUUUAUAGGAUUUUACUCAUUAAAACAAUUAUCGAUAAAUGGAACGCUGAACUUUGAAGCUCGAUGUUUAUACAGAAUGAACAAUCAUGGUUAAACAAUUCACAAAUGUUUGAUAGGUAUCAACAUGAACAGUUGCGAUGGAGGUCUUAUAUAACUCCAGCACAUCUCCUUCAAUUACCUUAAAACUGUACUAACUUCUUUUCCUCAUCUAGCUCCGCAAUUAUCUCUCCUUUGCAUAUCUCUGUUUUCCAUCUGUAAAACAAACAACAAUCCGGUAAAUGAAGCGAAAGAGUAUAAAGUCACAUAUAAAUCAAUUAGCAUAUAUAGAGAGCAAGACCCCGGGGUGUGUGUUUGCGUGUGUUUGGUAUUUUUAACAUAUGAUUACAAGUAACGAUGAUAUAACCACUAGAGUCAGCUCAGAGGUUAAUGAAGAAGAGCUCUUAGAGUUUUCACCGCUGUCAGGUUCAAAUUCACAAAUAUUGGGAUAAAAACUAGUAUCUGACAACAUAAUUUGUCUCUUGGAUGGGUAAAAUAUAUAACUACAUCUUUCUAACUGUACUGAUCCUUGCCUUAGCUACAGUCGCGAAGCCACACUAUGCUGAGGGGGGAUAUAUAAUUGGCCCCCCUCAACUUUACAAAAUUAAAAAAAAAAUAGUUUUGAAACUAUUAAAAAUAUUUAUAUUUUUAUCAUAAAAGCACCUCCUCAAUUGUGAAAGGUACACGUUUUCCUCUACAUUGUCUCCCUAUAUUAUGAGAAAUUUUCAUUCUCCUCACAUUAAUUAUCUUCCUUAAACAACCAAUUUUUAAGACGUACUUCCUAUAAUACAAAUGUUUUAAAGCUAUUAAAACACAAAAUUGUUAAGGACUUGAAUAAGAAAUAAAUUCACAACAGAAAAAACUCACAAUAAAAAUAUUAUCUUUAAUUAAAUUUCUCUUUACAUAAUAAUGACAUUAUCUUAGGUGUAUAAUAUUACCCCCACUGGCUUUAGGUCCUAGCUCCGCCAAAAAUUGGCCAUAUCUUUUAAAGGGGAUAACAACAUUCCUAGUCAUUUCCUCACUUCUGAUACUAAAACAUAGAUAAAAUACAGUAAAUUUUGGAAGAAAAUACCAAUGGAAAUAAUGACGAAAUUAAAUCCAAAUUUUUACCGUGGGUAUAGUUCCACACUUGCAUGGCUCCUACAGUUCCCCAAUCACCAUCAUGCAAUUCAACACCUUGAACAAUUGACGGGCUCAUAUCGGAUAUAUGAUGUGGUUUGUCUCUAAAGAUCUCAUGAAACACAUCUCCAUUCAACUUUAUCUCGGUUUGAGAAACCUGCUAAUUACCAGUUAAACUCAUCUCUUCUUAGUUCUGUUAAUUAACCAAGAAAGGCAGAUGAAAGCAAAUACUAUCAUUGAAAAGACUACAGGGAUAUAUAGAGUCAAUUGUCAGGGAUACCAUUUUAAAAAAAAAAAAAAAACAAAGAAAGAAACGUGAUUGUGCAGAAAUACAAGUUGGGCACUUUUAAAAGGUCACAAUUUCCAAAUUUGCACGCAAAAAGAAUUUUAACUUUAUCAAGGUUGGUGAUGCAUCCCUCUCGAUUUUAACUUUUCAAAACAUGGAAACUAUAAUAUCUGAAACCUUAAUUUAAAGAUAAACCAUUGAUGAUGAUUGGUAUUAUCAGGCAGACAAGGGACAUAUUCAAGAAGUUGUACAAUCACACACAAUUUUAGCUACAAGAUGUAGCCGACCUCUAAUGUAUUUGUACAUCUUGCUAGUUAGCAUAGUGAACAUUGUCAGACAUUCAAAAUUGUGUUGGCUGAGCAAAUGUUAGCACAAAAUUGAAACAUUAUUUUACGUAGCACUAUUAAUAGAUCUUUUAUUGGCAUUGAGCUAUUACGCAGUUUGAGUCACAUUUUGUACAAGCACUUAAUUAUAACUGAAUGUGUGAAAUUGACAUUCAAUACAAACUUUUGUCUUAUAUUGAAUUUGAAUUCUUUAACAUGCAAUUAAUACAAAAUUUCAAAUUUAACUGAAUUCAAUUUCUCGUAAAUCAUAUUUAGUAUAAAAUCCUAAUUUUAACUCAAAGUGACAUUCAGUAUAAGCUCUUAAUUUUAUUUGAAUUUGAUUUUUCAAAUGUCACUUUCAAAACAAACUAUUAAUUUUAAGUAAAUGAGAUUUCCUUAUAGUCAGAUGCUGUACAAACUCAUAAUCUUAGCUGAAUUUGAUCGUUAAUUUGUCGAAACUUGAAGUAACGCAUUUGAUAUAUGUAACAUAUUUGUGCAUUUGAUAUUUGAUCAAUGUUUCAAAGCAGACUUGAGUAACAUAUAUAUUUGGAGACGUACUGAUUUAUAAGUCAAUAUUCCUAGCUAGUCAAUCCAUUUUCAGGAUCUUAAUCUUUUUUUUUUUUUUUUUUUGUGUUUGCUGAUUCUGUUUAGUUCAGCUAAUCUUACUUGAAAGCCAAGGCACAUUGAAGAAAGAAAGAAAGAAAGAAAAUUAUACACAAAUAUUACAGCACAAAAACAUUUUAGGCAUCAAGCCAUCAUUUUAUUUAUAAAUAUUCAUUGUAAUUAGUAUAUCAAACACACAAUCACAGCCACAACAAAUUUAAUAAAGCUCUCACCAAGCUUAUAACAUGACAUACAUAACCUUAACAAGCUUUUGUUUCAUACUCACACCAUUCUAUCUCUUAUUAUUAUUCAACUACUGAAAUAACCAUGCAUGUUCAUGCCUUGACAAGUGAAGCAUCCACGUCUUUUCCAGCAUGAAUCAGCCAGUGGAGGUACUUAGUUGGAGCAGGCUCAUUCUCAUUGAUAUUCUCAUACUCAAUUGUCCAUUUGGCAUAGUUGGACUGGCCUUUUGGAAUAACUUGUAAGCUAGCCUUGUAGCUCUUUAAUUGUUCCAAAAUGUGUCCUCCAACUGCUUCUGCAGUGACAGUCUUGUUCUCUUCAUCCACCGUAAGCCUUUCUUUCAGAGUCUCAACUUUUCCAUCUGGGCAGUAAAAUAUUUAUCAAAUUAAUCCAUUAUUAUAGGGAUAUUCUACCAAAUUGGUGGCAGAAAAACAUGAAGUUAUGAUGCAUAUCAUCUUGAAAUUCCCAGGAAAAUCACCAUAAUAUCAAACUGUUCUACAGUAAAUUUUAAAAAAAAAAAAUCAUGCAACUCUAAUUUGUAACUAUCAAUCUUACAGAGUAUAGAGUUGGUUUUUGUUACCUAUUGCAUAAGUCCAGAGCUUGACAGAGCCCUUAGUUUUCCAGUCACCUUGAUGAACCUUAACACCAUGAACUUUGUCGGAGCAAAGAUUUGGAAGUUUGUGUGCUUUACCACCAAAGCUCUGGAAGAACUCAUCAGGAUCAGACUUAAUCUUUAUCUCAGCUUCUAACUUUCCAGCUAGAAUUGGACUAGCCAUAAUUGGUUGUAGUAAUGCUGAAAAAUCGCUGUGCACCUUUUCCUAGUAAAUGCUCUACCAACUAAACUGGCUGAACCAUGAUUUAUAGAAUCAAAUUUUCAUUUCACAGUAGCUUUUAGAUUAUUACGUAGAUUAAGUCAACAUUUUGUGCGAAACUGUUUAGCAUAGAUGGUUAAUUGAGUGAAUGCAAAACUUUUUGAUGACAAAGCAUGUUCUAUUUGCAGUAACAAACUUGAUAGUUUUAUUAGAGAGGUAAAAAAUGUCAUACCAUUUAUUCACGUGGUAAGUAGACGAAAAAAGGAUUUUUUUUUUCCAAACUUUAUAAUGUUUUUGGGAUGAUUGAAAAGGGAAAUCAGAGUAUGUUGACAAAUUGUUUUUUUUUUUCCUUUUUUAAUAGGUAGUCACGCGUAUUGUUACAAGAAUGGAAAUGAAAAAAAAUUAUUUUGGCCCUUCAAAUCAAGAAAUUGUACAUUUGUCCGCUUCAUGAAUGGUGAAGCACAUCAGAAAGUCAUCUUUUUUUUUAUUCUUUUUUCUUUCUUUGUUCGAUACUCAACAACACCAUGGAUACGCUCAGCAAAAGUCGCAAACGCCAAAAUCUUGAUGAAAGCAGCUCUUCAGCCAUCAUCAUGUUGAAAAUACUGCAAAACAGUAGUGAAGGGCAUUGCAUUCAUGUAUCAAUAAGGCUACUUCUAAGACAAGAGAAAAGGAUUUGAAUAUUUUCUUUUUAGCUGCACCAAUCUAAUUGUUUGCUAAUUUUGGGCAAUUGACUAGGAUGAUCAUCUCAUGCAUUAUCUGCAUUUGAUAAUUGAUAUAGGUAAUUAUCUGCCAACGAAUAAAACCAAUUACACGGUUUAAAAAGGGAACCUAAUUGGUACAAAUUGAGAUAGUUACGUUGACAACUACAUUGUGGCAUUGGAGAGAGGGUUGAAUUAGAUGAUAAGUUAAGAGAGAUUGUAAGUAAGAGGUUUAGGGUUAAAGACCUCCCACUUACAAGCCAAAAAAAAAAAGCUUCAAGGUGGCAUAAAGUGACUAAAAUGAAAGUUCAAUUUAAAAAGUGAGAACUAAUGCCAUAAUACAGAGUAACAACUUCAAAGUGGCGGUUGCUAAUAAUUGUCAACAUAUACAUGCAAUAUUUAUUGAAACCGAGGACCAAUUGGCAUGUACAGGGAUAAAGAUCUUACUAAUCAAUUGAUCCAUCUGAUUCGAUUACAUUCUUUAUCUUUAUCUUUUUCUUUUCAGAGAAUUGGAAUUUUCUUGCUGUAAAUCUUUUUACUGCAGCAGAUAUCUAGAUGCUCCCCUACAAGCAUAUAUAUUAACCCUUGAACUAGCCAGUCCAGGUUUUUUGUUGGACUAGGCUUAUUGUCGUUCAGUUUUUCAUGGUCAAUCGUACAUUUGGCAAAGCUGGAGUCACCUCUGGAGAUAACUUGUAACGUUGCUUUAUAGUUCUUGUAGUGCUUCAUACAAUCUCCAUCUAUUGCCUCAGCAGCAGUGGUCUUGUUCUCCUCGUCAAUUUUGAGCCUCUCUUUGUAUACCUCAACUUUUCCAUCUAUAUUUGCAUCACAAAGAAAUUCAUCAGUGGCUUUUCUUAACACUGAAUAAUGUUUCACUCUUAAUUUGUUGUUUCCUAUAUUAUCUAGCUUUAGGCUCAAUUUGCCACAUUUUGGGAAAAACGAAUUUAACAAGAAAAUGUAAUGGAGAAAAGUAUCAAUUAUUAAAAACUAUUGAUGCUUCGUUACGCCAAACUAAACUACAAUAUAGACUCCUUAUCCUUGAUGUCUUUCUCAUUUCGUUAUGAAAAUUAGAUAAUUGACUGAGUAUGCUAACUACUUCACAAGCUAGAUCGCAUAAAAAAAAUAAAAAUUCAUAAAACUUAAAGGAGUAAAUGAACAUUAAGAUACAGUAAAGUGAUGGUUUUACCUAAGUACAACAAAUAAGAAGUAGGCGUGGCAUUAUUUUUUGUGCAAAAGGGUAAAAACUUUUAUAAUGAAAGUGUUACAAUUCAAGAGAUGAAUGGUAGUAUUAAAAGAAAGAGUGUAAGUGAGAGAUUCCGAAUUCGAAACCUCGCACUUACACUAAAAAAAAAGAUAGUAAUUUUAAAAGUUUAGUAUUAGGUCCUCUUCUUCUUCUUCUUUUUUUUUGUGCUUAUCUUUUGCCUUUACAACACUCAAUAGAAAAAUCUUAUUAUUCUACCGUCUUUACGUAAGAAGCAAUAAUAUAGAGUCAAUUUCUUUGCAUCCAGUGAAAGGAUAAGGAGAUAAAGUCAAUUGAGGAGGCUAAUUACGAUAAUAUGUCAAGCUCAAUAAAAAUGCCAUGAAACAUAUGAUAAGAGUUGUUGUCAAGAAAUUAUACAAAAAGAUACUGAGGGAAGCCCAAAGCCCGUGAAAAGAAUAUAAAAAAAUAAAAGAUUGUGAAUAUAUCAAAUAAAAUUGCGGUCCAUGGGCACGAAAUAAGUUGAGUACAAAUUUUGGCAUGAUCGAUUCAUAAAUUUCUGCUGAAAGAUUGUCUCCUGAAUUAUUUGUGGACAUCGAUUGUGAUGGCUCGGAAAACUUAGUUUCCUCUAAUUCAACAAAUUAGUUAUAUGUUGAUUUAUUUGAUCGAUUCAUAGCUUGCUUUAUCAGUUACCUUUGAUUCAAAAGUCAGUCCAGUGUUUGCAGUACUUACUUAUAAGAAUGUGGUUUAAUAAUUUUGCAGAGUAAAAUUUAGAGAGGUUUCGAGGGCUUAGUUGACGAAAAACAAAUAUAUGGAAGGCCAAGCUAAGAAUCAGGGCCUGACAGAUAUUAUUACACUAUGAGGUCUCAUUUCGAUUUACUCUAGCAUUUAUUUAUUUUUUGAAUAAUUGAAAUGGAAUUCAUAUAUAUUCAUUCUUAAGAAAUUGUUCUGAUCUUGCCCCCUUCCUACCUAGUACUGUAUUAUUUUUUCUUGACAAGGCGCACAAAUAAGUAAGACAUUUUAUUUUAGUUGUCAUGAAUUAGGAAAAGAGCUUUUUUUCUUGAAAUUCAUUUUUUAAUGUUUCUUGAUUUUUGUUUUUUAAUGUUUCUUGAUUUUUUUCUCCUACCAAAAAAAAAAAAAAAAAGUAUUUGUCCUUUUGGUUUCUCAUAUUUUUGCAACUUUUGCAGGUAUGUAUCAACAAAUUGUAAUUGGGAUAUAUGUGUGUGUUUGUGUGUGCGUGCACGCAUGUGUAAGUGUAUGUAUGUACAUACAUGUGCAUAUGUAUAUAUAUGUACAUACAUACAUAUAUACAUACAUAUAUAUAUGUGUAUAUAUAUGUGUGUGUAUGUAUAUAUAUAUGUAUACAUACAUCACGCACACGCAUAUAUAUAUAUGUGUGUGUGUGCGCGCGCGCGCUUAUGUAUAUAUAUGUAUGUACGUACAUACGUACGUUCAACAAGGAUUUUCAGCCAACUCAUUGCUAUGUGUACUAGCCACAAAGGUAUGCCUAACAACUACCAUUUAAUUGUUGGAUACAUUAAUUAAUCUGAAGGACAAACCUGCAAGGCUGUUGGAUCUCAUUAAUUAAAUAAGAGCCCAGUGCACAUCUUGGUCAUUAUGACCAGUUAAUGGCAAUAAGGUUGUACUCUCUCUCUUGCCGAAGAGUGGCCAAAAUGCCAAAUCGAAGAGGCGCCUUAAUGUUUAUCACUACAAACUUACAAAAAUUAUUUUGGGUUUCUACAGGAAAAUUCUGUUGAAAGGCAAAAAGUUCAACCGACAGAAAAUUGUGUGGAUUAUUAAAUCUUAAUGCACAAUAACUUUUGCGAGAAUCUUAAGCCUAAUUAAUACUCCCUCCAUUCCUUAUUAGAUGUCCUAAUCCAGUGUUUCUUUUUAUCUGUCAUUUUAUGAUAUCAAGAAAGCAUUUAUAAACUUUUUUUCAAAUUUAUCCUUGUUUACCCUUUCAACUUUCUUGAAUUGGAACUCUAAAUAAUUAAAUGCAGUAUUUGUAGUAUUAACAAUAGAAGUAGUUGAAGAGAUGAAGAAUUAAAUUGAAAUGUGUCUAUUAAUUAGGUAUAGUUGAAGAGAGAUAAAGGGUAAUUUUGAGAAGUAAAAUAAAACUUUUGUUGACUUUUAGAAAAUAACCAACUUUCUUAAUCUAAGAGAAUUAGUUAUUCAGGCCAUCUAAUAAGGAACGGAGGGAGUAACUCGUAAUCCACCAUAAGCCGUGAAGAUUGCUGCGGCCAAUGCGAUAGGGAAAAAAAAAAAAAAAAAAGAAACUCGUUUUCCAGUCACCUUCGUGCACUUCAAUCCUGUUAACUUUCUCAUUCACAAGAUCUGGGAGUUGGUGUGCUUUAGCGCCAAAGCUAUGGAAGAACUCAUUAGCAUCAGACAUCAGCCUGAAUUCAGCCUCCAACUUACCUACUAAUUUACUAGUCAUAGUAGAGAGUUCCAAGAAUUGAUCAAACCGAAAAAAAGAAGAAGAAGAAGGAGAAGGAGAAGAAAAGCCCUACUAAUAACCUUGAACAAUACUAUGUUUCAUGCAACUCAGCCACUUGACUACCUGAUCUAUAGAUGCUUCAUUAAUUGGUUGGCUCCCACAAGUUACAAAUGUGUGGUUCUCUUUUCUUUUAGCUGCAAAAUAUGCGUGUAAUCGUGAACAUGAAUGCAUGUUGCAAUAUCUUCUCAUGCAAAUGAUAUACUGCUGCGUUUAGCCAAUACUGUCACACUUGAUUAUUAGUUAAAUUGGUAAAUGCUCCACUUCUGUCUCCAACGGGGAAUUCAAUGGGAAAUAAUGAUGUGGGGUAUAUUUCUUUUUUUAGGGGCGGGUUAUACAUUUUUAUCUAAUCCUUAUCCAUAGCAAGCUGAAAUCAAAAUUGCUCUACAUUUCAAUUGAAGUCCAUGAUAAUUAUUUGGACAAGUUUGAUUUGUUUUGUAUAUGCUUAGGACAACAUGCCAAGAAUCGACCAAAAGCAGACUCACAGAACACUAGCGUAGCUUAAAGGACAAUUUCGAUUUUGGAUAGGUAAUGUUUUGAUAGAUUUUCAGCUUGCACUUUAAACUUCUAUUUUAAAGUCUUUUAGUUUUAUGAAUACACUUUUUUUUCUGUAAUCUAUCUGUAAUCAAAAUAUGUAGUGGGCUUUGAGUAUUCCUAAGAAGAAGCGAAAUUCGCUUUUGCAACAGAAGUAAAAUUAAGAAGUGAUAUUGUUAUUUAAAUUUAUAUAUUUGUUGUGCAGGUGCGUACAUUUAUUGUUCCUAUGCAUACAUUGUAGAGUACAAUUGUAACUAACAUUGUGGAGAUGCUACACGCCAAUGUUGUACUUUCUGCUGGUUUAGUUCACCUCUUUGGGGACAUUUAGCAAGAAGUCAAGAUAUGAUAAACAAGUGUGUGUGAUACAGCAAAAUUUUAUUAAAUUACAUGACGAAAUUGUGAUCUAACUGAAGUUUUGCUCAUGUUCCUUCGUUAGAAAAUCAAUUAACGUGUUUGUUAUCACAAGAUUACUUAUGCAAUUUAGAGAUCCUCUUUUGAUUAAGAAACCAAAAGAGAUAUUUAAAGAGAGGAAACUAGAGAGAUCCUUGAAAUUUGAAGGUUCAAAACGGUGAACCGAUGCACUUAGCAUUUAUAUCUUCAUCAACUGAGAUAGAUAUAAAGCCACCUAAACAUUCAUUGAUCUUUGCCUUCAAAAUUCGAAAUUCACUAAUUAGAUUGAUCUUUUCUACGCAGCAUAUAAUUGUAAUUACACAUGCAAUUCGAAAUUCAAGUUACUUGUAUCAAAAGAAUUUUGCUAGUUCAUCUAUGAUGAUAGGAUACCUAAAUCAAAAACUGCAUGAAUGAAAAGUUAUAGGAUGGUACCAGUGAAUGUCGCUUGUUUUGUGGAGUUCUAAACCUUGAGGUGGGUUGGAAUUUAUUGCAGCCAACUUUGAUCCUAUGGGGGGUGGAUAAAAAUCAGACUUUUCCAAUAGAACUGGCUCACACAUUAAAAGGGUGUGAUCCCUUUUCCCUCUUGCCUGUUGCAAUAUGAUUAACUUCCAGUGCGUUUAGGAAAACAUUAGUAUAAAGGAGUGAAAGAACGCCUGAAAUUUGCAAUGACAAAACUGUAUGGACAUUAUUUGUGCAGACAUUUGAGAGAGAAUGCUGAGCUGAUAAUCCUUGAUGGAGCAGGGCAUUCAUGGGCUUAUGAAAAAUCUGAGUUUUAUAAGCACCUAAAAACCUUUCUCAUAGGCUGAAUCAACCAACCGACUUAAGGCACUUCAAUCUUUCCUCUUCAACUCAAAGAAGAAAUUUGUCGUUCAACUCAAUUUUCGAGGCUAAAAACGUAGGGGAAAGCCUCUAAUCAAUUGAAUUUGUAGGUACACUUGGUUUCGUAGAAUAAAUAACUGACAAUGAUGGUUAAUAAUUCUUUCAACAAUGUUCCAUUCAUGAUGUAUCUCUGCUCAAGCUAUUGCAGAUCAUACAAAUUCCACUUGUGGAAGGAAGACGGGAAAAUUAAACCAUGUUCAUGGCUGGCCACUAAAUCCCUUGUUAAUGACUUCUAAUCAACUACUACUAUUUCAAAGACACCAUAUAUAAGACGACCAAAAAUUCAGCUAAACACAUACCGUUCUGGGUAAAAGAUGUCAUGGCCCUCAAAUGACCUAAUCAGCCUAAAUUCAAGAGUACCUAUUAUGAAACGGACCAUAUGCCCAAUUGUUUCACAUCCUAAACUAUCAAAGUAAAAGUAUAUUGAGACAAGAAAAAAAGAAAAAAAAAAGAAUAGACAAACUUUGCUCCCUUUAUUUUCAAAAUAUUCAACCUGUAAGCACUAAUCAAACUGAAUAGUCUCAAAAGCUUAACUCAAUCAUAUAAUGAUCACACAGAAUAGCGAAAAAGAAAGGGAGAAGAAGUACUCUGGUUGCAGACUCCUAAUUUGGUUGUUGGAGAAGGGGCGGUAGUAGUGGUUUUUAACUGAGAAUGAUAGAGACUGAGGUUUGAGAGUCUGAGAGUGUAGACUUACGGUUUAGUUCUUUUAUCCUUCAAAAAAAGGGUUUAGUUCUUUAUCCUUCAAAAAAAGGGUUUAUUCUUUUAGGAGUUUUAUUUUUAAAAUUUUUAACGGGAUCAAAUUGACUGCAAUGCCCAAGAAACUAGCUGUACUACAAAAGUUAAGGGUAGAAAUUUCUCAAUAAGUUCUGAACACUUAUGUGUUUUAAGUCUUUAAUAUUUACACUAGCGCUCGAUAGCACACUAUAUUCCUACUUGCACUCGAGUCGUUACAACAAUCGAACAUGUUUGAAAUUGAUUCAAACACGAUCAAAGUCGAAACAAGACAAUCCAUUGAUCAAGCAGCUUCAUAUGUGCACCCGAGUUGCUCGAUUCGCAUACAUCCCUAUCGCAAAAUCAUAGUAAUUGAACCUUCAACAUCGAGUAUAGGAUUGGCCUUUGUUAUUCACCUAAUGCUCAAGUACAUAGCCUGACAGAGCCGGCAUUCUUCCAAUCACCUUGAUGAACAUCAAUGCCAUGGACUUUCUCGGAACACAGAUUUGGAAGUUGGUCUGCUUUACAACCAAAGCUAUUGAAGAACUCAUCAGGAUCAGACUUGGAUCUUUAUCUCAGCCUCCAACUUUUCUGCUGUAUUAGCCAUAGUUUUUUCUAGCUCUACUAGUCAAAAAGCUACUGAUUUUCAGCUCACCUUCACCUAGUAGAAUGCAAAUGCUAACGUAUAUGUACUUUAACCAUCGGACCACCGCUUAUAUAGGAUCAGUUCCAUUUUUCCGUACAUUUGUGAUGGUUUGUACUAAUAUCUUUGCUUUUUAUCAAUUCUGUUUUAGGUUUAUGUAGUUAUACCGCUCAUACCUAUGCUUAAAUUUCAAUAUACUAAUUGGGCUUAAGUAGCAAAGUUUUGAAAUUUAAUUUAAAAAGAAAAAAAAAACCUGGCUACAUUAUUUUUGGAUUAGGUCAGGAAAUUUGCCUUGCUAUUCUUCUUUAUCAUAGUCAAGACAAAAUUUCUGUUGUUAGACUAUUACCAGGAUUAGGUUAAUUAUCUAUGUCUUUUGAUGCAAUAUCGAGAGGCAACAUGUCCCAGAUUAAAAUUAAGGGGCAGAUAAAAUGUCAUAUUAAUCCAAGAAAACCCAACUGCAACCAGAACUAGAUUUCAUGCUUUGCUUUAUGGCCAUCACCUAAGACGAGUGGGUUAGAAAGAUUUGUUUGCUUGAUAUGUUAUAAUACAGGCUUCGUUAAUAAGUUAUUAAUGCGAAUAUGCAAAACAAAUGGUUACAUUAUAGAUUCCUGUGCUUUGUGUUAAAGCUUCUUUUUUUUUUUUUGGCAACAAAUUUUUGGACUGCACGGAUCAUUCCUUGCUGCUUUUAGAUUUCAAAACAGAAGCUACAAAGUACAGAACAUUUUCAGUUUUAGAAAUGCACCUCGGUUUUUCAAAAGGUGCAUUGACUACUGUAAAGAAUAGUUUCAGCUCCCUGAGAUCGAUGCCAGCAAGAUAGUUAAAUCAGCAGUGAUAAAUGUUAUGCAAUGAACCACUGUUAUAUAAAGGAAGCAUGCUGCGAUAAUGAUACCCCAUGAGGAAAAACAGAAACCCUAAUAAUCAUAGCGAUGAUAGUAACACUAAACCUAGAGUUAUGAACUAGUUCUUCGAGUUAAUUAAGAAUUUCUUGGUCCCAUCUAGGGGUGUAAACGAGCCGAAUUCGAGUUAAUUUUAUGAAGCUCGAAUUUUAUGAAACUCGAACUCGAGUUCGAACUCGAGCUCGACGAGCUCAAAAUAUCAAGCUCGAGUCGAGCUCGAGCUUAAAAAAUAAAAAAAUAAUUAUUAUUAUUUUAUUUUUAAAAAAUAAAAAAUUAUUAUUAUUAUUAUUAUUAAAAAAUAAUUUUUUAAAAAAUUAUUAUUAUUAUUUUAUCAAGCUCGAGCUCGAGCUUAAAAAAUAAAAAAUUAUUAUUAUUAUUAUUUUAUUUUAUUUUUAAAAAAUAAAAAAUAAUUAUUUAUUUUAAAAAAUGAAUAAAACAAUAAUAUUUUAACAAAUAAUAAAAUAUUAGGAAUAUAUAUGUAAUUUUACUAUUAAAAUAAAAAAUAAAAAAUAAAUAUAUAAUUGAGACUCGCGAGUCAACGAGUUUAAUGUUUUUGAACUCGAAUUCGAGCUCGAGAUCGAUUUAAUUAGUUCAAGCUCGACUCGAACUCGAUAUUGAUGAGCUCGAGUCGAGCUCGUAUUCGCUCGAUUCGCGAAACACCCCUAGUCCUUUCUUUGUAGUCAAGUCAUCCAAACAAAAUCGUAUUCCCUCGUUUAUUCCAAUUGUACCAAGAGACCAUUAUUUGGCGAAAAAGACAACAGAGAAAACAUGUCAGAUAUAAUCAUAUAAUCAGUGCUCCCAUAGCCAAAAUGCGCAGGAUUAGAUGUAGUUGGGUAUUAAUGGAUCAAAAUUCUUGACGUCUUCACUUGAGGAGAAGACGACAAACUGAAUUUAACUCGAAAAACUCGAAAAAAAUAAUAAUAAAAUUGCGUUUAAAAGAGCUGCAAUGAAUUUAGUUAGGAAUAUGGAAUUAACCUAUCUGGAGAAAGAUGGACAACAUUAAGCAAACAACAUGCGUUUGAAAACGACUCAGCAUUGAUGAAAGGGUUAAAUGCAAAAUACCCCCCGCCAAUUAUACACCUAGUUGCAGUUUACCCCAUAAACUAUAAUAAUAGGCAUUUUGCCUCCUUGAAUGAUAUGUUUGGACAAAUCUAUCCCUUUUAUUUUAAACAUUGUUAUUUUUCUUUUUUCCCUAUCUUUUUCUUUUUAAAUUCUUCCUUUUUUUUUCUUUAAACAUUGUUUAAAUAAGUAGACUAGAUUAGUCAAAAUUUGUUUAUUUCUUAAUUUCAUAUGUCAAUAUUUUAUAAAAAAAAAAUUUAUGGAAUACAAGAUUUUUUUUCCAAAUGUUGAAGUCAAUGUCAUUUAGGAAAUUGAACUUUUCAAAUAUAUAAUAACAAAAUAGAGAAAUUGAUUAAUCAAUUAGUAGUAGUAUCAAUAACAAAAAAAAUGAACUACUAUUGUUGUUUAUUCUUAUUUUUUAUUUCACUACAAAUAACAAUUGCUAACUUUUCUUUUUUAUGUGAUAUAUAAUAUGUUACUUUUAUUAUAAGUAGUUGAGUAACUGUGAACUCUUAAUUAGUUUAUAGGCACUUAAAUUGUUGAAUUACUAGAUUAAUACACUUUACAAUAUAAGCUACAUAUAUUUUGUAAUAACAAAGAGUUUAUGACAAAUUAUUAAGAAUGAAUUUAACAAAUAAACAAAUUAAAAAAGCAGUUUAAAGAAUAUUAAAAUUUUUUAUGUAAGUCCUUUCACAUCGGAGAGAGACAUUGGCUAGUUCCACGAAAGAAGGAGAAAAUAAAGAAAAAAAAAGGAAAAAAAAAAAAAGAAAAAAAAAAAAAAAAAAAGGAUUUCAGAUAGUAGGGAUAGUAUUGUCCAAACAUAUCAUUCAGGGAGGCAAAAUGAUUAUUAUUAUAGUUUAGGGGGUAAAAUGCAACUUGAUAUAUAAUUUGUGGGGGUUUUUUGCAUUUAACCCUUGAUGAAAAGACUAAUAAAGUCAACAGUAUGCCCCCACAAAAUUCAAUUUCCAAGUCACCAUUCCAACCACUUCCUUGACUAAUCCUAAACUUGGAGAUUGAGCUCCAAAAAAAAGUUUAUUCAAAGGCAAUACGAUUUGGGAAUUGCAAUGGGAAGCAAGUCGUUAAAUGAAGUAAUCAAACAUCACUUAGUAAAGGCUUACUAAACUAGUUAAUAAAGAUGUUGUUGGGCUGCUGUAUUUACCAUGAAUUGAUUUAAAGAUGAAAGUUCAGGAUCUUUAACAUGGAAUAUGGUGAUUUUUCUCCAAUUCCUCCUGGCUUUCUCUUUCUCUUUUAUUCAGGUCUCCCCGGCAGGAAAACAGAUACACACACACACACACACAUAUAUAGACACAAGCAUUUGAAGGUUCAUUAUCGUGAACCAGUGCACCAAGCAUUUAUAUCUUCAUCAAGCCAAAAAAAAAAAAAAAAAAGAAAGAAAGUUAAGAUAGAUAUAAAGCCACACGAAACAUUCAUUUUAUUUUUCGUCAUUACACGUAGAAUCGUUAACACAUACAAAUUACAACCAAGCACUAACAGGAGUAGAAUUGCUAACACUUAUACAAAUUACAACCAAUCACUAGCAGGAGUAGAAUUGCUAACACUUACACAAAUUACAACCAAGCACUAACAGGACUAGAAUUGCUAACACUUAUACAAAUUACAACCAAUCACUAGCAGGAGUAGAAUCGCUAACACUUACACAAAUUACAAUCAAGCACUAACAGGAGAGCAAAUUUUUGGAGGCUUCACUAAGCCCAGACAAUGGAGUACAUUAAAGAUUCUCUUUCAUUCUUUGUUUUUUUUUUACUCCGGGUACCCCGGACCAAGAUGGCAAUGAAGAUAAAUAUAUCACCCAUAGAAGAAUUAUAUGGUACAUAUAGAUGUAUUAUUUAUUUUCGUGCGCUUUGAGAAGUGAAGCAUCCACAUCUUUUGCAGCAUGAACUAGCCAUUGGAGGUAAUGAAAUGGAGGACGCUCAUUCUCACUGAAGUUCUCAUAUUCAAUACCCCAUUUGGCAAAGUUUGAGUCACCUUUUGAGAUAACCUGGAACUUAGCCUUAUAGGUCUUGUAUUGUUCCAAAAUGUGCCCUUCAAGAACUUCGUAAGUGAUUGUCCGGUUCUCCUCAUCCACUCCAAUCCUCUCUUUUACAGUUUCAACUUUCCCAUCUGUAUAAAUUUUCACCAAAGUAGAUAUUAAACAAAGUAAUCCAGCAAGGUUAAAAGCAGUUUUUGGAUCCUUUCCAGUACUAAAAUUGUUUCUUAAUCGAUGAAGACGAAGGAUACGUCAAACGAUGCAUAUGUAUUCACGACUUUCUUAGAAAAUAAUUAAUAAAAAUUCAAAAAUGUCCCUUAGCAAGGAUGACACCCUAAACCUUACCACCUUUUCCUAAUCCAAUAAAAGAUUUUGAUAAUAGUAAACGAAACUUCAAGAUCGAGUGCAGGGUUGGCCUUUGUUACUCACCUAUAGCAUAAGUCAAUAGCUUGACAGAGCCUGUAGUCUUCCAAUCACCUUCAUGAACAUCAAUGCCAUGCAUUUUAUCAGAGCAAAGACUUGGAAGCUGGUGUGCUUUGCCAGCAAAGGUGUGGAAGUACUCAUCAGGAUCAAACUUGAUCCUUAUCUCAGCCUCCAAUGUUUCUGCUGUAUUAGCCAUAGUUCCUUCUAGCUCUGCUAGUCACAAAACCACUGAUCAGCUCACCUUGACCUAGUAGAAUGCAAAUGCUAACGUGUAUGGACCUUAACCAUCGGACCAACAUUUAUAGAGGGCCAGUCCCAAGUUUCCGUACAUCUGUGGUAGUUGGACUAGCAUCUUCAAUCUCUGUCAAUUAUCUUUUAAAUUUUAUGCAGUUAUACCAUCAAAAUUAGACAUCUCAAAUUUGAAUGCGCUUAAAUUUGUCUUGCUAUUUCUCUUUUUGAUAGUCGAGAAAAUUUUGUAUCAUCUGGAACAACUUUUAAUAGGAUUAGAUUUAUUAUCUUUGAUAUAAGAAUAGGAGGUAACAUGUCACAGAUUCAAGCUCAGAGGAAGAUAAGUGUAGACGUAUAGUAAUUGGCGAAAACUCAUUGUACCGUAUACUUCAUUAUAGACAAAAUUCUGUCCUUUCACCACAUAUUUGCGAAAUGAAUGCUCUCAAAAAAAAAAAAAAAAAGUGAUCUAGUGGCUUAAUUAUAUGACCACACCUAUUCUUUUCGGCAAAUAGGCCCCAAUUCAUCAAUCAAACUUUAGUCACAGGUCUUAUUUUACAGAUCAACCAUGAGACAAAAAGCAAGACUUGGUACAAUCUCAUGACCAAUCGCUCGAAGUUCAUCAAGCACAAUUUCGACAACAAUGAAAGCAGUAGGUACCCAUUGGCCAUUUCGCCUGAUCCUUCACGCUGGAGUAACAUCAAUCGAGCUGUUUACCUCAUCGGACCUCCUUCUUCAUCAAUGCCAAUCCAUCCACCAUCUGAAUGAGACAUUACAUUACUUUGCUCAUAAUGCGCUCCCCACUCUGGGAAUUAAUAUUUGACUAUAGUUUAGCAAAAUUGCUUAGCUACAAUGUUGUCCUCCAGCACCAAAAAGCAUCUAUAGCCCCCAAAUUUAGUUCUUUUUCUUUUCCUUUUUCUAACUAUGAAGUAUCUCUUUUUCCGACAAAUAGACAACAAGGUUUUAAAUUUCCUUACUCAAGUUGGAGGGCCCAAUUGAUUGACCCACUAUCAGACCAAACCGAUGCACUACACAUCUGUAUGAAUUUAAGCAAUUUAAAGUGGCAAGCCACAUAUAGUAGCAAGUAGUGAAAAAUAAAAUUUGAACUCUUGACCUCCUACCUCACCAAAUGUUAAAGAUUAUGGUAGUAACCAACAUCCCAAAUGACUGUUGGUUUAUUUCUAUCUCAGUAGUUGUUCACCCAAUAUUCUAAGUACAGAUUUCUCGGUCCUUUUCAUGUUAAAAUGAAAAAGAAAAAAAAAACAGUAGGAAGUGCUUUGUCUGUUAUUAUUAAGGAUAUAAAUGUUAGCUAAUCUUCUUGCUAGUAAAAACUUUACUCUUUCUAGUAUAUAUAAACAUCGAAUGCAGGUUGUGUUUAUCAACAUACUACUCUUUUAUUCUUCUAUUUCUCUAAAAUUAAAAAAAAAACAUAUGUUUAUUUGAACCAAAUGCGCAAGCUAUAUCGCGUAUUUUGCCUAUACAAACAAUUGAAGUAUCAUAAAGUACGCUUGCGUGGAACUCUAAGGAGUUAUUCAUCGUAGAAAAGUUGUAAAAUAAAAAUUUAUUGAAAUAUAAAGAAAAGCUCUUAAUUUUUAUCCUAAAACAACUUUAUCAUUCCAAACCCUUGGAGUGAACCAAAAUAUGUUUACUCUAAUAUAAGAAGGAUCUAAAAUUCUGCAAUCACUGAAAAGUUUAUGCAACAAUUUUGUUACUAAAAAGUGUAAAAUGAUCUCAAUUAAUUAAGCAAUGCGUCACUCAUGAUUUCAAUUUGAAGUUGAAAUUUCAAUGCAUCACUCAUUAAGCAAUACAUAGUUGAAAUUUGAAGUUGGCUACAAUGAAUUACUUUCACACAAUUAUCACACACACACACACACACACAAAGAGAUAAUCAAGUAUAUGCUGGCUAUUAGAUAAAAAUUAAUUAUUUGAUGACUAUCAAUGGAAGAUACACUAUUAUUGGAUACGCUCCCACAAGCUGAAGUCAAGUCAGUCACGUACAGUAAAGACGCCUGUCCCUAAAGUUUUAAUCAAAACACAUUUCAUCCUUAUAGUUCUAUAAUUUUGAUCGAUUUCAUCCCUAAAGUUUCAUGUAAACAUAUUUUAUCCUCAUAGUUUCAUAAAAUUAACCAAUUGAGGACAAUUGAAUAAUUGUUAACCAAUUUGGACCAAGUAUCAUUACAUAACUAGCAUUUCCCAUUGAUAAUUGUAUUAAUACUUAAUUCGAUUAUUGAUUAAAUUAUAUAAAUAACAAUGAGUGUGUUCGGAUAAAAUAUUAUUACUUUUAAAUUUGUGAUAUAAUAUAUGUGAAAUAAAAAAAUAAAUUAAAUGAUACAUAGACAAUUUGAAAAACAUGUAUAUAAUGCUACGAAACAAAAAUUUUAGAAACAAAUGGCAAUCGAAACAGUUCUUUCUUUCACGUUAAUAUUUUUCUUCAAUUGAUUGCAAUGGGAUUGUUUGAAAGAUUUAUCCAAUUGGCUAUAAUGGAGUUAUUUCUUCUCCAUGACUUCGUUUCCUCUCAAUCUUUUUGUUCAAUUUGUGAUUAAGAAGAGAAUCAUGGUGGUUGAAAAUUUCUUAGUUUUGUUUAAAUAAGAAAGUGAAUUAAAAAAUAAUUUUUGAGGUUUUUGGUUGAUCCAAUAUUUUCUGAAUUUUACUAACAUGCAUGCUAUGGCCAAGUGAUGAUAUUCCAUUCAAAUUGCUUGGCAAUCAAUCAAUUAUUCUUAAUUAGUCAAAUUUACGAACUUAUGAAAAUGAAAUGUGUUUACAUGAAACGUUAAAAAUGAAAUUGGUCAAAAUUAUAAAAUUGUAAUGAUAAAAUGUGUUUUGACUGAAAUUUUGGGGACGAAAUUGCCUAACACCUCAAAUAAUGAGGACGAAAAGUGCAUUUUUCCCUAAAAAUAAAAUGAACCUUCGUUCUACCCCUUAUGUUUUUGGGCUACACUCCUUUUUAGUUAUUAAUUACUAUGUUGAUAUUCAAGAUAACCGAACGUAUAUAGCUAGACAUGUUCCUUUCGAGGAAUCUAGUUUUCCCCAUUCCCUGGUCCUUCUAUACUUGGUCCACCACCACGUCAAAACAAACCAAUUCAAUCCACCCUUGUUCUACCAAUUCAUGUUUUCAAAUUCAAUGGAUCCUACAAACAUUUUUUAUCAAAAACCGACCACUACUCUAAUCCUUCUUGUCAAAGUCAAAUGAACUGACCCGAUGCUACUUCGUCACGUAACCAACCAGAACAAAAACACUACUACUUUAGCAAAACUUAUCUCUAAACCUUCUGUGGCGUCAUCUGAACUUAUCUCUAAAUUGAAAUAUGAAGUUAGCUGACAAUAAAUUACUUUCACUCAAUUAUUACUUAACAAAAUAAGUACAGUAUAUUGAAAAUCAAGAUGAGAAUGUGGGGUUGGGACAUCUACAUUUGCUUUCUAGUAUAGCGUCCAUUUCACCAUGUUCACAUCACCUUGGGCAGUUGCCUGGAGAGUGGCUUUUACCAAAACAAAGGUCUAAAUUUAAUUGAAAAAUAAAAGUAAAUAUCAAAAUGGUGGAAUUAAAACAAGCAUGUAUAAGCUGGAAUCCAUCAACAAAAUUAAAAAAAAAAAAAAAGAAUAAAGAGAUUAAUUUGUUAAACUCACAUAGUAAUUUUCAAGGCCAUAAAACUAUGUUCAUCCCAGAUAGAGUCUGAUCAUUAAUCAUUUGGAGUACAUGACAGGCCAGUAUAAUUUCUUAUAUUUGGAUAGAUUAGAUCUAUGUAGAUCUUGUGAUUCAAAUUUUGUCAUAUCAUCUCACCAACUGAAGAAUUGAUGGUGUAGAAAAUUGUACCACAAGAUCAAGCCUAUCCAAGUUUUUUACCUUCUCGGUAAACUAUGAGUGUGUUUGGAUUGUAAGUUAUGUGAAAUAUUUUUACUGUAGCACUUUUUGUGAUGUGAUGUAUGUGAGAUAAAAAGGUAAUUGGGAAGAUAAAAAGGUGUAUUGGAAAUUGUAAUGGUGAUGUCAGCAAAUAUAUUUGGCCAAAUAAUUGGCUGUCCAAACACGCUCUAUAUCAUUACUUAGUUUUAUGGGUAUCUUUUCCUUGCCAAGAAAACUAAUGAAAUGACUGAUUUUUUUUUUUUUUGGCGGGUAAAGGCAACCACUUGAGUGAUUUCAGGAUAGACAAUGAUGACUUUAAGCCAUCAAAGUUUACUUUGCAGUAAAAAUGUAUGGCUCCAAAAUUUUUCUCAGUCUUGUUAAAAGCUAUCAUAUAUAUAUAUAUAUAUGUGUCUGCUUUUUCUCCUACAGAUUACUUACUGAGUAAUAAAUUUCUUGGCCCAUGACAAUAGGAACCGUCCGUCGUGGUGUCACAUACCUAAGGGAGAUUCCACUGAUAUUUCUAAGGUAGGUAGGACCAAUAGGAACCGAAAGAUGACUCAGGAGUUUCAAAACUCGGUUUGGACUUUGGACCCCAACCACUUUACACUAGAGCGCAUUGUGCAGUACAUCCAUGGGCCUUCACACCUUCCCCACCACAAAUUACAAGGACAGGACAGGAGCAUAAAAAUUGGCCUUCCGUUGCCGCCCUAUCUCUUUCACUACAGAAGAACGUGUUGUAUGUGUAUCCAUGGGCCUGGUCCUGGGCCUUCCCAACCCCACCACUAAUUAAACGAGAUGGGACAGCGACCCACGUGUCCAUUUGUUUUGUUUGUGACACUCUAAGACAGCGCCAAUAGAGGGAACUGUCAACUACUCACACCAAUGACUCAUCUUCGCCUAUGAUAGGACAGCAACCUUUUGACCAUUCUACGGUGGCCAAUUUGUACGUGUCAGAAGAGUAAAGGUAAACGUAACAUGCUGUCAAACCUCUCGUUUAGGUCGUGGUGGAUUGCUGAUUUUGGAGUUUCUACAUAAAAAUGUAUUAUUAUAGUGAUUGAAUGUAUGCAGAAAAAUGAGUAGAAAAUUUAUUUACGGGAAAAAUGUGAUUUUUUUUUUUUGGAAAAAAUGACUUUCCAAAUGAUGUCUAGAGUCGGGUACAAACUACCCACAACGAAUACAAACUAUCAAUCACAAUUAUUAGAUUUAAACCACAUGCUUUUAUCUAUUGUCUGAGAGCAGUAAUUCUUAAUUUCAGCAUUACUAGAAAAAUGUAAAACCGAUUCCGCAGGUUUAUACUUGAUGUGUUUGAAACCGCAACGGAUCUUCUGUCCCACACCCUGUGCCACUCUCUGUCCCACUUUUUAUUAUAUUGCUAUUUCUCCUACAUAAAUAUCAUGUUUUAGUUCUUUUUUGUUUUCUUAAGAUCCAACAACUAUUAAUUGAGUUAUACACAAAAUUUAACAUACUCAAAAAAUCAAAAUGCAUAAAAAAUGAGAGUUUUUAUGAAAUUUCUGCUGUAUUUUUUAAUUUUCUAUUAUAUAUUACUUUUUUGAAGCUGCUGUAUUUAUUUUUUACUCAAUUAAUAGUUAUUGAAUGUUAAGGAAACAAAAAAGAAUUAAAACAUGAUAUUUAUGUAAGAGAAAUAGCAAUAUAAUAAAAAGUGGGACAGAGAGUGGCACAUAGUGCAAGACAGAAGAUCCGUUGCGGUUUGAAACACUUCUCUUUAAAACUCUUUUCUCUCCCUUCUGACUAAAAACUCUUUUAAUCAAAAUCUCCUUCAUCUCUCCCAUCAGAAAGAAAUCAAAUCUGAUCCUUUUCCAUGGGAGGAAGUACUCUUUAUAAUUUCUAGUUUCUCUCAUUUGAAUAAAUUAUCUCCUAAGAUUUCAUAAUGAGAGAUUCUUCUCUCUUAAGAUUUUCUAGCAAGAGUUUCUUCUCUCUUAAAUUAUUUUAGUGGGAGUUUUAUUCUCUUCUGGGUUUUUCCUUGUGAGAGUUUUUCAGGUUUUUAUCUUUACUAAAUUUGAGAUUUUAUAGAUCUAGAAUCUAGUUUCUCAUAUCCGUAAUUUCUCUAUUAUUUUCAGAUCCAAAUUUCUCUUUGAACUUGAAUCAAUUUUAAUCAAAUCUGAUUGUCAACAAGUGUGCACUAAUAUAUUGGAAUACAGCAAUCCAUCUGGAUGGAAGAUAUAUAGAAGUACAAUGUUAUCUUUACUUAUAUUAUUUUCUUAGAUCUAUUAUAUCUAUUGAUUUCAGAUAUAUAUCUAUCUGUGUCAUGAUUGUUUGAUAUAUUUUCUGCUAUUAGUGCAGAUUUAUUUGAAUGAAAUGAUCUUUUCUAUAUAUAAAUCUGUGUCAUGAUUGUUUGAUAUAUUUUCUGCUAUUAGUGCAGAUUUGUUUGAAUUAAAUGAUCUUUUCUAUAUAUAAAAAAGGGAUAAUCUCAGAAACUUCCCUUGAGAUUUUUGACAAUUUUAGGAAGCCCCCCUCAAUAAAUUAAAAUUACACAUACCUCCCCUAUCAGUGCAAAAGUACUCUACUACCCCUCAUAGAAUACUUAAAGACAUUUUUUGUUGGAAAAUUUUUGAAUAUCCAAACCAAAAACAAAAACAGCAACAAUUGAUUCUCUCUCUUGGAUGCCCCUUACCUUGCUUUUUUUCCCACAUCCUCCUUUGCCCAACUUCCCAUCGCCCGUCUCCAAUUCUCGUCUACCCAACUUUCCUGUUCUACUUUAGGACCUAACUAUUGCCCAUCAACUCUUGCCCGUGCUUGUCCCCCUCUUUUUCCUACUUGACUUAUCCUUUUUUUUUUUUUUUUACUUUUUCUACAUCAAUUCCCUUCUCUUUGCAAACUUGAUUUGAUUAGACUCAUCCCUUCCUCCUUUUUUUUCCUAUUCAGGGUGUGGUGGGUUUGAUUUUUUUUUUUUUUUUGUAUCUAUGUUCUUUAUCCAAUUUUAGUUGAUUAUGGGUGAUAAAACUUUGUGAUGCCAAAGAUCAAUCAUUGAGUUUUUCAAAAAUUAGUUUUUCAAAUACUAUAAAAAUUUUAAAAAGUACUCUAAAAGGUACUCUAAAAAGUAGUCUUAAAUUUUUUUUAAUGUUUAAAAAAUAUCCCAAAAUAUAUUCUAAAAACUCUACUAUUCUUAAAUAUUUCAAAAUAUAUUCUAAAAAUAUUUCAAAAUGUACUCUAAAAACUUCGCUGCAGUCAAAUUUUUUAAAAGCAUUUCCAACAACAGCUAAUCCAAAGGGCUCAGUCCAAGAGUUUGAGAAAUGGAUCUUUGGUUUCAUAAAAUGGGUUGUUGAAAGAAAACAAAAGGCUGCAAAGGGAGGAAGAGUAAGGGGGUUUGACAUGUGGGAUUGGUUGCUGAUGGAGUGUUGGUUUUAGAUCAAAUUUGAGGUUUUUUUUUAUUUCUGGUAAAAUUUGAUGGAGUAUCGAUUUAAUUUUAUCAGUUUAAUAAUAAGAGGCGGGUGUAUUUACCUUGUAGAGAAAGUGUUGGGGCUGGAUAGAGAGUAAGAAUUAGCCUAGGCUGCCGAAAGUAAAUUGGAUUGCGAUGUUUUGCGUGCCUACAAUUGUUGGAAUUGCUUUUGAUUCAGCUUGGGAUGUUUGCUUGGCUUUUCCGAUGGUGUUGCCAAGAAAAAGCAAUCAUCAAAAUUCUUUUUAUUUUAUUUUUAAAAAAUUUUUGGUAGAGAGGAUUUCUUGGCUUUUGAUAGUCUUGCUUGGAAGAAGACAAUCAACAAAAGAGGGCAAUUAGUGAAGACGAUUAGCAAAAAUCUUUUUCCUUUUCUUUUUUUUUUUUUUUUGGCAAGAAGGGUAGUUUAGGAUAUAUGAAGGAAAAUGUAGGCUCUUGGGUCUAUUUUGAAGCAUAAAUAGUGAAAGCAGGGGUGGUGGUGUAAUUUUUAAAAUUUAAGGGGAGCUCUCUGAAAUUGUUUGAAACCUCAGGGGAGGUUUCUGAAAUUAUCCCCAAAAAAUUUCAGCAUUACUAAAGUAAUUGUAUUGUGUUUAAACAACUUGUUUAUUUGCUUUUUCCUCUUUCACAUCUACUAACAUUUAUCAUUGUAAUCAUAUUUUACAUGUAAUAACGUGCAAAACAAAACCAUCGUAGUUAGCAAUUACUCCACUUCAUAUUUUAGUCCUUUUCCAAUUACUCAUGGUCACCAUUGCUAGAGUUAGGCAUUAAUUUUAAAAAUUGUAUCAAGUAUGUGAUCCGUUUUCUCUAUUGUCCAAUAAAAUGUCCUCACUAAUUAGUUUUCUUUUUCCAAUUCACUUUAUCCGCAUAAAUGAAAAUAAUAUUAUUCGUCGUGGAAUCACAUUUUUUUUAAGUGUAUUUGUGUUCUAUCAAUAUUCAGUGACAAAUACAAAUUUACAUUCAUUUGUCUCUUCUUUCAAUCUCCAAUGCACAAAUUUAAUAAAAUUAUAUAUUAUUUUAUUUCUUAUAUUCACUGAAUUAUACAACCAUGUACUUGUAACUUUUGCCUAGCAUAAUGAACAUUGUCUAAUGUAAAGGGCUCUAUUACCAUAUAUAUAUAUAUAUAUAUGUAGAACUCAAAUUUUUAAAGAUUUCUAUUAGUGGCAACACCUGCAGUUAAGAUCUUAUAAAUUCUCUUGACUCUUAUAGAUACUCUUAACAAGAUUUAUUAACUAAUGUUUUAUAUAUAACCUACUAGACUUAUUGUGUAAGAAAUCACUUACGCAAAAAAUUGCUAAAUAAAGUAUAAAUUCCUAAAUUACAUAACUACUAAAAACCUGAUUCUAAAUAAAACUACUAAAUGAUUAGACAAAAACUUGUAGUCUUGAUUCAUUUGCCAGCAAAUCAAUCAUAUAGUAUUUGUUAGCCACUAAUUUUGUCAACCCAUAUCAAGUCUUUUACGUGCCACCAAUAAUAGCUCUUUUAUCGGCAUUGACCUAUUACCCAAUUUGAACUUCAUCCCUGCAAGAAGCACGACGAUCUAAUUUGGACAACAAAGAACUCGAUCAGGGUGGGUGGGGGGAACCAGAAGAGAUGGGACCUUAUGGCCCUGCUCGCCAACUCAGUUAUCUUAGAGUUAAUUGCAAGAAAAUCUCGUCCAAAACGUGCACAUCGUGUUUUGCCUUGCCAUCUAAUCUUCUUCUUCUUUUUUUUUUUUUUUUGCUUUGCUCUCUAACCUGACUGUUCUGACACCAGAAAUAUUUGUAAAUUUAUUUCUUGCCCAUUUGAACAAACUUGAAAAUAUAAAAAAAAUGACCUCUUUUAAUGCAGUAUCAAUUACUUCUGGAAAGCAACUUUGCUAUAAAACGCAACCACCGAUACCCCAGUCACUAUUUAUUUGACACAAUAACAAUAAAUCUUUUUUCUACGCAUGCUUCAUGUCAUAAUCAUCGAACUUUACAUGAAGUGUUCAUCAAAAUUGGUCUCCCAACUUUGAUCUUAUCAGCUCAUUCUACCAUUUAAUGCGACCGAAAAGAAAGUGAAACCAUCCCCGGCCCAAAUCUGCCCGAAUACCAUCAAAUGAGUAGCCUACAUGAAUGUGUUAUGUACUACAAUCUUUUUCCUACUGCAGCUUGAUGAAAAUGGGAAUUAGUUUUACCCUUCAACUCGUACAGACCAUCAACUCGUAUAGACAAUCAAUAUACACAAAUUUUCUUUUACUGCAGUUUCUACAUUGAUCUCCUUUUUCUAAUAUUAAGUAACACGAUGAAUUAAUCUCUUAAACUUCCAAAUUGCAGUAAUUACAGACAGAUGUUUGCCAACUUACAACUACAGCUUCGCUAAAUUUCUCAAAUGUAGGUAUGAAACCAGAGAAUUCUAGUAGGGUUAAUUAGAAAUAUCCAAAAAUAUUCAGGCAAUUCAUAGAAUUAUACUUAUUAAAGCAUGUCCUAAUAAUUAUAGUGGAAGUAGUUUAAAAAAAAAGGAAUGUUGGGAACAAAUUAAGCUAAUUAAAAAUAAUCAUUGUCUUUGUCAUACCUAACAAUUUCAUUCAAAAAUAAUUAUUGUCUUUUUCAUACCUAACAAUUUCAAGUUAAUUAAAUUACGGCUUUUUUUAAAAAAAAAGAUAGUAAGACAACAUCGUAUAGUUUAGCUUAUUAAACAUUCAGUUUUAGAUGUUUAUCAAACAUUAUAGAUAGAUUCAGUAUUAAGAUUCAGAUAUUUAUAUAUUUCUUUUCAGCACUUAAAAUUUAGCAAAUUAAUUGUUUCAAUAUUCAGUUUCAGAAUUCAGAUUCAAUUUUAUCAAAUAGGAUCUUAGUGUGUACUCCUAAUUGUAAUUGAAUUUGAUAUUUUAAAAUUGACAUUCAAUACAAACUUCUAUGUUUAACUAAAUUUGAUUUUUCAAAGCCACAAUUAAUACAAAAUCUCAAAUUUAACUAAAUUUGAUUGUAAAUCAUAUUUAGUACAAGAUGUUAAUUUUAACUAAAUGUGAUUUUAUAAAUGUGACAUUCGCUACAAACUCUUAAUUUUAACUAAAUUUGAUUCUCUGAAAGUCACUUUCAUAAAAAAAUAAAAAAACAAUUUUAACUAAACGAGAUUUCCUUACAUUCACAUUCUAUACAAACUCACAGUUUUAGCUACAUUUGAUUAUUUGUUGAAACGUGAUGCAACAUGUUUGGUAUACGUAACUUGAUGGAACAAAUUUGUGCGUUUGAUAUUUUGUUUGAUCAAUGUUUCUAAACAAACUUGAAGUAACAUAUUUGCGGACGUGCUAGUGUACAAGUCAAUAUUCCUAGCUACUCAAUUUGUCAGGAUCAUAAUCUGUUUUAUCUUAAUUUGUCAGGAUCAUUGUCUGUGUUACUCAAUUUGUCGUUGCUGUUUAGUUCAGCAAAUGUUACUCCAAAUCCUAGGCACAUGAAACAAAGAAAAUUAUACUUCUUUUUUGGUACAAAAAGAAAAAUUACACUUCAAUUACUGCAUUAGUAUAUGGUAUUUUACAAAAUUGGUGACAGAAAGAAUAAGUUGUGAUGCAUAUGUCAUCUUACGCACCUUAAUAUGCAACACUGGUCUGGAGUAAAUAAAAAGGAGAAUUUAUGUAAUCAAAAUAGCAAUUAAUCAAUCUUAGAAUUUUAGUAUUGAGUUAGUUUUUGUUACCUAUUGCAUAAGUCCAAUGCUUGACGGAGCCCUCAGUUUUUCGAUCGCCUUCGUGAAGAUUAACACCAUGUACUUUGUCGGAGCAAAGAUUUGGAGGUUGGUGUGCUUUACCACCAAAGCUAUGGAAGAAUUCAUCAGGAUCAGGCUUGACCUUUAUCUCAGCUUCUAAAUUUUCCAGCCAGAUUUGGACUAUCCAUAAUUGGUUGAAGUAAUACUGAAAAACAACUAUGCAUUUUUUGCUAGUAAAUGUUGUAUCAACUCAACUGGCUCAACCAACGUUUAUAGGAUCAAUUUUCAUGUUGCAGUAGCAUUAAGAUUAUUACGUAGAUGAAGUCCACAUUUUGUGCUUAAGAUCUCAAUUGGAGAAAACUUUCAGAUGAUAGUAUUUACUACUUGCGUAAUUAGCUUGAUAAUUUUAUUAGAGGGGUAAAAAAUGUCGUAGCAUCGGUUCACUUGGUAGUAGACAAAUUUUUUUUUCCCAAGUUCUACAAUGUUUUUUGGAUGAUUGGAAAAGGAAUUCAGAGUAUGUUGACAACUUUUUUUUUUAAGGUAGUCACUCGUAUUGUUGCAAGAAUGGAAAUAAAAAAAAAAAAAAAAUUGGCCCUUCAAACCAAGAAACUGUACAUUCAUCCACUUCAUGAAUGGUGAAGCGCAAUAGAAAGUCGUCUAUUUUUUUUUACUUUUUACUUCUUCUCCUUACUUUGUUGGAUACUCAACAACACGAUGGUUUUGCUGAACAACACCAUGAAAGCAACUCUUCGGCCAUUUCCAUGUUGAAAAUUUCAGAAUGGAAACCUCAAUUGUUGCAAAGUCGAUGCUUGACAACUUUAAGGUGGCAUAAAGUGACUAUCAUGAAAGUUCAAAAUACAAGUGAGAACUAAUGCUAUAGUACAAAGAAACAACUUCAAAAUGGCAGCUGCUAAUAAUUGUCAUCAUACAUAUGCAACAAAUAUUGAAGACCUAGGAUCAAUUGGCAUACACAGGGAUAAAGAUCUUACUGAUGAAUUGAUCCAUGUAGCACAAAGAUAUGCAUCUAAUUCGAUUACAUUCUUUAUUUUUUGUUUUGCUUUUCCGUGCAAUUUUAUUGUACUAAUUCCUUUUACUGCUGCAGAAAUCUAUAUGCUCCAUUAAUUACAAGCAUAUAUAUUAGGCCUUGAUAAGUGAAGCGUCCACAUCCUUCCCCAUAUGAAGUAGCCAGUCCAGAUAUUUAGUCGGACUAGGCAUAUUCUCGUUCAGUUUUUCAUAGUCAAUGGUAUAUUUGGCAAAGCUGGAGACACCUCUGGAGAUAACUUGUAACGUUAUUAUAUAGUUCUUGUAGUGCUUCAUGCAAUCUCCAUCUAUUGCCUCAGAAGUAAUUGUCUUGUUCUCCUCGUCAAUUUUGAGCCUGUCUUUGAAGACCUCAACUUUGCCAUCUAUAUUUUCAUCACAAGGAGAUUCAUCAGUAGCUAUCAGGCUCUAUUUGCCACAUUUUGGUAAAAAUUCAAUGCAAAAUGAAAAUUCCAGUGGGAAAAAAAAAUGAAUUAGGAAAAGUUCCAUGCUUCACAACACCAAACUAAGUUACAAUAUACACUCCUUAUCCUUGAUGUCUUUCUAAUUUUCUUAUGUAAAAAUUAAACAAUUGGUCAGGUAUGCUAACUACUUCACAAGCAAGGGCACAAAAAACUCAUAAAAAUGAAAGGGGUAAAUGGACAUCAAGACACGAGUGGAAUGGUGGCUUCACCUAUGACAUAAGUCCACAGCUUGAUAGAGCCGUCAGUUUUCCAGUCACCUUCGUGCACUUCAAUCCUGUUAACUUUCUCAUUCACAAGAUCUGGGAGUUGGUGUGCUUUAGCGCCAAAGCUAUGGAAGAACUCAUCAGCAUCAGACUUCAGCUCGAAUUCAGCCUCCAACUUACCUACUAAAUUAUUAGCCAUAGGAGAAAGUUUCAAGAAUUGAUUAAAAAAAAAACUACUAAUAACCUUGAUAAUACUAUGUAUUAUGCAACUCAGUCACACCUGAUUUAUAGAUGCUUCAUGAAUUGGUUGGCUCCCACAAGUUAGAAAUGUGCGGUUCUCUCUUUCUUUGCUGCAAAACACACGUUGCGAUGUGUUUUCAGGCAACCACACAUUUCUAACUGCGAAUUGCACUGUGAAAUACUAUUGAUCAUAUGGGAUUUACUUUGCUGUCUGAUCCCUUAUCCAUUGAAAGCAGAAAUCAAAGUUGCUGUACAUUCCAAUUGAUAAUUCCUCGGGCAAGUUUUCUUUAUUUUGCUAAGCUGUGCAUCUAGGGCAUCAUGCCAAUUAAAUUCAACCAUAGAGAGAAUAAUUUCCACUUUGCGUCCACAAUGUUUUAAUAGAUUUUCAGUCUGCACUUGAAAAUUUUAAUUUAAAUACUUUAUCAUAUUGGAAAUUACAUAUAUUUUUCUCUUAAAAAGUAAAAUUACCGUCGUUAAACUACAUUAUGUUUUACCACAAAUAUUUUUGUAAUCUUUUGGUAACUCUAUGGUUUAAUCCAGAUAUAAAAUGGGAAAAUAUACAAAUGGAGCAUCGUUGAAAGGACAGGAAAUUAACUUUUGGUAUGCAACUCCAAAUAAUGUAGCUAAGAAGCCAAUAUUGCUUUACACCAGUUAUUUAUAUUCAUCUACUUUUUACGUACCUGUACACAUUUGUUAUUCCAAUGCGCAAGUUUUAGAGUACAUUUUGACGAACAAUAGUUGUGGAGAUUCCUGCUUGUUUUGUUCACCUCUUUGGGGACAAUUAAUUGGCAGGAAGUCAAGAUAUGAUAACUGAUUAGGGAGAGUCUAGGGACAUCAUCUUAAUUUGCUAUGGUCGAUAUUAAAGUCCAUCUCACCAUAUCUCUAUCAUACAUCUCAGGACGAAAAAGCAACAUUUUACUAAACUGCAUGGCGAAAUUUUGAUCUAAACUAAGUUUUUUCUUGUGAAAUUGUGAUCUAAAUUAAGUGUUUUUCGUGUUCUUUUGUUACAUAAUCAAUCAGCGUGUUUGUUAUUAAUAGGUUGCUUUUCAAAUUUACAUAGUUGUUUAUUGUGAUAGAAUUGCACUUUCAAUUACAAAGUUGGUGUCAAGAAAACUAUCAUGUUUUUUCCCCCUUCAUUUGUAAGUACCGGGGCCUGCAUUUGCUGCCACAAAUUAUGGCUAGAGAGGCAAUAAAAAUGCAUGCCCAAGAUUCUGUAUGUUACUAAUUACUUUUUUGUGUUUGACUUAACACUCAUAAUAAUUGGAGAGAAAUUGGUACCUAUUUUUGGAAGAAAUUACCGUAAUUGUUUUCCAAUUCUCAUUCAAGACUUGAAUAAAUGCUUCACCAAUACGACUUCUAUUUCAACUAUAUGUUUAGAAGAUUUUUUUUUUUUUUUUUUGGGUCAGUUGGCAACAUCUACCCUAUCUUUACACUAAUCUGUUCAAGGAGAAGAUCCAACCUAUCCAAUAAGGGCUAGAAGGACAAAUUAAGUUCACAUCUCUUUUUUUACCACUGCAUCUUAUGUUUUGCCCUUUGACUAACACCUGGAGCUUGUUGGUUAGAAAAGUUUGCUUACUUGAUACGUAGAUAUGGAUUUGUGUCAUUUUAUUUUUGAUCAUUUUGAUACGUAGAAUUACUAACACACAUAAAAAUUACGACCAAGCAUUAACUCGAUCGAGAGCUUAUUCUUAAAAGCUUCGCUAAGCUCACUUCUAUUCUAUUACAUUCAUUGUUUUUUUCAAACGUAUAUGGUAUCCAAGUCAAGAUAGCUAUAUAUAGAGAUAAAUAUUUCAUAUAUAAAAAGAAUUUUCAUAUAUAAACUUAUUUUCGUGCUUUGAGAAGUGAACCAUCCACGUACAUCUUUGAAUAUAAUAAUAUGGAUGAUACGACAAAAUUGGAAAAAUUAAUACAAAUUAAAAGAAAAAAUGUCCCUUAAUUCUCAUGGAUGAUACGACAAAAUUGGAAAAUAAUAAUAUGGACUUAAAAGAGUAUCUAUUGCAAAAUCAUAGUAAUUGAACCUUCAAAAAAUUAAGUAAAGAGUUGCCUUAAUUUGUUAUUUACCUACUGCAUAAGUCCAUAGCUUGACAGAGCCAUCACUCUUCCAGAACAUCAAUUAAUGCCGUGCACUUUCUCAGAGCACAAAUUUGGAAGCUGGUGUGCUUUACCACCAAAGCUACGAAAGAACUCAUCAGGAACAUACUUUAUCUUUAUCUCAGCUUCCAACUUUUCUGCUGUGUUAGCCAUAGUUGUUUCUAGGUCUCAUGCUCACAAAUUAUGCUACUGAUCAGCAAGAACCUUGACCAAUAAUCCAAUGCAUUAUGCAAUUCAAUUUCUUUACCACCUGAUUCGUAGAUGCUUCACGAAUUCGUAAUAGCGCCCACAAUUUAGAAAUGUGCGGUUCUCCAUUGUCUUGGCUGAUCAAUGACAUAAAUCCACAUGUUGCAAUAUCUUUUCAGGCAAAUGAUAUGCUAGCUGCAGGGUUUAGCCAAUAUGCAUGUCACACUUGAUUAGUAGUUAGAUCGGCAAAUGAUGCACUCCUAUCUCCAAAAGAGAAUUGCAAUGUGACAUAAUGAUGCGGGAUUUGCCUUAGUUUAAUUGAGUUGAAAGAUGGUACAACAAAAAUUUAGAUAUGAUGCAACUAAAUUAAAAUAUAAUGUAAUAAAAUUGAAAUGAUCCUUUUACCCCCGAAAUGAAAUGAAAUGGAACUUUUGAUUGCCCAGAUCCUUAACGAUUCAAAUUAAGAGGGAAUGGCACAAAACACUAGCGUAACUUAGAGGACAGUUUUGACUUUGCAUAGGUAAUGUUUUUUUUUUUUUUUUGUGGUGGUAACCUUCUGGUAAAUCUAUGCUAUGAUCAAAACCCAUAAUGGGCAGAUAUACAAACUGAGUAUCAUUAAGAAGAAGUGAGUUUAACUUUUGAUAUGCAACUCAAAAAAUAUAUAGUUAAGAAAUUGUUGUUGCUUUACACUUGUUAUUUAAAUUGUGUACACUUGUUACGUACGUUUGUACAUUUAUUGCUCCCAUAUAUGCAUUAUAGAGUACAGUUAUAACUAACGGUGUGGAGAUACUUCACCUAUGGAGUAGUGUCUUUCUGAUGGUUUAGUUAUAAUAACUGAAGUAGGGACAAAAUCAUAAUUUGCCAUAGCCCCCAAAUUUCCACAAUAAAUCGCAGGAGAUAAUUAAAGCAAAAUUUUUAUUAAAUUACAUGAUGAAAUUGUGAGCUAAAUAGAGCAAUUGCUCAUGUUCCUUUGUGUACGUAACCAAUUGACGUGUUUGGUAUCAAAAGAUUGCUUAUACAAUUUAGAGAUCCUAAGAAACAAAAAACAAAAAACAAAAAAAAGAGGUGUUUAAAGAGAGAAAACUUAGAGAGAUCCUUGAAAUUUGAAGGUUCAUUAGGGGUCAACCAGUGAGCCCAAAAAAAAAAAAAAACUAAGACAGAUAAAAAGCCACACGAAACCUUCGUUUUAUUUAUUUUUUUUAUCAGCAAACGUACAACGGUUAACACUCAUAUGAAGUACAACCAAGCCUUGACAGGAUAGCUCCAUUUUAGAGGCUUUUUUUUUUUUUUGAAGGACAUUUUAGAGGCUUCACUAACCCCAGACAAUGGGGUAUAUUUAGAGAUUCUCUUACAUUAACUUAUAUUGUAUAACAUUCUUUGUUUCUUUUUCUUUUCUUUUUUUCCCCGGUAACCCGAGCCAAGAUGGCAAUCAUAUGGUAUCUAUAGAUAUAUUUAUUUUCGUGCUUUGAGAAGUGAAGCAUCCACAUCUUUUGCAGCAUGAAUUAGCCAGUGAAGGUACUUAGUUGGAGCAGGAUCAUUCUCCUUGACGGUCUCAUACUCAAUGCUCCAGUGGGCAAAGUUUGAGACACCUUUUGAAAUAACCUGCAACUCAACCUUAUAGCUCUUGUAUUGUUCCUUAAUGUCUCCUUCAAUUGCUUCCAGAGUUACUAUCCUGUUCUCCUCGUCCACUUUAAAUCUCUCUUUCGCAGUUUCAACUUUCCCAUCUGUGUGAAUUUUCACCAAAGUAGAAAUUAAACAAAUAAUCCAGCAAAGUCAAAAGCACUUUUUGGAUCUUCUCCGGUACUAAAAUUAUUUGUCGAUCACUAAAGACAAACAAAGUAAUACGCCCGAACGAUGCAUAUGCAUUAAUGAUUUUCCUAGAAAAUGAUUUAUACAAAUUAAAAAAAAUGUCCCUUCGCAAGGAUGACACCCUAAAAUCGAGCAAUAAUAUUAUAUAUACAUAUACAUACAUACAUACAUACAUACAUAUAUGUGUGUGUGUGUGUGUUACAAAAUCAUAACAAUUGAAACUUCAAGAUCGAGUACAGGGUUGGCCUUUGUUGCUUACCAAUUACAUAAGUCCAAUGCUUGACAGAGCCCUCAGUCUUCCAAUCACCUUCAUGAAGAUCAAUAGCAUGCAAUUUCUCAGAGCAAAGAUUUGGAAGCUGGUGUGCUUUACCACCAAAGCUAUGGAAGAAUUCAUCAGGAUCAGACUUGAUAUUUAUCUCAGCCUCCAACUUUUCUGCUGUGUCAGCCAUAGUUGUUUCCAGCCCUAGGUAGUCUCAAAACCACCGACAUUUAUAUAUAGGACCUUGAUCUAGUAGAAUGGAAAUGCUAAUGUAUAUGGACCUUAACCAGUGGACCAACAUUCAUAUAGGAUCAGUUCCCAUACAUUUGUGAUAGCUGGGCUAAUUAAUACCUUCAAUCCCUGUCAAUUAUGUUUAAAAUUUAUGUAGUUAUACCAUCAUACCCCGUAUUUUCAAUUUUAGAUGCUUAAAUUUGAAUGCGCUUACCGCGCUUAAAUUUGUCUUGCUAUAUUCUUCUUUUUGAUGGUCAAGAGAAAAUUUUAUGUCAUCGGUAACAACUUUAAAUAAGAUUAGAUUAAUUAUCUUUGAUAUAAUAAUAAUAGGAGGUAGCCCUCAUAGGGGUGGUCCAGCGGUAAGCGGGCUUUUAAGGAUUCUUGAGCUCCUGGAUUCUAAUCUUACCCUGGACUUAAACCCCUGUGACUCGCCCGGGAUCGCUGCGUGGGGUGGUGGCGCACUCCUCUGGUUUGAUGUGCCGGCUCGAAUCCUAAGGGUUCGAGUCGGGUAUGUUCUGGGUUACAAAAAAAAAAUAAAAAUAAAAAAUAAUAGGAGGUAAAGUGUCAUAUAGUAAUUGAAGAAAAUUCAUUGCACCGUACACUUCUUUAUAGACCAAAUUCUAUCUUUGCACCUGUCUUCACAUAUUUGCAGAAUGAAAGCACUCAAAAAACAAAAAAAAAAAAAAAGAGAAAAGAAAAUGUGAUCUAUUGGCUUAAUUAUUUGAUCACACCAAUUUUUUUUUUCAGCAAAUAGGCCCCAUUCCAUUAAUCAAUCUUUAGUCACAGCUCACAAGUCUCCUUUUAAAGACCAACCAUGAGAUAAAAUCAAACCUUGGUACAAUUUUCUCACUCCAUACUAAUUAUGCCACACAACCUCAUGACCCUUUGCUCCAAAAGUUCAUCAAUCACAGUUUUAACAACAAAGGAAGCAGUAGGUACCCGCUGGCCACUUCACCUCAUCCAUCAUAAAGCUUUGGUCAAGAAAAAAGCUGGAGUAACAUCAAUCAAGCUGUUUACCUCAUCGGACCUCCUUCUUCAUCAAUGCCAAACCAUCCACCAUCUGAAUGAGGCCUUAAUCUGCUGAUAAUCAUGAGCUCCCAAUUCUAGGAAUAUCUAUUUGUCCAGUUCUUCGCAAUUUUGCUAAUUAAAAGGUUUAGCAAAAUUUCUUAGGUACCUCCUGCGCCAAAAAGCAACUGUAAAGGUUAACAACAAGUGUUUAAACUUCUUAACUUAAGUCGGCAUUUAUAAAGGUUAAUUAACUGGUUUACAUACUUAGAUCAUUUUAUCAAUUCGGUUCUAUAAAAUGUUUUGAAUGGAAACAAUAAUAAUAUCGUUUCCAUGAUUAAAGAAUGGGAAUAAAUUUUGCAUGAUUCAGAAAACAAAUUUUGUUCUGCAGGAUUGGUACCAUGUACUACUAUUUCUCUGUAGUUGUUAGCCGACAUUCUAAGUAAGUACGAAUUUCUCGAACCUUUUUAUGUUAUGGGAAAAAAAAAAAAAAGAGUAGGAAGUGCAACCAAACACCCACACAAAUUUGAUCGGAAAUAGUCCAAAACCAAAGUCCAUAGGACUGAAUAGAUGCAAUGAGUUGGAAAAUGAUAAAUCAGUAACCUAAAGUAACAAACCCCGCUUUAGGUGUUGUACCCAAGCUCCAUGAAUGAUUUACAUGGCAUGCCAAAGUACAAAAAAGGCCCUUUAGGAAACGGACGGAAAACUUCCCAAGGGUGAAAUCAAAGUCCUUUUUGUUAUAUAUGUAAGAUUAAGGAUAUAUCUUUUAUAUAUAAUAUAUUCACUUUCAUCAUUAAAUAUGUUACACAUAAUUUAAAUUUGAAUUUAAGAUUCAAAUUUGUAUAUGUAUUAUACAUCAAAUUAUGAUAGUGUAUGCACUAUUAAUGUACGUAAAAUUCCAGUUAUUAUCUAAUCUUCUUGAUAGUAAAAUUUAACUUUUUCCAGUAUAUAUGAACGUCCAACGUAGGUUAAGUUUAUC